GUCAAGCAGAUAAUGAUCAUUUAGUUAUCGAGUUCAACAUCGUCAUGAAAUUAUAAACACUCAGUUAGUUCAUUAGACCACAAAAGCUAAUAACUACAACAUUAAGUUCAAUACUAAGAGCACGAACACGAGAGAGGAAGUACUAAUAGCAGGAACAUAAUAAGAAAGCAAAAGCCAGGCAUACUGACGGUAGAGGCGGUCAAACUACAAAGCAAUAGCAAUUAGGCAUACUAAUUAGUAGCUCUGGCCAACUUCCUUGUUGGUCAACUUCAUAGGUGCGCUUAGAUGAUCAACCGCGUGGCCUUGGUGUGAAAGCAACUGGCGGAAGCACAUCAUGCUCUUGUGCCUGAGACCGUCUUUUUAUUUGAAUAAUCUCAGCUCAUGUGGGAAAACUAAAGCAUGAUGGCACGAACUUCAGAAGAUGUCAUGUACUCAAAGAUGACUUGAAUUCGAUGGUUCUACAAAACAGAUAAAAAUAAAGAUCAUUAUUCUAUGGAUAAGUAAGGAAAAGGGAACAAAUAAUAAACAUCUACUUCGGAUUAGCUAGUGUUAAUAAACCAUUAAAGAUUACUGAGUGUACAAAAAAUGAUGUGCGGUCAGACUAUCGAUACUCUUUAGCCUAUAUAACCUAGGUGUACGUCAUCCCUUUCUCUACAAAGUACAAUCUAGCAGUCCUUUAUUGUUAUUGUUGAAUCAAGAAAGCAAUGGAAUGAUAAAUGGAUACAUUGAACUUACACGAAAGGCCACCAGAUAUCUCAAAGAAAAGAUUGCUGAUGUAAACAUGUCUAUGCCAACCUGUGGAUAUUUAUUUGAGUAGAUGUCACUAAUUUCAAAAGUUAAUAUCUGGUAUAGGGGAAAUUCAUGUAGGUAGUAAUGUGGUGGUGGAACUGAAUUAUACAAUAAAUGCAUAUGCAUAUAUGAAACACAAUCUCUGUCUGUUGUCUAAAUAUAUGAAAUCUGCUUAUAAUCUUGAUCCAGAGCAGCCAGUAGGUCUCUAAGCUGCUUCUUUAAAAAGGAAGAUAACCAAAAAACUAAUAAUGAUUGUAGCUACAUCUUUAAUCUGUGAAGUGAUACACAUAGCCAAAGGCCCUUGAAGAUCACAUGGCUAAGGAGCAUGUCAAUAUCAGCUUUUAUGCAAGUAGAAGCAGCACACUUCAUUCACACUGCACUAUGAUAGCAGUAUGUAUACAUUGUGUAGAUACCAUUACUGAAGUAUAGUGAUAAGAAAAGAAACAUGAUUACUGCACAUUAUUUAUUCGUAAUUUAUUAUAUUUGAAGCCCCACAGAAAAAAUAAAUAAGUUGUAAAGAUCACCAUGUACGUUGAUAUGUUCACUAAAUCCUGAACUAUAGUCAGUUCAUAAUUUAAAAGCAUUAUCUCAGGGGCUUGAACUAAAAAAAAUGAAGAACCAAAUAUUAACUACAUGGGCGGGUUCACAACAUAUAUAUAGCAGCAACUCUUAUAGAUCCUUCCUAAUACAGACAAUAGAAAUAUUUUGGAGAGGGUAUUGAAGAUAAAUUAAAUUUAUUUGGUUCCUAGCCAUUUAUGUGGGGUUACAUGAUGUAUUCAACGGCCAUGAGAAUAGUGCAAGGAAUUUAAUGAUACAAAGCUAUACAUGGAAUUUAAGGAUAAAGAGUUACUUGUCUGCUGAGUGGGUUCAGAGCGACGAACGUGAAUGGUGUCAAGGAGGUCAACAGUCACACUGCCAGAUCACUGCAGUUCCAUUGCUCGACACCAUACAUAGAGAGAUGAUACGAGUUUUCUGCUCUAUGAGCUAAAGUUCUGCAGUAGAGACACGAAUCGGAAUGUACAUCAGGAAUUGGGUAAUCAGGGUAUUGCGGAAAAGAAGGCAACAUUGUAUGGCAUGUCUAGCCGUUCGACUCCCAUUUCACUCCGGGGCACCUGAGUCUAGGGCAUGCAUGUAUACAUCAAUCUCAUACCCUGCAGUCCUGCACACAUGCAACAGACAAGGACUCAGCACAGAAUAUUAUACAUACUUAAACCAAGAAAUGAGACUGCAAUAAGCGAAUCUGAAUCAUUCAAACCUGACAAAAAUACAGCUUCUAGCCAAGUAGCCUGAUAGUCCGGAUGGACAGCAACAUGAUUGUGAUAGCUGUCAUUGUUGCCCAUAAGCAACCAAGUGAUGUGGCGGUAAGUGCCCACGAGCCGAAGCUCAAGCACAGGAAUCGCUCGUACAGGCAUACUAAUAAGAAACUGUCCAUUUACAGCAACGUUAACAAAAAUUCUUGGGUCUCCAAAAGAUGCCCUGCCUACUGAAAGAGCACGAAGACCAAAAGGGAACCACUCAUGAGAAUGUGUGGUGGUAACAAAGACCACAAGAAGGUCCAGAAGAAUUUGGAAAAAAGAAAGCCCUAUGAUUACCCAGGCGAUGUUUCUACUUCUAUCUGCCCCACUUGCUCGGAUUGCUUCGAGCAUCGACAGGCACAGAUGGUUGGGGCCUGAAAAUGGCACACUAGAUUGAGUAUCUUGCAAUGCAAGCAAAGCACUGGGGUAUAAGUAAAGAAAUGGCGAGCACCUUUUUGCAUCGGAGGUCUGUCAGGCAAUGGUAAGUUAUCUUUCUCCAUGGAACUGCCAAGUUGUGGUGAAUUGUCCUUUUCAGCAACAGACUCAUUAACUGAUCCUACUGUUUCAAUGGCCUGUGAGAAGAAACACACAUAAAUAAGCAUAGAAGGAAGGAGAAGUUUGAAAAUACAGAUGAUCUGGAAGUUACCAAGCUCUCUUUGUCUGUGUCAACAAACUGCUUUGUCUUUAAAAAGAAUGCACUGAGAUUUUGCACUAACAUACUUGAACAGCUUCAGAGAUUCCAGUAAUCACUCUAAUGACAUCUACGCAAGCAAAGAAGAGUUAUUAUAAAAUCACCACCAAACAAACGAGAGAAAAGAUGAUUAGUCACAAAAUCACUUGUAAAGCGUUCAGGCAUAUCUGUAGGCCUAGGGAGCUGAGCUAUUGGAGUCAAUGCAUACGUACAGAAGGGGAACUCUGCUUCCAUUCCAGUUCUCUCCACAAGUUCAGUGCGCUUUAUAAACUUAAUCAUUAAAUGACCUUCCACUGGUCUAAAAACAUACUUCCACGGGAAUACCAGGAACUUCUGAAACUCGACGGUGUACAAAACUGCAAAGCAAAGCAAAACAACAGAAAAUGAGAUAGAAAAACAAGAAGCCUUAAACAUCAGUCAGAAAUUUCAAGCUGUAGUUGCAUGGAAAUGGUAAAUAAAAUGGUACCGGCGUUUAUAGGACCAUAGGCAUGGCCUGACUGGAUUUCAUCUAGAUAUUCGUUAAGCUUCAUCUUAGUAAUCUCAAGCCACAUUGGACUACAUGUAAAAAUAGUAAAAGUAUCAGGGGCCUCAUCCACUCAACAAAUUGUAAGACCAUCCUGAAAGUUCUCCUGGUAGUAACGCCGACCAGUGGUAUGGCUGGACGGCACAAUCGUUUUCAUCGGCAAAAGAGAACCAAUAAGAUGAUGGACCUGACCACAAAUUUUGAAGAUAUUAACCCCCGCGUGCCUUCCAGCGAACGAAUGACGUCGCCACAAUAGACGUAAAUGCCGUCCAACUGUGAUGCGGUAUCUUUGUCAGGAAUUGCUUGGAAACACGAUCACCAUGACAUGAUAAUAAAUGACUCAAUAAAGCAGGAGGAUUUCUGAAAGGUUUAACAACGACUUUUCCACCUUUGCAACAAAGGUUAUAAACAAUUUUACGUAACACACAUGAAGAAUAUGGAUUGGCCCUCUCCUCAAACCAAAAAGAAGCCUUGCAGAGAGGGCACUGGUACUCAGGAGGACCAUAGUAAGAUCUGUCCUUAUAGGAAACUACAGAAAACACAAUACUCAAGGAGGCCGUCAUGACAGGAAAAGGAAAAAACAAAACUAACAUCAACCUAAUAGUUAGUACCUUUGCGAUUGUCAACUACCUCGACAGGAAAACCAGUCCAAUCAGUUGGCAAGUCCCCUUCAAACCAAAGAUCUACAUGCAUGUUGUUAUGAGAAACAACAGCCAAAACAAAGAUACUAAGGACGGAAAGACAGGAACCCCGACCAAGAAAACCAGUACAUGUAACACCAUGGCAACGAAGGCCCCUAAGUAAUUUAUGCCUCUUCCGAUUUCUAGCCAACAUGGCAGGAGUGAGCACUGGGAACCAGGCAUCCCCUAGAAAACGACAGAACCGACACAAAUGAACAGAUGCAAGCCAAACAAAACCUAAGGAAAUGACCAUAUAGACAACAUACCAUUUCUCUUACGAAUACCACAAACACCAACAACAGGAGCAUGCAAAACACGCCGACGGCGAGCCAUCAUCAGCAAUGAGCACACAUAUAUGCAAAUACUGCAUAUUAAGACGAAAGCGAAGUAAAGACAGCACAGGUAAAUGCAAAAAAGUAUCAAACAGGAGCACAAGAGACAGUAGAGCCAAUUAAAUGAAAUAAUAAUGAUUCAUGCAUACAAAGAGAUGUUUAUUACAAGCAUACCCAAGGGAACAAUAUAAUGACCCAGACAUAAUCUAUCUAAGACACUCCUAGAUGGGCCUUAGAACCCAGACACCGAAUUGACCAGCUAUGAAUACAAUAAUUGUAAUUGAACACUUGUAUUUAUACCAGCGACAUCAACCUGCCCGCCUGCAUGUACCAGAGGCCAGGCAGGCUGGGCAAGCGCACCUGCAAGCACCAGAACCGACUGCGCAACACCUUUUAUAUGCUAACAUGCUAUCGUAAUUGUAAUCUGCAACAACAAACCCAUAUAUCCCUUGUAAAAAUUGGUUUGACACGGCACCACGUCAUCCCUAGUAAGAACAUCAAUCUCCACCCCUCCAAGCAGAAAACCAUCAGAUGCCACCACUCAAACAUAAGAAUGAAAUGGCAAUCGACAAUAGGUCGCAACAGCCUCAAGCAGAGGCACACAGGAAGAACUGAUAAUAAAAAUGCUUAUAAUAAUUAAUUAUUAAGGAGCAACCGGAAAAAUACCAACGCAGACCAUACAAAGGGAAGAACACAGAAGCCUAUGAAAUAAAUAGUAAUAAACACAACUAAAUAGCAAGCAAUAGGAAACAUAGCAAGGCACGACUUACCCUAUGAACCGAGCAGCAGCUCCACCAGUAAGUAGUUUCCAACAACAAAGUGCAACCCAAGAACUCAGUUGUAACUGAAACAAGCUGCCAAACAGAAAGUAAGGACCAUGAAAGAAAGCAAGGCAAAUUAAUAAACAGAGAAAUCAUAUGUAGAAGCAAUGAAGUCUGUAAUUGAGAAGCGCAGAUAAUCACUAAAGCAGAGAACUAACAUAACAUAAUAGCUGAAGGUGGCAAGCAAAAACAAGCAGACCCGAUGAGCAUAGCAAGCGUGAAACGCAUUCAGGAGCAGUUGGUCAACAUGCAAAGACACAGAAUGAAAGCCUAAAGCAUGGGCACCAGAUAACUGAAUCUCGCAGCAAGAAGCUAACAGCAGACACCCCCUAUUAGAAGGCACCCUCAUUAGCAGAACUGUAAACACAUCAAGCACACAAUCUCAAAUUCUCUUUGUAACCAACCAUGCCAAGUUGCCAACCAUCAUGGACAACAUCUUAACAGCCCGGCGGAGCUCAAAUCCAACACUCUCUUCCUAAUCAAACAUCCACCAUUAAGACAAGGCAAACAUCCAGCACUGAGACCAUUAUAACAAGAAGAGGGAUACCCAACCAUAAUAACUUAGGCAGACCAAAUCAAUUGACAGAGGCCAAUUAACAGACCAAACCCUUUAUUUUUUUCACACGUCACCUGACAAAGAAUAAUGUCACCAAACCAGUCCAAAAGGCGCAUACCCUGGUACAUCGACCUCUUCUGAAAAUCUCACUACAAUCGUAGAGAGAGAAUGCCGGCCCUAGCAAGAUCUAGACAACUAAGAAAAAAACACCUGUCACGCACAAGCAAACAAAGGAGGCACAAUGGAGAACUACUAAAAUCUAACCGGAGGACACCACCAUUCGUCUCCAUCAACAUAAAGAGACAAAUGUGAACUACCAAAAUCCAACCAGAGGACCCAGCCAAUACAAGAAGAAACCAAACAAAUUCACUGAUUUGCCACCAUCCACACCCAUAUGAUCGACGGACACACCAUACCGAGCAAUACACACAGACAAACAAGAAACAUAAAAAUAGAGAUAAGGAAAACGAGAGGUCGACCUGUAGUUUCCUGAUGAAAACGCGAAGACCAUCAUAGAUCGACCAGCGACACAGCAAAUCUAGGCCAAGUGAGGAGGAGAACAACGGACCUGCAAGUAGUAGACACCCAAGAUCCAAAACUGGCCAGCCAUGACAAUUCGAACACAGAAAAGAGGAAAGAACCGAGAGGAGAAUCACCUUAGCCGACGUCACCCCAGCGCGCCGCCAUCGGAGCCCCUCGGCGACCAACCCAGCGACGACUCAUGGACCAGGGAGCAGGACUACAGAGAGGAUUGAGCAACAAAACGAAAGGAGGGGAGGAGAAGAGGCAGGCGAUGACGCAGGAUAAGGGAGACGACCCACGCCCUAUGCCGUCGUAUAGCUUCGGGCCACGCGAGGUCCGGGUGCCUCUCCCCACGCACGGGCAGCGCGCCUCGACCCCAACACCGGAUCCGGCACCGCCAUGGGCCGCUCGACGGGGCAGGGGCUGGAACUGGACGGCGGCGGGGCAGGGAGGCGGGUGGGAGGGAGGAGGCGCGCGGGAGAGGAGGGGAGGCGGCGGCGAGGCGGGAGGAGCUGGGCGCGGUGGAGGCGCGAGGCGAAGGCGCGAGCGAGGGAGGAGGGAGUCGGCUGCGUGGGAGGGAGGGAGGGAGGCGGCUGCGCGAGUGCGGGAGAGAGAGGCGGCUAGGUCAUCUCCAUGGCGUGGUCCCUUUUAUACCCCCACCAUGCGAAAUGACCAAAAUACCCUGGUGGGGGCAUGGUAUUUACAUUCUGUUGCCAUUACUAUUCAUUUCAGCAGUGUUUCUUCCAAAUUCGAUAGCCCAGAUCCUCCCACCUCUCGAUCCAACAGACGAAAACGCAUCAAGGGAACAGAUCCAACGGCCCAGAAUCGCUGAUCUCUGUGGAGCCUUGUAGGAACAUCCUUCUCUUAUCUCUUGAUAUAGGAGAAAUAAGUAGGUCGGUGGAGUAACGAGGGGCCCACGAGGGUGGAGGGCGCGCCCGGAGGGGGGGUAGGCGCGCCCCCUGCCUCAUGGCCUCCUCGAUUGUUUCUUGACGUCCACUCCAAGUCCCGUGGAUCACGUUUGUUCCAAAAAUCAUGUUCACGAAGGUUUCAUUCCGUUUGGACUCCGUUUGAUAUUCCUUUUCUACGAAACACUGAAAUAUGCAAAAAAAACAGCAAUUUGGGCUGGCCCUCCGGUUAAUAGGUUAGUCCCAAAAAUAAUAUAAAAGUGUAAAAUAAAUCCCAUUAACAUCCAAAACAGAUAAUAUAAUAGCAUGGAACAAUCAAAAAUUAUAGAUAUGUUGGAGACGUAUCAAGCAUCGCCAAGCUUAAUUCCUGCUCGUCCUCGGGUAGGUAAAUGAUAAAAACAGAAUUUUUGAUGUGGAAUGCUUUCUAGAAUAUUCUUCAAUGUAUUUUUCUAUAUUGUGGCAUGAAUGUUCAGAUCUGAAAGAUUCAUGAUAAAAGUUUAUUGUUGACAUAAAAAUAGUAAUACUCCAAGUAUGCUAGUCAAGCAAUUAUGUCUUAUAAAAAUACCAUAGCCAGAGAAAACUUAACCCUACAAAGUCAUAUAGUUUGGCCAUGCUUCAUUUUCGUCACACAAAAUGCUCUCAUCAUGCACAACCCCGAUGACAAGCCAAGCAAUUGUUUCAUACUUAGCCUUUUUCAAACUCUUUCAACUUUUACGCAAUAUAUGAGCGUGAGCCAUGGACAUAGCACUAUGGGUGGAAUAGAAUAUGAUGAUUGAGGUUGUGUGAGAAGACAAAAAGGGAGAAAGUCUCACAUUGACGCGGCUAAUCAAUGGGCUAUGGAGAUGCCCACCGAUUGAUGUCAAUGCAAGGAGUAGGGAUUGCCAUGCAACAGAUGCACUAGAGCUAUAAAUAUAUGAAAGCUCAUCAAAGAAACUAAGUGGGUGUGCAUCCAACUCGCUUGCUCACGAAGACCUAGGGCAUUUGAGGAAGCCCGUCAAUGGAAUAUACAAGCCAAGUUCUAUAAUGAAAAAUUCCCACUAGUAUAUGAAAGUGACAAAAUAAGAGACUCUCUAUCGUGAAGAUCAUGGUGUACUUUGAAGCACAAGUGUGGAAAAAGGAUAGUAACAUUGUCCCUUCUCUCUUUUUCUCUCAUUUAUUUUUUUUUCUUUUUUUAUUUGGGCCUUUUUUCCUUUUUUUUUCUUUUGGCCUCUUUUCUUUUCCUUUUUUCGUCCGGAGUCUCAUCCCGACUUGUGGGGGAAUCAUAGUCUCCAGCAUCCUUUCCUCACAUGGGACAAUGUUCUAAUGAUGAUCAUCACACUUUUAUUUUCUUACAACUCAAGAAUUACAACUCGAUACUUAGAACAAAAUAUGACUCUAUGUGAAUGCCUCCGGCGGUGUACCAGGAUUGCAAUGAAUCAAGAGUGACAUGUAUGAAAAAAUUAUGAACAGUGGAUUUGCCACAAAUACGAUGUCAACUACAUGAUCAUGCAAAGCAAUAUGACAAUGAUGAUACAUGUCAUAAUAAAUGGAACGGUGGAAAGUUGCAUGGCAUUAUAUCUCGGAAUGGCUAUGGAAAUGCCAUAAUAGGUAGGUAUGGUGGCUGUUUUGAGGAAGAUAUAAGGAGGCUUAUGUGUGAUAGUGAAGGAAAUAUGCCCUAGAGGCAAUAAUAAAGUUAUUAUUUACUUCCUUAUAUCAUGAUAAAUGUUUAUUAUUCAUGCUAGAAUUAUAUUAACCGGAAACAUGAUACAUGUGUGAAUGCAUAGACAAACAGAAUGUCACUAGUAUGCCUCUACUUGACUAGCUCGUUGGUCAAAGAUGGUUAUGUUUCCUGACCAUAGACAAAGAGUUGUCAUUUGAUUAACGGGGUCACAUCAUUAGGAUAAUGAUGUGAUUGACUUGGCCCAUUUCAUUAGCUUAGCACUUGAUCGUUUAGUUUGUUGCUAUUGCUUUCUUCAUGACUUAUACAUGUUCCUAUGACUAUGAGAAUAUGCAACUCCUGUUUACCGGAGGAACACUUUGUGUGCUACCAAACGUCACAACGUAACUGGGUGAUUAAAAAGGUGCUCUACAGGUGUCUCCGAAGGUACUUGUUGGGUUGGCGUAUUUCGAGAUUAGGAUUUGUCACUCCGAUUGUCGGAGAGGUAUCUCUGGGCCCACUCGGUAAUACACAUCACUUAAGCCUUGCAAGCAUUGCAACUAAUGAGUUGGUUGCGGGAUGAUGUGUUACGGAACGAGUAAAGAGACUUGCCGGUAAUGAGAUUGAACUAGGUAUUGAGAUACCGACAAUCGAAUCUCGGGCAAGUAACAUACCGAUGACAAAGGGAACAACGUAUGUUGUUAUGCGGUCCGACCGAUAAAGAUCUUCAUAGAAUAUGUAGGAGCCAAUAUGGGCAUCCAGGUUCCGCUAUUGGUUAUUAACCAAAGAGGUGUCUCGGUCAUGUCUACAUAGUUCUCGAACCCGUAGGGUCCGCACGCUUAACAUUCGCUGACGGUAUAGUAUUAUGAGUUAUAUAUGUUGGUGACGGAAUGUUGUUCGGAGUUCCGGAUAAGAUCACGGACAUGACGAGGAACUCCGGAAUGGUCCGGAGAUAAAGAUUGAUAUAUGGGAUAAUAGUGUUUGGACUCCGGAAGGGGUUCCGGAUGUUUCCCGAAAUGUUUGGGUACGAGAACACUUUAUUUGGGCCAAAGGGGAAAGCCCACAAGGUUUUUGGAAAACGGAAAAGGAAGUUUUGCGGAGUCCAGGGGCCAGACGCCAGGGUCCCUGGCGUCUGGCCCUGGAGUCCGAGAAGGACUCUUGCCUUUCAGGUGAAACCGACUUUGUGGAGGCUUUUACUCCAAGUUCCGACCCCAAGGCUCAACAUAUAAAUAGAGGGGUAGGGCUAGCACCCAAGACACAUCAAGAAACACCAAGCCGUGUGCCGGCAACCCCGUCCCCUCUAGUUUAUCCUCCAUCAUAGUUUUCGUAGUGCUUAGGUGAAGCCCUGCGGAGAUUGUUCUUCACAAAUACCGUCACCACGCCGUCGUGCUGCCGGAACUCAUCUACUACUUCGCCCCUCUUGCUGGAUCGAGAAGGCGAGGACGUCACCGAGCCGAACGUGUGCAGAACUCGGAGGUGCCAUGCUUUCGGUACUUGGAUCAGUCGGAUCGUGAAGACGUAAGACUACAUCAACCACGUUGAUAUAACGCUUCCGCGAAUGGUCUACGAGUGUACGUAGAUAACACUCUCCCCUCUCGUUGCUAUGCAUCACCAUGAACCUGCAUGUGCGUAGGAAUUUUUUUGAAAUUACUAUGUUCCCCAAUAGUGGCAUCCGAGCCUGGUUUUAUGCGUAGAUGUUAUAUGCACGAGUAGAACACAAGUGAGUUGUGGGCGAUACAAGUCAUUCUGCUUACCACCAUGUCAUACUUUGGUUCGGCGGUAUUGUUGGAUGAAGCGGCCCGGACCGACAUUACGCGUACGGUUACGCGAGACUGGUUCUACCGACGUGCUUUGCACAUAGGUGGCCGGCGGGUGUCAGUUUCUCCAGCUUUAGUUGAACUGAGUGUGGCUAUGCCCGGUCCUUGAGAAGGUUAAAACUGCACUAACUUGAUGAACUAUCAUUGUGGUUUUGAUGCAUAGGUAAGAACGGUUCUUGCUCAACCCGUAGCAGCCACGUAAAACUUGAAAAAGUAGAGGACGUCUAACUUGUUUUUGCAGGGCAUGAUGUGAUAUGAUAUGGCCAAGGCAUGAUGCUAUAUUUUAUUGUAUGAGAUGAUCAUGUUUUGUAACCGAGUUAUCGGCAACUGGCAGGAGCCAUAUGGUUGUCGCUUUAUUGUAUGCAAUGCAAACGCCCUGUAAUGCUUUACUUUAUCACUAAGCGGUAGCGAUAGUCAUAGAAGCAUAAGUUGGCGAGACGACAACGAUGCUACGAUGGAGAUCAAGGUGUCACGCCGGUGACGAUGGUGAUCAUGAUGGUGCUUCGGAGAUGGAGAUCACAAGCACAAGAAGAUGAUAGCCAUGUCAUAUCACUUAUAUUGAUUGCAUGUGAUGUUUAUCUUUUAUGCAUCUUAUCUUGCUUUGAUUGAUGGUAGCAUUAUAAGAUGAUCUCUCACUAAAUUAUCAAGAUAUAAGUGUUCUCCUUGAGUAUGCACCGUUGCGAAAGUUCUUCGUGCUGAGACACCACGUGAUGGUCGGGUGUGAUAGGCUCUACGUUCAAAUACAACGGGUGCAAAACAGUUGCACACGCGGAAUACUCAGGUUAAACUUGACGAGCCUAGCAUAUAACAGAUACACGGAGACCGAAAGGUCGAGCGUGAAUCAUAUAGUAGAUAUGAUCAACAUAGUGAUGUUCACCAUUGAAACUACUCCAUCUCACGUGAUGAUCGGACAUGGUUUAGUUGAUUUGGAUCACGUGAUCACUUGGAAGAUUAGAGGGGUGUCUAUCUAAGUGGGACUUCUUAAGUAAUAUGAUUAAUUGAACUUAAAUUUAUCAUGAACUUAGUACCUGAUAGUUUCUAGCUUGUCUAUGUUGAUUAUAGAUAGAUGGCUCGUGUUGUUGUUUCGUUAAAUUUUAAUGCGUUCCUUGAGAAAGCAAAUUUGAAAGAUGAUGGUAGCAAUUACACGGACUGGGUCUGUAACUUGAGGAUUAUCCUCAUUGCUGCACAGAAGAAUUACGUCCUGGAAGCACCGCUAGGUGUACCACCUGCACCAGCAACUGCAGACAUUGUGAAUGCCUGGCAGUCACGUGUUGAUGACUACUCGAUAGUUCAGUGUGCCAUGCUUUACGGCUUAGAACCGGGACUUCAACGAUGUUUUGAACAUCAUGGAGCAUAUGAGAUGUUCCAGGAGUUGAAGUUAAUAUUUCAAGCAAAUGCCUGGAUUGAGAGAUAUGAAGUCUCAUAUAAGUUCUAUAGCUGCAAGAUGGAGGAGAAUAGUUCUGUUAGUGAGCAUAUACUCAGAAUGUCUGGGUACUGCAAUCACUUGAUUCAACUGGGAGUUAAUCUUCCAGGUGAUAGUGUCAUUGACAGAAUUCUUCAAUCACUGCCACCAAGCUACAAGAGCUUCGUGAUGAACUAUAAUAUGCAAGGGAUGGAUAAGACGAAUCCCGAGCUCUUUGCAAUGCUAAAGGAUGCGGAGGUACAAAUCAAGAAGGAGCAUCAAGUGUUGAUGGUCAAUAAGACCACCAGUUUCAAGAAAAAGGGCAAAGGGAAGAAGAAGGGAAACUUCAAAAAGAACGGCAAACAAGUUGUUGCUCAAGAGAAGAAACCCAAGUCUGGACCUAAGCCUGAGACUGAGUGCUUCUACUGCAAGUAGACUGGUCACUGGAAGCGGAACUGCCCCAAGUAUUUGGCAGAUAAGAAGGAUGGCAAGGUGAACAAAGGUAUAUGUGAUAUACAUGUUAUUGAUGUGUACCUUACUAAUGCUCGCAGUAGCACCUGGUUAUUUGAUACUGGUUAUGUUGCUAAUAUUUGCAACUCGAAAUAGGAGCUACGGAUUAAGCGAAGACUAGCUAAGGACGAGGUGACGAUGCGUGUGGGAAAUGGUUCCAAAGUCGAUGUGGUCGUAGUCGGCAGACUACCUCUACAUCUACCUUCGGGAUUAGUUUUAGACCUGAAUAAUUGUUAUUUGGUGCCAGCGUUGAGCAUGAACAUUAUAUCUGGAUCUUGUUUGAUGCGAGAUGGUUAUUCAUUUAAAUCAGAGAAUAAUGGUUGUUCUAUUUAUAUGAGUAAUAUCUUUUAUGGUCAUGCACCCUUGAAGAGUGGUCUAUUCUUAUUAAAUCUCGAUAGUAGUGAUACACAUAUUCAUAAUAUUGAAGCCAAAAGAUGCAGAGUUGAUAAUGAUAGUGCAACUUAUUUGUGGCACUACCGUUUAGGUCAUAUCGGUAUAAAGCCCAUGAAGAAAUUCCAUACUGAUGGACUUUUGGAACCACUUGGUUAUGAAUCAUUUGGUACUUGCGAACCGUGCCUCAUGGGCAAGAUGACUAAAACGCCGUUCUCCGAAACUAUGGAGCGAGCAACAGAUUUGUUGGAAAUCAUACAUACAAAUGUGUGUGGUCCGAUGAAUAUUGAGGCUCGCGACGGGUAUUGUUAUUUUCUCACCUUCACAGAUGAUUUAAGCAGAUAUGGGUAUAUCUACUUAACGAAACAUAAGUCUGAAACAUUUGAAAAGUUCAAAGAAUUUCAGAGUGAAGUUGAAAAUCAUUGUAACAAGAAAAUAAAGUUUCUAUGAUCUGAUCAUGGACGAGAAUAUUUGAGUUACGAGUUUGGUCUUCAUUUGAAACAAUGCGGAAUAGUUUCGCAACUGACGCCACCCGGAACACCACAACGUAAUGGUGUGUCCUAACAUCGUAAUCAUAGUUUACUAGAUAUGGUGCAAUCUAUGAUGUCUCUUACUGAUUUACCGCUAUCAUUUUGGGGUUAUGCUCUAGAGACAGCUGCAUUCAUGUUAAAUAGGGCACCAUCAAAAUCCGUUGAGACGACGCCUUAUGAACUAUGGUUUGGCAAGAAACCAAAGUUGUCGUUUCUGAAAGUUUGGGGUUGCGAUGCUUAUGUGAAAAAGCUUCAACCUGAUAAGCUCGAACCCAAAUCAGAGAAAUGUGUCUUCAUAGGACACCCAAAAGAGACUGUUGGGUACACCUUCUAUCACAGAUCCGAAGGCAAGACUUUUGUUGCUAAAUUAGGAAUCUUUCUAGAGAAGGAGUUUCUCUCGAAAGAAGUGAGUGGGAGGAAAGUAGAACUUGAUGAGGUAACUAUACCUGCUCCCUUAUUGGAAAGUAGUUCAUCACAGAAACAGGUUCCUGUGACACCUACACCAAUUAGUGAGGAAGUUAAUGAUGAUGAUCAUGAAACUUCAGAUCAAGUUGUUACUGAACCUCGUAGGUCAACCAGAGUGAGAUCCGCACCAGAGUGGUACGGUAAUCCUGUUAUGGAGGUUAUGUUGCUAGACCAUGAUGAACCUACGAACUAUGAAGAAGCAAUGGUGAGCCCAGAUUCCGCAAAAUGGCUUGAAGCCAUGAAAUCUGAGAUGGGAUCCAUGUAUGAGAACAAAGUGUGGACUUUGGUUGACUUGCCCGUUGAUCGGCAAGCCAUCGGGAAUAAAUGGAUCUUCAAGAAGAAGACUGACGCUGAUGGUAAUGUUACUGUCUAUAAAGCUCGACUUGUUGCAAAAGGUUUCAACAAGUUCAAGGGAUUGACUACGAUGAGACCUUCUCCCCCGUAGCGAUGCUAAAGUCUGUCUGAAUCAUGUUAGCAAUUGCUGCAUUUUAUGAUUAUGAAAUUUGGCAAAUGGAUGUCAAAACUGCAUUCCUGAAUGGAUUUCUGGAAGAAGAAUUGUAUAUGAUGCAACCGGAAGGUUUUGUCGAUCCAAAGGGAGCUAACAAAGUGUGCAAGCUCCAGCGAUCCAUUUAUGGACUGGUACAAGCCUCUCGGAGUUGGAAUAAACAUUUUGAUACUGUGAUCAAAGCAUAUGGUUUUAUACAGACUUUUGGAGAAGCCUGUAUUUACAAGAAAGUGAGUGGGACCUCUGUAGCAUUUCUAAUUUUAUAUGUGGAUGACAUAUUGUUGAUUGGAAAUGAUAUAGAAUUUCUGGAUAGCAUAAAAGGAUAUUUGAAUAAAAGUUUUUCAAUGAAAGACCUCGGUGAAGCUACUUACAUAUUGGGCAUCAAGAUCUAUAGAGAUAGAUCAAGACUCUUAAUUGGACUUUCACAAAGCACAUACCUUGACAAAGUUUUGAAGAAGUUCAAAAUGGAUCAAGCAAAGAAAGGGUUCUUGCCUGUGUUACAAGGUGUGAAGUUGAGUAAGACUCAAUGCCCGACCACUGCAGAAGAUAGAGAGAAAAUGAAAGAUGUUCCCUAUGCUUCAGCCAUGGGCUCUAUAAUGUAUGCAAUGCUGUGUACCAGACCUGAUGUGUGCCUUGCUUUUAGUUUAGCAGGGAGGUACCAAAGUAAUCUAGGAGUGGAUUACUGGAUAGCGGUCAAGAACAUCCUAAAAUACCUGAAAAGGAUGAAGGAUAUGUUUCUCGUUUAUGGAGGUGACAAAGAGCUCAUCGUAAAUGGUUACGUCGAUGCAAGCUUUGACACUGAUCCGGACGAUUCUAAAUCACAAACCGGAUACAUGUUUUUAUUAAACGGUGGAGCUAUCAGUUGGUGCAGUUCUAAACAAAGCGUCGUAGCAGGAUCUACAUGUGAAGCGGAGUAUAUAGCUGCUUUAGAAGCAGCAAAUGAAGGAGUCUGGAUGAAGGAGUUCAUAUCCGAUCUAGGUGUCAUACCUAGUGCAUCGGGUCUAAUGAAAAAUCUUUUGUGACAAUACUGGUGCAAUUGCUUAGGCAAAGGAAUCCAGAUUUCACAAGAGAACCAAGCACAUCAAGAGACUCUUCAACUCCAUCCGGGACCAAGUCCAGGUGGGAUACAUAGAGAUUUGAAAGAUACAUACGGAUCUGAAUGUUGCAGACCCGUUGACUAAGCCUCUUCCACGAGCAAAACAUGAUCAGCACCAAGGCUCCAUGGGUGUUAGAAUCAUUACUGUGUAAUCCAGAUUAUUGACUCUAGUGCAAGUGGGAGACUAAAGGAAAUAUGCCCUAGAGGUAAUAAUAAAGUUAUUAUUUAUUUCCUUAUAUCAUGAUAAAUGUUUAUUAUUCAUGCUAGAAUUGUAUUAACCGGAAACAUGAUACAUGUGUGAAUACAUAGACAAACAGAAUGUCACUAGUAUGCCUCUACUUGACUAGCUCGUUGGUCAAAGAUGGUUAUGUUUCCUGACCAUAGACAAAGAGUUGUCAUUUGAUUAAUGGGGUCACAUCAUUAGGAUAAUGAUGUGAUUGACUUCACCCAUUUCGUUAGCUUAGCACUUGAUCGUUUAGUUUGUUGUUAUUGCUUUCUUCAUGACUUAUACAUGUUUUUAUGACUAUGAGAUUAUGCAACUCCUGUUUACCGCAGGAACACUUUGCAUGCUACCAAACGUCACAACGUAACUGGGUGAUUAUAAAUGUGCUCUACAUGUGUCUCCGAAGGUACUUGUUGGGUUGGCGUAUUUCGAGAUUAGGAUUUGUCACUCCGAUUGUCGGAGAGGUAUCUCUGGGCCCACUCGGUAAUACACAUCACUUAAGCCUUGCAAGCAUUGCAACUAAUGAGUUGGUUGCGGGAUGAUGUGUUACAGAACGAGUAAAGAGACUUGCCAGUAAUGAGAUUGAACUAGGUAUUGAGAUACCGACGAUCGAAUCUCGGGCAAGUAACAUACCGAUGACAAAGGGAACAAUGUAUGUUGUUAUGCGGUCCGACCGAUAAAGAUCUUCGUAGAAUAUGUAGGAGCCAAUAUGGUCAUCCAGGUUCCGCUAUUGGUUAUUGACCAGAGAGGUGUCUCGGUCAUGUCUACAUAGUUCUUGAACCCAUAGGGCCCGCACGCUUAACGUUCGUUGACGAUAUAGUAUUAUGAGUUAUAUAUGUUGGUGAGUGAAUGUUGUUCGGAGUUCCGGAUAAGAUCACGGACAUGACGAGGAACUCCGGAAUGGUCCGGAGAUAAAGAUUGAUAUAUGGGAUAAUAGUGUUUGGACUCCGGAAGGGGUUUCGGAUGUUUCCCGAAAUGUUUGGGUACGAGAACACUUUAUUUGGGCCAAAGGGGAAAGCCCACAAGGUUUUUGGAAAGCGCAAAAGGAAGUUUUGUGGAGUCCAGGGGCCAGACGCCAGGGUCCUUGGAGUCUGGGUCCAGACGCCGGGAACCGUGGCGUCUGGCCCUGGAGUCCAAGAAGGACUCUUGCCUUUCAGGUGAAACCGACUUUGUGGAGGCUUUUACUCCAAGUUUCGACCCCAAGGCUCAACAUAUAAAUAGAGGGAUAGGGCUAGCACCCAAGACACAUCAAGAAACACCAAGUUGUGUGCCGGCAACCCCGUCCCCUCUAGUUUAUCCUCCGUCAUAGUUUUUGUAGUGCUUAGGUGAAGCCCUGCGGAGAUUGUUCUUCACCAACACCGUCACCACGCCGUCGUGCUGCCGGAACUCAUCUACUACUUCGCCCCUCUUGCUGGAUUGAGAAGGCGAGGACAUCACCGAGCCGAACGUGUGCAGAACUCGGAGGUGCCGUGCUUUCGGUACUUGGAUCGGUCGGAUCGUGAAGACGUACGACUACAUCAACCGCGUUGAUAUAACGCUUCCGCGAACGGUCUACGAGGGUACGUAGACAACACUCUCCCCUCUCGUUGCUAUGCAUCACCAUGAUCCUGCGUGUGCAUAGGAAUUUUUUUGAAAUUACUACAUUCCCCAACAGAUAGAGCGUAUCAUAUCACGGGGUUUGGAUGCACCGGCGAAGUUUGCACCAACUCUCAAGGUGAGAAAGGGCAAUGCACGGUACCGAAGAGGCUAGCAAUGAUGGAAGGGUGAGAGUGCGUAUAAUCCAUGAACUCAACAUUAGUCAUAAAGAACUCACAUACUUAUUGCAAAAAUUUACAAGUCAUCAAAACCAAGAACUAUGCGCAUGCUCCUAGGGGAUAGAUUGGUAGGAAAAGACCAUCGCUCAUCCCCGACCGCCACUCAUAAGGAAAGCAAUCAAAGAACACCCCAUGCUUCAAAUUUGUCACAUAAUGUUUACCAUACAUGCAUGCUAUGGGACUUGCCAACUUCAACACAAGUAUUCGUCAAUUUUACAAUUACUCAACUAGCACACCUCUAAUAUUACCACCUUUAUAUCUCAAAACCAUCUAUCAAGCAUCCAACUUCUCUUAGCAUUUAAAAUUUAUAACCAAAGUGAAUUACCAUGCUGUUCUAAAGGACUCUCAAAAUGAUAUAAGUGAAGCAUGAGAGAUCAAUUAUUUCUAUAAAAUAGAACCACCACCGUGCUCUAAAAGAUAUAAGCAAAGCAAUAGAGCUAAAAUUGUACAACUCAAAAGAUAUAAGUGAAUCACACAGAGUAUUCUAAUAAAUUCCAAUUCAUGUGAGUCCUUCCCAAAAGUUGUGUACAACAAAGAUGAUUGUGGUAAACUAAAAAGUAAAGACUCAAAUCAUACAAUACGCUCCAAGCAAAACACAUAUCAUGUGGCGAAUAAAAAUAUAGCUCCAAGUAAAGUUACCGAUGGACGAAGACGAAAGAGGGGAUGCCUUCCGGGGCAUCCCCAAGCUUAGGAUUUUUGGUGUCCUUGGAUUUUACCUUGGGGUGCCUUGUGAAUCCCCAAGCUUAGGCUCUUGCCACUCCUUGUUCCAUAAUCCAUCAAAUCUUUACCCAAAACUUGAAAACUUCACAACACAAAACUUAAAAGAAAAUCUUCGUGAGCUCCGUUAAUAAAAGAAAACAAACCACCACUUCAAGGUAAUGUAAUGAACUCAUUCUUUAUUUAUAUUUGUGUUAAACCUACUGUAUUCCAACUUUUGUAUGGUUCAUAAACUCUAUUACUAGCCAUAGAUUCAUCAAAAUAAGCAAACAACAUGCGAAAAAGAGAAUCUGUCAAAAACAGAACAGUCUGUAGUAAUCUGUAGGUUUCGAAUACUUCUGGAACCCCAAAAAUUCUAAAGUAAAUUUCUGGACGUGAGGAAUUUAUCUAUUAAUCAUCUGCAAAAAUAAUUAACUAAAUAUCACCCUCCAAUAAAAAAUGGCAUCAAUUCUCGUGAGCGCUAAAAUUUCUGUUUUUUACAGCAAGAUCAGAAAGACUUUCCCCAAGUCUUCCCAACGGUUCUACUUGGCACAAACACUAAUUAAACACAAAAAAACACAACCAAAACAGAGGCUAGAUAAAUUAUUUAUUACUAAAUAGUAACAAAAAGCAAGGAAUAAAAAUAAAGUUGGAUUGCCUCCCAACAAGCGCUAUCGUUUAACGCCCCUAGCUAGGCAUAAAAGCGAAGAUAGAUCUAGGUAUUGCCAUCUUUGGUAGGCAAUCCAUAAGUGGCUCUCAUAAUUGAUUCAUAUAGUAAUUUCAUUUUCUUUCUAGGGAAGUUUUCCAUGCCUUUCCUUAACGGAAAAUGGAAUUUAAUUUCCCUUCCUUCAUAUCAAUAAUUGCACCAAUCGUUCUAAGGAAAGGUCUACCAAGAAUAAUAGGACAUGAAGGAUUGCAAUCUAUAUCAAGAACAAUGGAAUCUACGGGCACAUAAUUCCUAUUCGCAACAAUAAGAACAUCAUUAAUCUUUUCCAUAGGUUUCUUAAUAGUGGAAUCCGCAAGGUGCAAGUUUAUAGAACAAUCAUCAAAUUCAUGGAAACCUAGCAAAUCACACAAAGUUUUUGGGAUCGUGGAAACACUAGCACCAAAAUCACACAAAGCAUAGCAUUCAUGAUCUUUAAUUUUAAUUUUAAUUUUAGGUUCCCACUCAUCAUAAAGUUUUCUAGGGAUAGAAACUUCCAACUCAAGUUUUUUCUUCGUAAGAUUGCAUCAAAGCAUCAACGAUAUGUUUAGUAAAGGCUUUAUUUUGACUAUAAGCAUGUGGAGAAUUUAGCAUGGAUUGCAACAAGGAAAUACAAUCUAUCAAAGAGAAAUUAUAAUAAUUAAAUUCCUUGAAAUCCAAGAUAGUGGGUUCGUUGCUAUCUAAAGUUUUGACCUCUUCAAUCCCACUUUUACCAAUUUUUGCAUCAAGAUCUAAAAACUCUGAAUCAUUGGGACGCCUUCUAACUAAAGUUGACUCAUCUCCAGUCCCAUCAUUAUCAAGAUUCAUAUUGAAAAACAAGGAUUUAAUAGGGGACACAUCAAUCACUUUUAGAUCUUCAUCCUUAUUAUCAUGAAAACUUUGCGGUUUAGCGGCCAUCUUAUUAACUAAGGCGGCCUCCUUAUCCGAGAUUUCAGCAAUUAAUUUUUCAAGAUGAGCAAGCUGAGAUUUCAAACCAUAAAAUUCCUUAGACAUAUCAUUGAGAUCUUUAUUCAUGAAACCGAUAAAACUUUUUUGUUCUUUAAGCUCAUUUCUAGAGAAAUUAUUAUGCUCAAACUGCAAGGACAUAAAACUUCUAACGUUGUUUUCGAUUUCUUCCAACCUUGUAAGGUGAGGAUCAACUCCUUUUGGUAAAGCCAUGAGGGCAACAAGCAACAAGACGUAAGCGAGAAAGAGGCGAAUGGGAAAGACAGAGCGAAUAAAACGGCAAGGGUGAAGUGGGGGAGAGGAAAACGAGAGGCAAAUGGCAAAUAAUGUAAUGCAAAGGAUAAGAGUUGUGAUGGGUACUUGGUAUGUCUUGACUUGGCGUAGAUCUCCCCGGCAACGACGCCAGAAAUCCUUCUUGCUACCUCUUGGGCACUUUGUUGGUUUUCCCUUGAAGAGGAAAGGGUGAUGCAGUAAAGCAACGUAAGUAUUUCCCUCAGUUUUUGAGAACCAAGGUACCAAUCCAGUAGGAGACCACACACGAGUCACCUCGUACCUACACAAACAAAUAAGAACCUCGCAACCAACACGAUAAAGGGGUUGUCAAUCCCUUCACGGCCACUUGCAAGAGUGAGAUCUGAUAGAGAUGAUAAUAAUAAGAUAAAUAUUUUUGGUAUUUUUAUGAUAUAGAUUGAAAGUAAAGAUUGCAAAAUAAAAUAGAUUGGAAACUUAUAUGAUGGAGAAUAGACCCGGGGGCCAUAGGUUUCACUAUUGGCUUCUCUCAAGAUAGCAUAAGUAUGGUGGGUGAACAAAUUACUAUUGAGCAAUUGAUAGAAAAGCGAAUAAUUAUGAGAAUAUCUAGGUAUGAUCAUGUAUAUAGGCAUCACAUCCGUGACAAGUAGACCGACUCUUGCCUGCAUCUACUACUAUUACUCCACACAUCGACCGCUAUCCAGCAUGCAUCUACUACUAUUACUCCACACAUCAACCGCUAUCCAGCAUGCAUCUAGAGUAUUAAGUUCAUAAGAAUGGAGUAACGCCUUAAGCAAGAUGAAAUGAUGUAGAGGGAUAAACUCAUGCAAUAUGAUAUAAACCCCAUCUUUUUAUCCUCGAUGGCAACAAUACAAUACGUGUCGUUUCCCUUUCUGUCACUGGGAUCGAGCACCGCAAGAUUGAACCCAAAGCUAAGCACUUCUCCAAUGGCAAGAAAGAUCAAUCUAGUAGGCCAAACCAAACUGAUAAUUCGAAGAGACUUGCAAAGAUAAACCAAUCAUACAUAAAAGAAUUCAGAGAAGAUUCAAAUAUUGUUCAUAGAUAGACUUGAUCAUAAACCCGCAAUUCAUCAGAUCUCGACAAACACACCGCAAAAGAAGACUACAUCGAAUAGAUCUCCAAGAGAAUUGAGGAGAACUUUGUAUUGAGAUCCAAAGAGAGAGAAGAAGCCAUCUAGCUACUAGCUAUGGACCCGAAGGUCUGAGGUAAAUGACUCACACAUCAUCGGAGGGGCCAUGGAGUUGAUGUAGAGGCCCGCCGUGAUCAAUGACCCCUCCGGCGGAGCUCCGGAAAAGGCCCCAGGAUGGGAUCUCUUGGGUACAGAAGGUUGCGGCGGUGGAAAUAGGGUUUCGUGGUGCUCCUGGAUGUUCUCGGGGUAUAUGGAUAUAUAUAUAUAUAUAUAUAUAUAUAUAUAUAUAUAGGAGGAAGAAGUAGGUCGGUGGAGCAACGAGGGGCCCACGAGGGUGGAGGGCGUGCCCAGGGGGGUAGGCGCGCCCCCUGCCUCAUGGCCUCCUCGAUUGUUUCUUGACGUCCACUCAAAAUCCCCUGGAUCACAUUUGUUCCAAAAAUCACGUUCCCGAAGGUUUCAUUCUGUCUGGACUCCGUUUGAUACUCCUUUUCUACGAAACACUGAAAUAGGCAAAAAACAGCAAUUUGGGCUGAGCCUCCGUUUAAUAGGUUAGUCCCAAAAACAAUAUAAAAGUGUAAAAUAAAGCCCAUUAACAUCCAAAACAGAUAAUAUAAUAGCAUGGAACAAUCAAAAAUUAUAGAUACGUUGGAGACGUAUCAGAUAUCUGGUGUUCAAGGGGGGCUUGCCUAGUUGCUUUGGCAAGAAGGAAGGGUCGUCAACACCGUAGUCGAGCUGGGGGUCGCCGGUAGUCUCGGGGUCUACCAAAAAGAAGUAACGGAGGGGAAACACAAUAAAUAACAAAGCAAUCAAAGCAUCACAAAGUAUAACAUGGCAAUACGCGGUGCUAGGUUUGACCUAACGUAGUACUAGGUGAUACCGGUGAAGGAGGAAAACAUCCGGGAAGUAUUCCCGGUGUUUCGCGUUUUCGAACAGAUGAACCGGAGGGGGAAAGUUGUGUGUUUGCUAUGCUAGGGAUGUGUGGCGGAAGAACAGGCUGCGUAUUCGGAUUCGUCUCGUCGUUCUGAGCAACUUUCAUGUACAAAGUAUUUUCAUCCGAGUUACGGUUUAUUUGCUAUUGUUUAUCAAAGUUUUAGGCAUUUUUUUAAGUUCAUUUAAUUAUUUAAAUCAAACAUUAUCCAGAACAGUGAAAGGUGAUGUCAGCAUGACAUCACCAUGACAUCAGCAGGUCAAACCCAGCUGAUGAGAGUCAAACCUGGCCUGUGGGUCUAGUGGGACCCACCUGUCAUAGACUAAGGCUAACUAAACAUGUUUAGUUAGUUUAGCUAAUUGAUUAGGUUAAUCAAACACAAUUAAUUUAAUUAAUUAAUUUAGUUAAUUAAUUAAUUAAUAUUUGUAUUUAUUUAUUAUUAUUCUUAAUUCUUUUUUAAUUCUUUUUUCUAAUCGUUCUGGGUGGGCCCCCCUUGUCAUAGGCCCUAGAGGCCUUAAUGGGGCGNNNNNNNNNNNNNNNNNNNNNNNNNNNNNNNNNNNNNNNNNNNNNNNNNNNNNNNNNNNNNNNNNNNNNNNNNNNNNNNNNNNNNNNNNNNNNNNNNNNNUAGGGCCAGGACAGCACGCCGGCGUGGAGCAGUGGCAGGGCGUGCACGCGCGGUCUCGGCAAGGUGCGGGCACGGCGGCCGUCAACGGGGAAGGCGGGUCGGCACGGUGGCACACAGUAGCAGCAGAAGCGGCGCAGCAGUUGAGGCUGUGGGCGCGUGAGCGGCUGCCGGCAGACGAGGUCAAGCAGAGGGGGAGCGGGGCGGGGUAUGUCAUCCGGGCGAGAGGACGCGAGCGCAUGCGCGCGUGAUGGUGCGCUGAGCGCAGCGGGCAGGGCCACGGCGCGGCCAACAACGGCUACAAGGCGAGGUGGGCGCAGUGGCCGGCGAGCAGCAGUGAAGGUGGUGGAGGGGGCCGCGGCAGACACGGGACAGAGGAAGAGACGGGGAAAGGGCGAGGCUCGAGGUGUCCUUUGGGGAGGAGGACGGGGAUGCAAGAUCCGGCGACGGGGCGGUGGUCGGCGACGAGCGUCGGCGGAGUGGCUCCGGGCGGCGUCGGCGACGGUUCCUCGGGUGGGGGCGUGGUCGGGCAGCCGUGUACGACGAGGUGGCGGCGGGGGAUGACUCUGGCGCGGGAGUGGUGGCGGAGGUGGGUGCAGGGGAGGAUGAGGCGAGUUCGGGGGAGGCGCAGGGCGUGGCCGGCGGGAGGAGCUGCGGGGUCGAGCGAGAGCGCUCUCGCUCGUCCGUGGCGGCGCGAGGCGGGUGGGGGUCGAGAGGAUCAUGCAGAUAGGGAGUGGGGGCGAGAGGUGUGAGGGUCUAGGGUUCAGUUGCAGGGGGUUAUUGGGGCAGUGGUGGGCCGACUGGGUGUGCGACCAGCUGGGCUGUGGCCCAGUUGGACCAGGGGCACUUUUCCUUUUUAUUUUACUUCUUUUUGUUUUUUUUAUUUAUCCUUUAUUUAUUUAUUUUAGUUUCUAUUUAUUUUAGUUUUAAUAAAAUACAAAAGUGACACCUAAUUUAGUGUUACAAAUUGUGGCUUUGCAACUAUUAAUUUAGCUCUCCAAAAUAAAAUGGUUUGUAAUAGUUUAUUCUUUUUAAAAGCAUUUAAGUAAUUGUUUAGCCCCUAUUUCAAUUAAUUUCUUACAUCUAAACAUUUUAUCAAAAUGUGGUUUCAUCAGCAUAAUUACAUAUGCAUUAUAUGUCAUCUCUCGAACAUUUUAGUUUUAAUUUUUGAAAACAUUUGUUGCUUGCCUAUAUUUUAAAUUUGAAUUUGAAUCGUUUUUUGAACCAUCGCGAAAUUAAUAACAGUAAUCGCAGUGACAUGGCAUCAUUAGCAAAGGUCCACUGUAGCUUAAUUAUCCGGGCGUCACAAUUCUCCUCCAUUACAAGAAAUCUCGUCCCGAGAUUUUAAGAGGCUGAGUAAGGGGAAAGAUGUGGUUACUAAAUUCUAACAAUUCUUCUCGGUCUUAGUUUCUCUUCUCAAAGAGGUCGAUCCAUUACAUUCAUGUCUUCAUUUCUCUGCUUCAAGUCAUCAUGAUGAAGUUGUCGUCCUUCCUUAAGGAUCUUCACUAUACUUACAAAAGACUAAAGGAGGAGCAUUCCGGGAGAACAGACCUCGGCAAGGUUGACUAUCUAGUCGAGAACAUCGAGGAAGGUGGCGGAGAGUAACUCUCGAAUUGAAACUUAUGAAAAUAUCGAGAGCAAAGUAAGGAGUUAUCAUGGGAAGUUUCGAGCGGGCAGGCAAGCGCUCGAUGCCUGAAACAGGGCGCGAAAGGGACCCAAAGCAACGGGAAUAAGUAUUGUGUCUGAUAGCAGAAUUGAUGAUCUCUCGAAAGGUGGCUCAUGAAUUACAUAUGAGACCACACGCGAGGAAUAACUAUGGAAAUAGGGGGUACAUGAGAGUGAAGGAAAUAUGCCCUAGAGGCAAUAAUAAAGUUAUUAUUUAUUUCCUUAUAUCAUGAUAAAUGUUUAUUAUUCAUGCUAGAAUUGUAUUAACCGGAAACAUAAUACAUGUGUGAAUACAUAGACAAACAGAGUGUCACUAGUAUGCCUCUACUAGACUAGCUCGUUAAUCAAAGAUGGUUAUGUUUCCUAACCAUGGACAAAGAGUUGUUAUUUGAUUAACGGGAUCACAUCAUUAGGUGAAUGAUCUGAUUGACAUGACCCAUUCCAUUAGCUUAGCACUUGAUCGUUUAGUAUGUUGCUAUUGCUUUCUUCAUAACUUAUACAUGUUCCUAUGACUAUGAGAUUAUGCAACUCCCGUUUACCGGAGGAACACUUUGUGUGCAACCAAACGUCACAACGUAACUGGGUGAUUAUAAAGGUGCUCUACAGGUGUCUCCAAAGGAACAUGUUGGGUUGGCGUAUUUCGAGAUUAGGAUUUGUCACUCCGAUUGUCGGAGAGGUAUCUCUGGGCCCUCUCGGUAAUGCACAUCACUUAAGCCUUGCAAGCAUUGCAACUAAUGAGUUAGUUGCGGGAUGAUGUAUUACAGAACAAGUAAAGAGACUUGCCGGUAACAAGAUUGAACUAGGUAUGGGAUACCGACGAUCGAAUCUUGGGCAAGUAACAUACCGAUGACAAAGGGAACAACGUAUGUUGUUAUGCGGUCUGACCAAUAAAAGAUCUUCGUAGAAUAUGUAGGAGCCAAUAUGAGCAUCCAGGUUCCGCUAUUGGUUAUUGACCGGAGACGUGUCUCGAUCAUGUCUACAUUGUUCUCGAACCCGUAGGGUCCGCAUGCUUAAGGUUACGAUGACAGUUAUAUUAUGAGUUUAUGCAUUUUGAUGUACCGAAGGUUGUUCGGAGUCCCGGAUGUGAUCACGGACAUGACGAGGAGUCUCGAAAUGGUCGAGACAUAAAGAUUGAUAUAUUGGAAGCCUAUGUUUGGAUAUCGGAAGUGUUCCAGGUGAAAUCGGGAUUUUACCGGAGUACCGGGAGGUUACCGGAACCCCCCAGGAGGUAUAUGGGCCUUAGUGGGCCUUAGUGGAAGAGAGGAGAGGUGGCCAGAGAUGGGAUGCGCGCCCCUCCCCCCUUGGUCCGAAUUGGACAAGGAGAGGGGGCCGGGCCCCCUUCCUCCUCUCUCUCCUCUUCCCCCCUCCACGAAUCCUAUUCCAACUAGGAAAGGGGGGGGGGGUCCUACUCCCAGAGGGAGUAGGACUCCUCCUGGCGCGCCUCUCCUGGCCGGCCGGCCCCCUCCCUUGAACCUUUAUAUACGGAGGCAUGGGCACCCCCUAGAGACACAAGUUGAUCCACGUGAUCAUAUUCUUAGCCGUGUGCGGUGACCCCUUUCCACCAUAGUGCUCGAUAAUAUUGUAGCGGUGCUUAGGCGAAGCCCUGUGACGGUAGUACAUCAAGAUCGUCACCACGCCGUCGUGCUGACGGAACUCUUCCCCGACACUUUGCUGGAUCGGAGUCCAGGGAUCGUCAUCGAGCUGAACGUGUGCUAGAACUCGGAGGUGCCAAAGUUUCGGUGCUUGAUCGGUCGGGCCAUGGAGACGUACGACUACAUCAACCAAACGCUUCCGUUGUCGAUCUACAAGGGUACGUAGAUCAUACUCUCCCCUCUCGUUGCUAUGCAUCACCAUGAUCUUGCGUGUGCGUAGGAUUUUUUUUGAAAUUACUACGUUUCCCAACAGUGGCAUCCGAGCCUAGGUUUUAUAUGUUGAUAUUAUAUGCACGAGUAGAACACAAGUGAGUUGUGGGCGAUAUAAGUCAUACUGCUUACCAACAUGUCAUACUUUGGUUCGGUGGUAUUGUUGGACGAAGCGGCCCGGACCGACAUUACGCGUACGCUUACGCGAGACCGGUUCUCCCGACGUGCUUUGCACAUAGGUGGCUUGCGGGUGACAGUUUCUCCAACUUUAGUUGAACCGAGUGUGGCUACGCCCGGUCCUUGCGAAGUUUAAAACAGCACCAACUUGACAAACUUUCAUUGUGGUUUUGAUGCGUAGGUAAGAUUGGUUCUUGCUUAAAGCCCGUAGCAGCCACGUAAAACAUGCAACAACAAAGUAGAGGACGUCUAACUUGUUUUUGCAGGGCAUGUUGUGAUGUGAUAUGGUCAAGACAUGAUGCUAAAUUUUAUUGUAUGAGAUGAUCAUGUUUUGUAACUGAGUUAUCGGCAACUGGCAGGAGCCAUAUGGUUGUCGCUUUAUUGUAUGCAAUGCAAUCGCGCUGUAAUGCUUUACUUUAUCACUAAGCGGUAGCGAUAGUCGUGGAAGCAUAAGAUUGGCGAGACGGCAACGAUACUACGAUGGAGGUCAAGGUGUCGCGCCGGUGACGAUGGUGAUCACGACGGUGCUUCGGAGAUGGAGAUCACAAGCACAAGAUGAUGAUGGCCAUAUCAUAUCACUUAUAUUGAUUGCAUGUGAUGUUUAUCUUUUAUGCAUCUUAUCUUGCUUUGAUUGACGGUAGCAUUAUAAGAUGAUCUCUCACUAAAUUUCAAGAUAAAAGUGUUCUCCCUGAGUAUGCACCGUUGCCAAAGUUCGUCGUGCCCAGACACCGCGUGAUGAUCCGGUGUGAUAAGCUCUACGUCCAUCUACAACAGGUGCAAGCCAGUUUUGCACACACAGAAUACUCAGGUUAAACUUGACGAGCCUAGCAUAUGCAGAUAUGGCCUCGGAACACCGAGAUCGAAAGAUCGAGCGUGAAUCAUAUAGUAGAUAUGAUCAACAUAGCGAUGUUCACCAUUGAAAACUACUCCAUUUCACGUGAUGAUCGGUUAUGGUUUAGUUCAUUUGGAUCACGUGAUCACUUAGAUGAUUAGAGGGAUGUCUAUUUAAGUGGGAGUUUAAGUAAUAUGAUUAAUUGAACCUAAAUUUAUCAUGAACUUAGUACCUGAUAGUAUCUUGCUUGUUUAUGUAUGAUUGUAGAUAAAUGGCCCGUGUUGUUGUUGCGUUGAAUUUUAAUGCGUUCCUUGAGAAAGCAAAGUUGAAAGAUGAUGGUAGCAAUUACACGGACUGGGGCCGUAACUUGAGGAUUAUCCUCAUUGCUGCACAGAAGAAUUACGUCCUGGAAGCACCGCUAGGUGCCAGGCCUGCUGCUGGAGCAACACCAGAUGUUGUGAACAUUUGGCAGAGCAAAGCUGAUGACUACUCGAUAGUUCAGUGUGCCAUGCUUUACGGCUUAGAAUCGGGACUUCAACGACGUUUUGAACAUCAUGGAGCAUAUGAGAUGUUCCAGGAGUUGAAGUUAAUAUUUCAAGCAAAUGCCCGGAUUGAGAGAUAUGAAGUCUCCAAUAAAUUCUAUAGCUGCAAGAUGGAGGAGAACAGUUCUGUCAGUGAGCAUAUACUCAAAAUGUCUGGGUAUAAUAAUCACUUGAUUCAGAUGGGAGUUAAUCUUCCAGAUGAUUGCGUCAUUGACAGAAUUCUCCAAUCACUGCCACCAAGCUACAAGAGCUUUGUGAUGAACUAUAAUAUGCAAGGGAUGAACAAUACUUUUCCCGAACUCUUCUCAAUGCUGAAAGCUGCAGAGGUAGAAAUCAAGAAGGAGCAUCAAGUGUUGAUGGUCAACAAGACCACUAGUUUCAAGAAAAAGGGCAAAGGGAAGAAGAAGGGGAACUUCAAGAAGAAAAGCAAGCAAGUUGCUGAUCAGGAGAAGAAACCCAAAUCUGGACCUAAGCCUGAAACUGAGUGCUUCUACUGCAAGCAGACUGGUCACUGGAAGCGGAACUGCCCCAAGUAUUUGGCGUAUAAGAAGGAUGGCAAGGUGAACAAAGGUAUAUGUGAUAUACAUGUUAUUGAUGUGCACCUUACUAGAGCUCGCAGUAGCACCUGGGUAUUUGAUACUGGUUCUGUUGCUAAUAUUUGCAACUCGAAACAGGGACUACGGAUUAAGCGAACACUGGCAAAGGACGAGGUGAUGAUGCGCGUGGGAAAUGGUUCUAAAGUCGAUGUGAUCGCGGUCGGCACGCUACCUCUACAUCUACCUUCGGGAUUAAUAUUAGACCUAAAUAAUUGUUAUUUGGUGCCUGCGUUGAGCAUGAACAUUAUAUCUGGAUCUUGUUUAAUGCGAGACGGUUAUUCAUUUAAAUCAGAGAAUAAUGGUUGUUCUGUUUAUAUGAGUAAUAUCUUUUAUGGUCAUGCACCUUUGAAGAGUGGUCUAUUUUCGAUGAAUCUCGAUAUUAGUGACACACAUAUUCAUAAUGUUGAAGCCAAAAGAUGUAGAGUUGAUAAUGAUAGUGCAACUUAUUUGUGGCACUGCCGUUUAGGUCAUAUCGGUGUAAAGCGCAUGAAGAAACUCCAUACCGAUGGACUUUUGGAACCUCUUGAUUAUGAAUCACUUGGUACUUGCGAACCAUGCCUUAUGGGCAAGAUGACUAAAACACCGUUCUCCGGUACAAUGGAGAGAGCAACAGAUUUGUUAGAAAUCAUACAUACAGAUGUAUGUGGUCCGAUGAAUGUUGAGGCUCGUGGCGGAUAUCGUUAUUUUCUCACCUUCACAGAUGAUUUAAGCAGAUAUGGGUAUAUCUACUUAAUGAAGCAUAAGUCUGAAACAUUUGAAAAGUUCAAAGAAUUUCAGAGUGAAGUUGAAAAUCAUCGUAACAAGAAAAUAAAGUUUCUGCGAUCUGAUCGUGGAGGAGAAUAUUUGAGUUACGAGUUUGGUCUACAUCUGAAACAAUGCGGAAUAGUUUCACAACUCACGCCACCCGGAACACCUCAGCGUAAUAUGGUGUCCGAACGUCGUAAUCGUACUUUACUUGAUAUGGUGCGAUCUAUGAUGUCUCUUACAAAUUUACCGCUAUCAUUUUGGGGUUAUGCUUUAGAGACGGCCGCGUUCACGUUAAAUAGGGCACCAUCAAAAUCCGUUGAGACGACACCUUAUGAACUGUGGUUUGGCAAGAAACCAAAGUUGUCGUUUCUUAAAGUUUGGGGCUGCGAUGCUUAUGUGAAAAAGCUUCAACCUGAUAAACUCGAACCCAAAUUGGAGAAAUGUGUCUUCAUAGGAUACCCAAAGGAGACUGUUGGGUACACCUUCUAUCACGGAUCCGAAGGCAAGACAUUCGUUGCUAAGAAUGGAUCCUUUCUAGAGAAGGAGUUUCUCUCGAAAGAAGUGAGUGGGAGGAAAGUAGAACUUGAUGAGGUAACCGUACCUGCUCCCUUAUUGGAAAGUGGUGCAUCACAGAAAACUGUUUCUGUGACACCUACACCAAUUAGUGAGGAAGCUAAUGAUAAUGAUCAUGAAACUUCAGAACAAGAUACUACUGAACCUCGUAGAUCAACCAGAGUGAGAUCCGCACCAGAGUGGUACGGUAAUCCUGUUCUGGAAAUCAUGCUACUAGAUCAUGAUGAACCUACGAACUAUGAAGAAGUGAUGGUGAGCCCAGAUUCCGUAAAAUGGCUUGAGGCCAUGAAAUCUGAGAUGGGAUCCAUGUAUGAGAACAAAGUAUGGACUUUGGUUGACUUGCCCGAUGAUCGGCAAGCAAUUGAGAAUAAAUGGAUCUUCAAGAAGAAGACUGACGCUGACGGUAAUAUUACUGUCUACAAAGCUUGACUUGUCGCAAAAGGUUUUCGACAAGUUCAAGGGGUUGACUAUGAUGAGACCUUCUCACCCGUAGCGAUGCUUAAGUCUGUCCGAAUCAUGUUAGCAAUUGCCGCAUUUUAUGAUUAUGAAAUUUGGCAGAUGGAUGUCAAAACUGCAUUCCUGAAUGGAUUUCUGGAAGAAGAGUUGUAUAUGAUGCAACCGGAAGGUUUUGUCGAUCCAAAGGGAGCUAACAAAGUGUGCAAGCUCCAGCGAUCCAUUUAUGGACUGGUGCAAGCCUCUCGGAGUUGGAAUAAAUGCUUUGAUAGUGUGAUCAAAGCAUUUGGUUUUAUACAGACUUUUGGAGAAGCCUGUAUUUACAAGAAAGUGAGUGGGAGCUCUGUAGCAUUUCUGAUAUUAUAUGUGGAUGACAUAUUACUGAUUGGAAAUGAUAUAGAAUUUCUAGAUAGCAUAAAGGGAUAUUUGAAUAAGAGUUUUUCAAUGAAAGACCUCGGUGAAGCUGCUUACAUAUUAGGCAUAAAGAUCUAUAGAGAUAGAUCAAGACGCUUAAUUGGACUUUCACAAAGCACAUACCUUGACAAGAUUUUGAAGAAGUUCAAAAUGGAUCAAGCAAAGAAAGGGUUCUUGCCUGUGUUACAAGGUGUGAAGUUGAGUCAGAGUCAAUGCCCGACCACUGCAGAAGAUAGAGAGAAAAUGAAAGAUGUUCCCUAUGCGUCAGCCAUAGGCUCUAUCAUGUAUGCAAUGCUAUGUACCAGACCUGAUGUGUGCCUUGCUAUAAGUCUAGCAGGGAGGUACCAAAGUAAUCCAAGAGUGGAUCACUGGACAGCGGUCAAGAACAUCCUGAAGUACCUGAAAAGGACUAAGGAUAUGUUUCUCGUAUAUGGAGGUGACAAAGAGCUCAUCGUAAACGGUUACGUUGAUGCAAGCUUUGACACUGAUCCGGACGAUUCUAAAUCGCAAACCGGAUACGUGUUUACAUUAAACGGUGGAGCUGUCAGUUGGUGCAGUUCUAAACAGAGCGUCGUGGCGGGAUCUACGUGUGAAGCGGAAUACAUAGCUGCUUCGGAAGCAGCGAAUGAAGGAGUCUAGAUGAAGGAGUUCAUAUCCGAUCUAGGUGUCAUACCUAGUGCAUCGGGUCCAAUGAAAAUCUUUUGUGACAAUACUGGUGCAAUUGCCUUGGCAAAGGAAUCCAGAUUUCACAAGAGAACCAAGCACAUCAAGAGACGCUUCAAUUCCAUCCGGGAUCUAGUCCAGGUGGGAGAUAUAGAGAUUUGCAAGAUACAUACGGAUCUGAAUGUAGCAGACCCGUUGACUAAGCCUCUUCCACGAGCAAAACAUGAUCAACACCAAGGCUCCAUGGGUGUUAGAAUCAUUACUGUGUAAUCUAGAUUAUUGACUCUAGUGCAAGUGGGAGACUGAAGGAAAUAUGCCCUAGAGGCAAUAAUAAAGUUAUUAUUUAUUUCCUUAUAUCAUGAUAAAUGUUUAUUAUUCAUGCUAGAAUUGUAUUAACCGGAAACAUAAUACAUGUGUGAAUACAUAGACAAACAGAGUGUCACUAGUAUGCCUCUACUAGACUAGCUAGUUAAUCAAAGAUGGUUAUGUUUCCUAACCAUGGACAAAGAGUUGUUAUUUGAUUAACGGGAUCACAUCAUUAGGUGAAUGAUCUGAUUGACAUGACCCAUUCCAUUAGCUUAGCACCCGAUCAUUUAGUAUGUUGCUAUUGCUUUCUUCAUAACUUAUACAUGUUCCUAUGACUAUGAGAUUAUGCAACUCCCGUUUACCAGAGGAACACUUUGUGUGCAACCAAACGUCACAACGUAACUGGGUGAUUAUAAAGGUGCUCUACAGGUGUCUCCAAAGGAACAUGUUGGGUUGGUGUAUUUCGAGAUUAGGAUUUGUCACUCUGAUUGUCGGAGAGGUAUCUCUGGGCCCUCUCGGUAAUGCACAUCACUUAAGCCUUGCAAGCAUUGCAACUAAUGAGUUAGUUGCGGGAUGAUGUAUUACAGAACGAGUAAAGAGACUUGCCGGUAACAAGAUUGAACUAGGUAUGGGAUACCGACGAUCGAAUCUCGGGCAAGUAACAUACCGAUGACAAAGGGAACAACGUAUGUUGUUAUGCGGUCUGACCGAUAAAAGAUCUUCGUAGAAUAUGUAGGAGCCAAUAUGAGAAUCCAGGUUCCGCUAUUGGUUAUUGACCGGAGACGUGUCUCGGUCAUGUCUACAUUGUUCUCGAACCCGUAGGGUCCGCAUGCUUAAGGUUACGAUGACAAUUAUAUUAUGAGUUUAUGCAUUUUGAUGUACCGAAGGUUGUUCGGAGUCCCGGAUGUGAUCACGGACAUGACGAGGAGUCUCGAAAUGGUCGAGACAUAAAUAUUGAUAUAUUGGAAGCCUAUGUUUGGAUAUCGGAAGUGUUCCAGGUGAAAUCGGGAUUUUACCGGAGUACCGGGAGGUUACCGGAACCCCCCGGGAGGUAUAUGGGCCUUAGUGGGCCUUAGUGGAAGAGAGGAGAGGUGGCCAGAGAUGGGACGCGCGCCCCUCCCCCCCUUGGUCCGAAUUGGACAAGGAGAGGGGGCCGGCCCCCCUUCCUCCUCUCUCUCCUCUUUCCCCCCCUCCACGAAUCCUAUUCCAACUAGGAAAGGCGCGCCUCUCCUGGCCGGCAGGCGCCUCUCCUGGCCAGCAGGCCCCCCUCCCUUGAACCUUUAUAUACGGAGGCAGGGGCACCCCCUAGAGACACAAGUUGAUCCACGUGAUCAUAUUCUUAGCCGUGUGCGGUGCCCCCUUCCACCAUAGUCCUCGAUAAUAUUGUAGCGGUGCUUAGGCGAAGCCCUGUGACGGUAGUACAUCAAGAUCGUCACCACGCCGUCGUGCUGACGGAAAUCUUCCCCGACACUUUGCUGGAUCGGAGUCCGGGGAUCGUCAUCGAGCUGAACGUGUGCUAGAACUCGGAGGUGCCAUAGUUUCGGUGCUUGAUCGGUCGGGCCGUGGAGACGUACGACUACAUCAACCAAACGCUUCCGUUGUCGAUCUACAAGGGUACGUAGAUCAUACUCUCCCCUCUCAUUGCUAUGCAUCACCAUGAUCUUGCGUGUGCGUAGGAAUUUUUUUGAAAUUACUACGUUUCCCAACAGAGAGUCAGGUUUCGAUCAUGUGGAACUUAUGGGUUAUGGGCCCACCAUGUGGGUUAAAACAAGGAAGGGCGUUAACAGCUGAUACGUCUCCAACGUAUCUAUAAUUUUUGAUUGCUUGCUAUAUUACCUACUGUUUUGGACUAUAUUGGGCUUUAUUUUCCACUUUUAUAUUAUUUUUGGGACUAACCUAUUAACCGGAGGCCCAGCCCAGAAUUGCUGUUUUUUGCCUAUUUCAGUGUUUUGGAGAAACAGAAUAUCAAGUGGGGUCCAAACGGAACGAAACCUUUGGGAGCGCGAUUUUCUCAUCAGAUAAGACCCAAGAGACUUGGACCCUCCGUCAAGAAAGCCACGAGGCAGUCAUGAGGGUGGAGGGCGCCCCCCCUAGGGCGCGCCCCCUGCCUCGUGGGCCCCUCGAAGCUCCACCGACGUAUUCCUUCCUCCUAUAUAUACCUACGUACCCCCAAACGAUCAGAUAUGGAGCCAAAAACCUAAUUCCACCACCGCAACUUUCUGUAUCCACGAGAUCCCAUCUUGGGGCCUGUUCCGGAGCUCUGACGGAGGGGGCAUCGAUCACGGAGGGCUUCUACAUCAUCAUCCAAGCCCCUCCGAUGAAGUGUGAGUAGUUCACUUCAGACCUACGGGUCCAUAGUUAGUAGCUAGAUGGCUUCUUCUCUCUUUUUGGAUCUCAAUACAAUGUUCUCCCCCUCUCUCAUGGAGAUCUAUUCGAUGUAAUCUUCUUUUUGCGGUGUGUUUGUUGAGACCGAUGAAUUGUGGGUUUAUGAUCCAGUCUAUCUAUGAAUAAUAUUUGAAUCUUCUCUGAAUUCUUUUAUGUAUCAUUUGUUAUCUUUGUAAGUCUCUUCAAAUUAUCAGUUUGGUUUGGCCUACUAGAUUGGUUUUUCUUACCAUGGGAGAAGUGCUUAGCUUUGGGUUCGAUCUUGCGGUGUCCUUUCCCAGUGACAGAAGGGGCAGCAAGGCAUGUAUUGUAUUGUUGCCAUCGAGGAUAACAAGAUGGUUUUUUUAUCAUAUUGCAUGAAACUAUCCCUCUACAUCAUGUCAUCUUGCUUAAGGCGUUACUCUGUUUUUAACUUAAUACUCUAGAUGCAUGCUGGAUAGCGGUCGAUGAGUGGAGUAAUAGUAGUAGACGUAGGCAGGAGUCGGUCUACUUGUGUCGGACGUGAUGCCUAUAUACAUGAUCAUACCUAGAUAUUCUCAUAACUAUGCUCAAUUCUGUCAAUUGCUCAACAGUAAUUUGUUCACCCACCGUAGAAUACUUAUGCUCUUGAGAGAAGCCACUAGUGAAACCCAUGGCCCCCGGGUCUCUUUCUCAUCAUAUCAAUCUCCAUCACUUUAUUAUUGCUUUGCUUUUUACUUUUCACUUUGCGUCUCUAUACCAAAAAUACCAAAAAUAUUAUUUAUCAUCUCUAUCAGAUCUCACUUUCGUAAGUGACCGUGAAGGGAUUGACAACCCCUAAGCACGUUGGUUGCGUUGAGCUACUGUUUUUGUGUAGGUACGAGGAACUCACGCGUAGCCUCCUACUGGACUGAUACCUUGGUUCUCAAAAAUUGAGGGUAAUACUUACGCUACUUUACUGCAUCAUCCUCUCCUCUUCGGGGAAAUCCAACGCAGUGCUCAAGAGGUAGCAACAACUUGCAUGACCAUGAUAGCAAGGCAUGUCAGAGAAUAUCCGGUCAGUUAUGUUGGCAACAUCGUUGGUACCAAGGGCGAGGGACGAAGAGAACCAUUUUCCUACUCGUUGAACGAGGCAGACCAAUAGGCAAAGUUCUCAUCCGUCGGUGGUUACCGGAAUGUCAUCAACAAUAGUAACAGGUCCUUACUGACAGAGUUGUACACCAAGGUGUUUACAUAAGCAGGAGAAUAUUACUGCUUAGAUCAUAUAGAUCACCAGAAAGGUUAAACAAAUCAAUGAAAAGGAAAAGGUGACCAUCAGAUUAAACAAAACAAUGGAAAGGAAAAUGUGUUUAAACACAUUUUUCAGGGGUAUAUCCUUCACAAGGACAAGCAAAGAAUGGUAUCCAUGACAGGAUAUAACGUAGAAAACCCUUUAGGAAAGGGGAGAGGAAUUUCAUGACAUUACCCAUUGAUACGUCUCCAACGUAUCUAUAAUUUUUUUAUUAUUCCAUGCUAUUAUAUUAUCUGUUUUGGAUGUUUAAUGGGCUUUAUUAUACACUUCUAUAUUAUUUUUGGGACUAACCUACUAACCCAAGGCCCAGUGCAAAUUGCUGUUUUUUGCCUAUUUCAGUGUUUCGCAGAAAAGGGAUAUCAAACAGAAGCCAAACGGAAUGAAACCUUCAGGAGAGUUAUUUUUGGAACAAACGUGAUCCAGGAGACUUGGAGUAGACGUCAAGAAAGAAGCGAGGUGGCCACAAGGCAAGGAGGCACGCUUGCCCCCCUGGGUGCGCCCCCUCCCUCAUGGGCCCCUCGCAGCUCCACCGACCUACUUCUUCCUCCUAUAUAUAUCCAUAUACCCCGAAAACAUCCAGGAGCACCAUGAAACCCUAUUUCCACCGCCGCAACCUUCUGUACCCAAGAGAUCCCAUCUUGGGGCCUUUUUCGGAGCUCCGACGGAGGGGGAAUCGAUCACGGAGGGCUUCUAUGUCAACACCAUAGCCUCUCCGAUGAUGGGUGAGUAGUUUACCACAGACCUUUGGGUCCAUAGUUAUUUGCUAGAUGGCUUCUUCUCUCUCUUUGGAUCUCAAUACAAAGUUCUCUUCGAUCUUCUUGGAGAUCUGUUUGAUCUAACUCUUGCGGUGUGUUUUACGAGAUCCGAUGAAUUGUGGGUUUAUGAUCAAGUUUAUCUAUGAAGAAUAUUUGAUUCUUCUCUAAAAUGUUUUAUGUAUGAUUGGUUAUCUUUGCAAGUCUCUUCGAAUUAUCAGUUUGGUUUGGUCUACUAGAUUGAUCUUUCUUGCAAUGGGAGAAGUGCUUAGCUUUUGGUUCAAUCUUGCGGUGUCCUUUCCCAGUGACAGCAGGGGCAGCAAGGCACGUAUUGUAUUGUUGCCAUCGAGGAUAAAAAGAUGGGGUUUAUAUCAUAUUGCUUGAGUUUAUCCCUCUACAUCAUGUCAUCUUGCCUAAUGCGUUACUCUGUUCUUAUGAACUUAAUACUCUAGAUGCAUGCUGGAUAGUGGUCCCUGUGUGGAGUAAUAGUAGUAGAUGCAGAAUCGUUUCGGUCUACUUGUCACGAACGUGAUGACUAUAUACAUGAUCAUGCCUAUAUAUUCUCAUAAUUAAGCACUUUUCUAUCAAUUGCUCGACAGUAAUUUGUUCACCCACCGUAAUACUUAUGCUAUCUUGAGAGAAGCCACUAGUGAAACCUAUGGCCCCCGGGUCUAUCUUUUAUCAUAUAAGUUUCCAAUUUACUUUGCAAUCUUUACUUUCGAUCUAUAUCAUAAAAAUACCAAAAAUAUUUAUCUUAUUAUCUCUAUCAGAUCUCACUCUCGUAAGUGACCAUGAAGGGAUUGACAACCCCUUUAUCGCGUUGGUUGCGAGGUUCUUAUUUGUUUGUGUAGGUACGAGGGACUUGCGUGUAGUCCCCUACUGGAUUGAUACCUUGGUUCUCAAAAACUAAGGGAAAUACUUACACUACUUUGCUGCAUCACCCUUUCCUCUUCAAGGGAAAACCAACGCAGUGCUCAAGAGGUAGCCCCCAUACAACGGUGUUUGGAUAAUUGAUAAAGAAAUUUUAGCAUUGUGCUUCAAAUGUUCUUAUUGAAAAUCAUAGUACCACAGACAUGCUUCGAGAUAGCAUUAACAUGGUCAUUAGGUGAAGAUCAGACUUUGGAAACACAAAGGAUCCAUCAGGAACAACGUAUAGAAUAAGCGUUACAAUUUCCUCGGGGAAUAAUGGAUAACCUUGCUAAAAAGGAAACUAUAACAAUAGGUCCUUCGGCCAGGUGUGUUAGGCAUGACCUCACCUUACUGGUUCAUAUAAAGACCAAUUAUUAUAACUCUUGGAAAUAUGUUCCAACCAUCAUAUCUGACCAAGAUUCAAAUCUGAUUGGUGUUAGGAUACCUCAGACUCAUGAUGCCUCAGAAGGAAUGGGUGCAACACAGUUUGACGAGAUGGCGUUGCGAGAUUCUCGGGAAAUGAACUAUGGAAGCAAGUUCUUAAUCAUGAGUUCAUCAUUAAACCAAGGAGAGGAUGAGAUGGCUGAUGGACUCAGCAACAAUUCAUUGAGAUUUCCAAAAAUAUGGAUUUCCACGAUUAUGUGAACAAGGGAUAACAUUUGUCAGAUCAAAUGAUAUAAUGAUGUAUGCUCGAGGAGAACAUCCAAGAGCAAACAUUGGUUGAAAGGUGCACCCGAAAUAUGGGCUUAGGUAGCAUGAUCAAUGUUAGUAUGGUUAUUUGAUAACCAAUACACAAAGAAUGAAACUAUCAUUCAUUAACUUACAAGAAACAGGGUUGCUAGAAGUUUUGAAAAUUUCACAUCACAGUCCAUUUGUCAGUAUUCUGGUUGGAAAUAAUGCCGGGACUAAGGAAUGAAGGGAGAUGGCAAGAAGUAUCACUUGUAUCAAGAAUUUUUAAGAGGUGGUGAAAUUCUCAGGACAUUCUUGACAUAAAAGAUGGUAAUACUCCAAGGUAAAGAAGAACAAAUGCUAGAUAGCAAGGAUCUCAAGGUAUAACACAAAACAUGAACAAGUUUGUGUUGAACGGAAGGCAAUAAAGUGGUCGAUGAUAACACAAAUAAUUUAGGGCAAGGAUGGUAUUUCUCAUCAUGAAUUCAAUUGAUAUCCUGGAAGAGCUCAGAAUGCUGAUGAUGAUCAUGACACAUUUGUCGAGAGAUUUCAUGAAGAUGUAAUCGAUCGGCGAUGGCAUCAAGUCAAAGGAAUGAUGAAGCGAAUGGCUAUUGGAACCAUGAGUACGGCACAAACUCGAAAUUGAGUUUGUUUUUCAAGGAGAAAUUAUAUGACAAGGAAAAUCUAUGUAAGAUUAGCUCACCGUUGAAAUUUGUGCUAUAGGAAGAAGGACCAGGUAGCACAGUUAAAAUCAGCACGAUAAUGAUAUAGCCGAUUGGGCUAGGAAUGACUUGAAGGAUUAUUAAACUCAUAGGCAACAAAAAUUACUUAGGGUUAUCGAACCGGAAUGCGGAAUCUGUUCACAUAUCAGUGUUCUCGGUUGACGACAACCCAGAACCCAUGAAAAAUUGGAAUCAGUGAGAAAUAAUAGCUGAUGAAGACUCAUAAGAUGCAACACAGUUCUUAGAUAUUCUCGAGAUACCAGAGGGUAAUACUCGACGGUAGAUCAAAGUAGAGGUUGGACUGGUGUAAUGACUUGCAAAAGACAAGUGCUUUAACUUGUCCGAGAAAUGGGAUCAAAGAAGAGCAUGGUCGAAACCACGAUUGCAAAGGAUCAAUUCACUGAUACCAAAUGAUAUUAUAUCAAGGAAAUAUUUUUUAUUACAAGAAGCUUCCAUGAUAGGAUCUACAUCAUGUCCGUGGGCAUGAACACAAGUUCAAGGUCGACUCCCACCUCUUCAAUGUAUAACCUUCCAUUCACCUCUCUCUUUCUGAAAAUGACAUUAGUUGUUGAAAGUCUUACCUGGUACAAUACCAGAUAAGUAUGACCCGUGAAAUAUUUCGGGUUCACACAGAUUAAGGAAGGCAUAGGUUCAACCCAUCGGGGCAUCGUAGAAACAUAUGCAACAAACAUCAGGAGUAAAUAACACAAGCUCGAAAGUAGAGCAUGGUUGACAAAGCAGAGGAUACAAUUUACCAAAGGCAUUAUGUAUUAGGGAAAGAACUUUCCAAGGUUUUUGUAAACGAAGGACAAUUUCAGAUGAUAAAUUUAACAAAGGAUCUGACGGUCCAUAACGGAGCUGAUGUGAACAUCGGUACCCAACCAAAAUAAGAAGGGAUGCAAGGAGAUCAGAUUAUAGAAACAACUGACUAAUUGAAACUCAAAUGCAAAGGAAUUAUGAUUUCCGAAUCAAAUGAUCAGAAGUAACACUCUGAUUAAGGAUGGAUAAGUUGGAUAGACUUAGGGGUACAAUCGAUGACAAUUUGAUUGGUCGAGAACCAGCUCACGUUCAAAAUGACGUCUGAGUCAGGAGGAUGAAUUCUAGGAUCUGUCUGAGGAUUGCGAGCAUUCGCAACAUAUUGAAUCAAGGGACUUAGACUGAUAGUGACAAAGAAUGUCAACGGAGAUUACCAGAAAUAUGAAAUUAACCAUAAUGCAUGAAGGCAAGAAAUUCAGGAUCAAUAGGCUGCUGAGGAUUUUCAGAAGAUCAAAUAGUUUCUCAAAGAACUUUGUGAAACACACGAACAAAUAGAUGAACAAAUCCUCGGUAAAUGUGAGGAAUUAUUCAUAGGGGUAUUCAUGCGGCAAAGAUCUGCAAGGCAGUAGGGACAAAGUACUCUUGAGCAAUAGAGAGAAUUUCGGGGUAUCUUGUAAUAACAAGAUCAACGGGGAAUGAUUGUAUGAAUGACAAGUGUACAUGGUUAUCCAAAAGGGUUUAGCAAUGGAAAGGAAUUGCUGAAACGAUGGCACAAAGUCUCAAUAGAACAUCAGAGAGUAUCUUCGGAAUCUUGUGGUGCAGCAGUCGAUCAUCGAUAAUAAGGUGCUCCCCGGGUGAAAGUGAUCACGCGAUCCUAAUGUUAGAUUUAGCAAAAUUCAUUUAAACCGAAUAGAAGAGAGAUCAAAGUCCCAAAGUAUAGACGAGAAAUAAAAGAUCCUGAUACAACCCAAUGGCAGCAUGGGCCCAUGGGCCGCACAACCAUGUUAGUAAAACAAUUUUCAUCGACUAGACUCGACCUUCAGCCAAGGAGUGUGGAAGGGGAUUCCUACAGGCAGUCGGCUCUGAUACCAACUUUUGACGCCCUCGAUUUUACCAUACACUAAUCAUACACGCAAAUGUGUACGAUCAUGAUCAAGGACUCACUGAAAGAUAUCACAACACAACUCUAGACACAAAUUAAAAUAAUACAAGCUUUAUAUUACAAGCCAGGGGCCUCGAGGGCUCGAACACAUAAGCUCGAAUACACGAGUCAGCGGAAGCAAUAAUAUCUAAGUACACACAUAAGUUAAACAAAUUUGCCUUAAGAAGGCUAGCACAAACUGGGAUACGGAUCGAAAGAGGCGCAUGUCUCAUGCCUGGGAUCCUCCUAAACUACUCCCAGUCAUCGUCAGUGGCCUGCACGUAGUAGUAGGCACCUCCAGUGUAGUACGAGUCAUCGUCGACGGUGGCAUUUGGCUCCUGGACUCCAACGUCUGGUCGCAACAACCGGGUAUAGAAAGGGGAAAAGGGGAAGCAAAGCAACCGUGAGUACUCAUCCCAAGUACUUGUAAGCAAGGAGCUACACUACAUAUGCAUUUGUAUCAAUGAAAGGGGUAGUAUAUGUGGACUGAACUGCAGAAUGCCAGAAUAAGAGGGGGAUAGCUAGUCCUAUCAAAGACUACGCUUCUGGCAGCCUCCAUCUUGAAGCAGUAGAAGAGAGUAGAUGGUAAGUUAACCAAGUAACAUCGCAUAGCAUAAUCCUACCCGAUGAUCCUCCCCUCGUCGCCCUAGGAGAGAGCGAUCACUGGGUUGUAUCUGGCACUUGGAAGGGUGUAUUUUAUUAAGUAUCUGGUUCUAGUUGUCAUAAGGUCAAGGUACAACUUCGGGUCAUCCUUUUACCGAGGGACACGACUAUUCGAAUAGAUAAACUUCCCUGUAGGGGUGCACCACAUUUCCCAACACGCUCGAUCCCCUUUGGCCGGACACACUUUCCUGGGUCAUGCCCGGCCUUGGAAGAUCAACAUGUCGCAGCCCUACCUAGGCACAACAGAGAGGUCAGCACGCCGGUCUAAAUCAUAUGGCGCAGGGGUCUGGGUGCAUCGCCCGUUGCACACCUGCAUGUUGCGAACGUGGCCGGAAGCAGACCUAGCCUCCCUAAUACAAGAGCAAGCGUUCCAGUCCAAUCCGGCGCGCGUCGCUCAGUCGCUGACGUCAAGAAGGCUUUGGCUAAUACCGCGACGUCGAGUGCCCAUAACUGUUCCCGCAUAGUUGGUUAGUGCGUAUAGGCUAGUGGCCAGACUCAGAUCAAAUACCAAGAUCUCGUUAAGCGUGUUAAUUGAUGUAACCGCGGACGCCGACCAGGGCCAGGCCCACCUCUCUCUCCUAGGUGGUCUCAACCUGCCCUGUCGCUCCGCCACAAAGUAAAAGUUAGGGGGCCAUCGGGAACUCAGGCCCACCACUACCUGGAUGGAGCCACCUAUCCUUUCAGCCCCCACAUCGGAAUCACUUGCGAGUACUCUACGAGCCGACCCAACUUUAGUCACCACAUGUAUCACAUAUUAUGUAUAUAAGUAUAUACCCGUGAUCACCUCCCAAGUGAUCACGACCCGAUAGUAUAGCAUGGCAGACGGACAAGAAUGUAGGGCCACUGAUGGAAUACUAGCGUCCUAUACUAAGCAUUUAGGAUUGCAGGUAGAGGUAACAAUAGUAGUAGCAAGGACAGGCUAUGCAUUAGAAUAGGAUUAACGGGAAGCAGUAACAUGCUACACUACUAUAAUGCAAGCAGUAGAGAGAAGAAUAGGCGAUAUCUGGUGAUCAGGGGGGGCUUGCCUGGUUGCUUUGGCAAGAAGGAAGGGUUGUCAACACCGUAGUCGAGCUGGGGGUCGCCGGCAGUCUCGGGGUCUACCAGAAAGAAGUAACAGAGGGGAAACACAAUAAAUAACAAAGCAAUCAAAGCAUCACAAAGUAUAACAUGGCAAUACGCGGUUCUAUGGGUGACCUAAUGCAGUACUAGGUGAUACCGCGAAGGAGGAAAACAUCCGGGAAAGUAUUCCCGAUGUUUCGCGUUUUCGGACAGAUGAACCGGAGGGGGAAAGUUGCAUGUUUGCUAUGCUAGGGAUGUGUGGCGGACGAACAGGCUGCGAUCUCAGAUUCGUCUCGUCGUUUUGAGAAACUUUCAUGUACAAAGUAUUUUCAUCCGAGUUACGAUUUAUUUUCUAUGAUUUCUCAAAGUUUUUAGGCAUUUUUGUAAGUUUAUUUAAUUAUUUAAAUGAAACAUUAUUCGGAAUAGUGAAAGGUGAUGUCAGCAUGACGCCACCAGGUCAAACCCAGCUGACCAGAGUCAAACCUGGCAUGUGGGUCCAGUGGGACCCACCUCUCAUAGACUAAGGCUAACUAAACAUGUUUAAUUAGUUUAGUUAAUUGAUUAGGUUAAUCAAACACAAUUAAUUUAAUUAAUUAAUUAAUUAAUAUUUUUAUUUAUUUAUUAUUAGUCUUAAUUCUUCUUUUUAAUUCUUUUUUUCUAAUCGUUCUGGGGUGGGGCCCCUUGUCAUAGGCCCUAGAGGCCUUAACGUGGAGGGCGCUGCGGNNNNNNNNNNNNNNNNNNNNNNNNNNNNNNNNNNNNNNNNNNNNNNNNNNNNNNNNNNNNNNNNNNNNNNNNNNNNNNNNNNNNNNNNNNNNNNNNNNNNNNNNNNNNNNNNNNNNNNNNNNNNNNNNNNNNNNNNNNNNNNNNNNNNNNNNNNNNNNNNNNNNNNNNNNNNNNNNNNNNNNNNNNNNAGGGGGCUGUGGGGCACCGGCGGCCACUCUAGGGCGGAUGCAGAGAACAGCGGGGCCAGGGCAGCACGCCGGCGUGGAGCAGCUGAGGGCAUGUGCGCGCGGUCUCGGCGAGGUGCGGGCACGGCGGCCGUCAACGGGGAAGGCGGGUGCGACACGGUGGCACGUAGUAGCAGCAGAAGGGGUGCAGCAGUUGAGGCCGCGGGCACGUGAGCGGCUGCCGGCAAACAAGGUCAGGCAGAGCGGGAGCGGGACGGGGUACGUCGUCUGGGCGCGAGGACGCGAGCGCGUGUGCGCGUGAUGGUGCGCUGAGCGCGGGGGGCAGGGCCACGGCACGGCCAACGACGGCUACAAGGCGAGUCGGGCACGGUGGCUGGCGAGCAGCAGUGAAGGUGGUGGAGGGGGCCGCGGUAGACGCGGGGCAGAGGGAGAGACGGAGGAGGGUGAGGCCCUCACCGGCAAUGUAGAGACCAGGGGGCGGCGAGGCUCGAGGUGGCCUUUGGGGAGGAGGACGGGGAUGCAAGUUCCGAGGGCGUUGGUCGGCGACGAGCGUCGGCGGAGUGGCUCUGGGCGGCGUCGGCGGCGGUUCCUCGGGCGUGGGCGCGAUCGGGCGGCCGUGUACGGCGAGGCAACGGCGGGGGAUGGCUAUGGCAUGGGAGUGGUUGCGGAGGUGAGUGCAGGGGAGGGUGAGGCGAGCUCGGGGGAGGGGCAGGGUGUGGCCGGCGGGAGGAGCUGCGGGGUCGAGCGGGAGCGCUCAUGCUCAUCCUUGGCGGCGCGAGGUGGGUGGGGGUCGAGGGGAUCGUGCAGAUAGGGAGUGGGGGCGAGAGGUGCGAGGGUCUAGGGUUCGGUUGUAGGGAGGUUAUUGGGCAGUGGUGGGCCGACUGGGUGUGCGACCAGCUGGGCUGUGGCCUAGUUCGACCAGGGGCACUUUUCCUUUUUAUAUUACUUCAUUUUGUUUUUUAUUUAUUCUUUUUUGAUUUAUUUUUGUUUCUAUUUAUUUUAGUUUUAAGAAAAUACAAAAGUGACACCUAAUUUAGUGUUCAAAUUGUGCCUUUGCAACUAUUAAUUUAGCUCUUCAAAAUAAAAUGGUUUGUAAUAGUUUAUUCUUUUUAAAACCAUUUAAGUAAUUGUUUAGCCCCUGUUUUAAUUAAUUUCUUGCAUCUAAACAUUUUAUCAAAAUGUGGUUUCAUCAGCAUAAUUACCUAUGCAUUAUAUGUGUGACGCCCCCAUUUAAUCGUACACUAAUCAUACACGCGAACGUGUACGAUCAAGAUCAGGGACUCACGGGAAGAUAUCACAACACAACUCUACAAAUAAAAUAAGUCAUACAAGCAUCAUAUUACAAGCCAGGGGCCUCGAGGGCUCGAAUACAAGAGCUCAAUCAUAGACGAGUCAGCGGAAGCAACAAUAUCUAAGUACAGACAUAAGUUAAACAAGUUUGCCUUAAGAAGGCUAGCACAAACUAGGAUACAGAUCGAAAGAGGCGCAGGCCUCCUGCUUGGGAUCCUCCUAAACUACUCCUAGUCGCCGUCAGCGGGCUGCACGUAGUAGUAGGCACCUCCCGAGUAGUAGUAGUCGUCGUCGAAGGUGGCGUCUGGCUCCUGGGCUCCAACAUCUGGUUGCGACAACCAGCUAGAAGGGAUAGGGGGAAAAGAGGGAGAAAGCAACCGUGAGUACUCAUCCAAAGUACUCGCAAGCAAGGAGCUACACUACAUAUGUAUGCAUUGGUAUCAACUGGAAUAAGGCUAUUAUAUGUGGACUGAACUGCAGAAAGCCAGGAUAAGGGGGGAUAGCUAGUCCUUUCGAAGACUACGCUUCUGGUAGCCUCCGUCUUGCAGCAUGUAGAAGAGAGUAGACUGAAGUCCUCCAAGUAUCAUCACAUAGCAUAAUCCUAACCGAUGAUCCUCCCCUCGUCGCCCUGUGAGAGAGCGAUCACCAGUUGUAUCUGGCACUUGGAAGGGUGUGUUUUAUUAAGUAUCCGGUUCUAGUUGUCAUAAGGUCAAGGUACAACUCCAAGUCGUCCUCUUACCGAAGAUCACGGCUAUUCAAAUAUAUUAACUUCCCUGUAGGGGUGCACCACAUAUCCCAACACGCUCGAUCCCAUUUGGCCGGACACACUUUCCUGGGUCAUGCCCGGCCUCGGAAGAUCAACACGUCGCAGCCCUACCUAGGCACAACAGAGAGGUCAGCACGCCGGUCUAAAUCCUAUGGCGCAGGGGUCUGGGCCCAUCGCCCAUUGCACACCUGCAUGUUGUGUACGCGGCCGGAAGCGGAACUAGCCCCCUUAAUACAAGAGCAGGCUUACGGUCCAAUCCGGCGCGCGCCACUCAGUCGCUGACGUCACGAAGGCUUCGGCUGAUACCACGACGUCGAGUGCCCAUAACUGUCCCCGCGUAGAUGGUUAGUGCGUAUAGGCCAGUAGCUAGACUCAGAUCAAAUACCAAGAUCUCGUUAAACGUGUUAAGUAUCCGCUAGCUAUUGAAGCGGCAGUGUGACGUCGGCCCACUGCGGAAUGGGAGCCACCUAACUAUGAUUCGGUGAAGGUUCCACCUUCCUUCCACAAAUAUAGUUAUAGUAGUUCCACUCGAUGUGGAUCACGCCCAUGCUUGCUCAGCUCCAGGAUCAGGCUCCUAAACCCAUUUUCAAUAAUUAAGUCAUCUGGUCUAUGUUGUUGGAGUUCCGCAUGAUGCCUUAAUCCCACCUCUUUGUCUAAGGAAUAGCCUUUUCUUCUUUUCUUUAUUGUUCGUGGGAACAUGUAAGAUUAGCAAUGGAAAUUUAGCUACGGCCGUCCCUUCCUCAAGCAAACAACGCGAGACUUAGUUAACGAAACAGGAACUCCAUUCCUUGACACGAAUUUCUGAUACAGAAGUGGAAUCGAAAAAAUGCGGGAAAAAUGCACAUUCAAUAUUGAGAAAAUGUUGCGUAACUGCCCUUGCCUCAAGGUCUUGAGAAACCAGAAACUAGUGUUCGAUGGCCCAACAAAUCCUAUUGGUUUUCGCAGGGGAUGUCAUUUUUACAAGCUUUCGCAUGCUGAGCGUGACUAUGGAUUUUAUAUAGUUAUGGAAUAACCUUCUUAUCCGCGAGUUCUUCGGCCAAAGACUCCUGAUAUCGCUUGUUGGGCCCUUGAUUCCGAAGUACCAGUACCGAAGGCAGACUUGAAUGCAUUAGGUUGGGAAGCGGCCUAGAAGGUGCUUAAAGAUAGGUGACAGUUGUGAAAGUUUAGUCAACUUGUCGGCAGCAACUGACCUUUCUUUCAUCAAAAGUAGGAAUGAAAGCUGGCAUGCAGAUAAGGAAAUCUCUUUUCUUCUCUUCUACUCGGCUACGGACUUUCUAAAAGGAGAAGCAAUAAAUACAAAAGUGCUAGGUUUGGAUUUGAGUGAGAUCCCGGAUCGGUAGCUUCAGAUAUCCCCUCAGACUGGAAUGAGAAUUUCGAUAGAUUUCUUUGCUUUAAAGCAUAGUUGCAGGUAGGUUAUGCUCCUUUGCUUCAUCCCUAUAGUCUAAGGAUUGCCAAUCAAAUAGUAGCAGUAGACUAGCCAUAUUCAUCUUCUACAGUCUCCUGUUUCCCCCUAUUUAAAAUGGUAAGCCUACGCAGCAGAAAAAAAAGGCGCUCUAAUCGUACUCGAGCCCUUAAUCCCCCAAUAGGGCUUACUUACCCGAGUCAAUGCUUUCCUUCCUGUGCGAAAGCAAGGCCUCUUUCUCGACUUUACUUGAAUGCCAUUUACUGAGCUAUCUUCUUUUUUCUUCUUCUGGCGAAAGCACAUUUUAUUAUUUUACGGAAGCAAGAUGAAAGGUCAUUUCGCCAAUCUGGGGAAUAACAGUUAAAGCAAUCGAUCGGAGAAGCCCUCCCUAGUAUUGAGAAUGAAAAAGUGGAUUCAUUCCCCAGGCGUGUGUGUGUGCUUUCCACGGGCCUGAUCUCGAUUUCUUCUUAAGCUGUUAUGUCCUCCGAAGUGAAGUGGAUUGGUCGGAAGCUAGACUCCAACAACAUCGAUACUCAAAUAACCGACUCUCAUACAUGGCUUAGAACCUUCAAUCUUUAGCCAUUAUUCCCAGUUCAGGUGGUUAGGUACCAAAAGUUAUAAAUAGGCCCAAUUUCUCCUUUUAUACUAGAUUUCCUUAACAAGGGCAUCCAAUUCUUGAAACAAGUCACGCUCCCUUCUCUUUCCACUUUCACUUUCAUGCCCAGUUCUUUUUCGACUUGGCAAUCGUAGCAAUUUAUGUAAAGCCUCCUGAUCCGGAGAAACAUGCUCGAUACAUUCUAGUGAACUACGAAGAGAAGCUAGAACGGUGGAAGCCUGAAUCCAGUGAGUGCCCAUUCUUAAUAAACUUGGGAAUAGUAGCUCCUAUGGUUUCUAGAGCGAGUGAAUGAAACACUAUCUUCUUAUGAGCGGAGAUAGAGAGCUAUGUCACAAUCAAUAAGUGAGAUGCUGUGGGCGAGGAAUCUUCUGUCACAAUAGAGGUCUUCUUUUCGAAUUUAAGUGGGACUAGCUUCUUCCUCAAUUGAUAUUACUGACAAUCUAGCAAUUCCAUCCUUUAGAAGAAGAUAAGUAAACCAUUUCUUUGAAUUGCAUGAUUGAGUGAUGGAUGCGGACAAUCACAAGCCUACUUUGUUUAUAGAAAAGAGCGUAUAACCCCCGAUCCCUACCUGUUGUAGAGAAUAUAUCAUCUAAACUCUUCUGUGCCAUUUGCCGCCUAAUACACUAUUUUAGUAUAAUGUUGUUUGCUGGUACAUAUCUCUUGAUUGACUAUUUAUUGGUUAUUAAGCAUUAGUGAGCUGACCUAUGUACAAGUUCUGAGUCAACCCCCAGACAUGUAUCUCCUUGCCUUGUAAUCUCUCAUUCAUCUAUUUAUGUGCAUGCUUUAGCGAAGUCUCCAGCCCCAUAAAUAUUAGUUAAUGCAUGACGCGUAAAUCAAUAACUAAAACUAAAGUGUCGAUCAUCCCAUGCUACCACAGGAUUUUUCAACAACAUGACAUAUUGAGAAAAAUAUAUGUUAGAGCCGCCAUUUCUUUACGGUUACAUUAGUGUGGAUUGUUCUUCUGAUUCUUAUAGGCCUGGCACCCUAGCUUCGAUAGAUUUAUUUGAUUUUGCAAGCUAUGGCACAGGAAUGUGAUAUGGGUCGUAUCCCGCACCUCCCUUGAUUCCGUGUGAAAUCCAUCCAAAAAAGCACGAGUUGGAUCGGCGUAAAGAACAAGACGAACGUGGUAUUAUCUCUAUUAGGACGGUUAUGAGGCUCUGCUCUUUUUUUUCUUUAUUCAAUAUCUAUUCUUUGUUUCUUAUAUUCCGCUAAUUGUUAUCUUGAAUGUAUCUUUAUGCUUAAUAGAUAACUGGUGAUGCUAGAGCUGUCAAGAAGGCAUUGUUUUCAGUAUCAACCAUCAUCUACAAAUGCCCAUCAAAAGAGACCAUUUCUCUUGAAACUUCUGUCCCUCCAAGCAUUGUACAUCCUUCAGAGCUUCCUGUCUAUCCUGCUAGUAACUUCUACUCAGUGUCAGAUGCAGCUAUACCUUAUGGAAUGGACAUCCAAAUCUAGGUAUCUUAGCAAAGGAAGUGGCAUUCAAAUCUACAGGUUUUUCUUCUUUAGCCUUUUCGCCCAGCGUUGUCAUUAUUGACACGUUUUUGCGAUCCCUGUUUUUGAGAUCCUCAAUGACUACCACCAGAAAGGGAAUGUGACCACCAUUCUUAUUUGAUAAAAGUGUCUCCACUAUAGCACUAACGAUCCUAGACAGCAGAGAAAGCUUGAUUGGAGCUAAGAACUAUUUCUAAAGGAUCCCUUCCACUCUUGUGUGGAAAGAUCUUUCUUCAUUCAGUCCAGUCUAAUUUAAAACGUGUUGUCUACUAUUAUAGGGGCUGUCGUUAGGGUCACUCCUUCUUAUGCCGGGAGAUGGCAGUUAUCUAUAUUUAGAAAUAAUAAAGAAUAUGGGUGUGAUUGUCAUCACAAUGGAGUGAUCGAGUAAUCAGCCCUAUAGGUUCCUCUCUAUUUAGAUAGACCCCAUCAACAUGGCCAUUCCCUACUCCUGGUAGCAAAAACCCAUUAGAGGUUUGAUUCUCAAAAGAAAACAGACCAGAAACGAGGGGCCCACGAGGGUGGAGGGCGCGCCCGGAGGGGGGGGUAGGCGCGCCCCCUGCCUCGUGGCCUCCUCGAUUGUUUCUUGACGUCCACUCCAAGUCCCCUGGAUCACGUUUGUUCCAAAAAUCAUGUUCACGAAGGUUUCAUUGCGUUUGGACUCCGUUUGAUAUUCCUUUUCUACGAAACACUAAAAUAUGCAAAAAAAAACAGCAAUUUGGGUUGGGCCUCCGGUUAAUAGGUUAGUCCCAAAAAUAAUAUAAAAGUGUAAAAUAAAUCCCAUUAACAUCCAAAACAGAUAAUAUAAUAGCAUGGAACAAUAAAAAAUUAUAGAUACGUUGGAGACGUAUCAAGCAUCGCCAAGCUUAAUUCCCGCUCGUCCUCGAGUAGGUAAAUGAUAAAAACAGAAUUUUUGAUGUGGAAUGCUUUCUAGAAUAUUCUUCAAUGUAUUUUUCUAUAUUGUGGCAUGAAUGUUCAGAUCUGAAAGAUUCAUGAUAAAAGUUUAUUGUUGACCUAAAAAUAGUAAUACUCCAAGUAUGCUAGUCAAGCAAUUAUGUCUUAUAAAAAUACCAUAGCCAGAGAAAACUUAACCCUACAAAGUCAUAUAGUUUGGCCAUGCUUCAUUUUCGUCACACAAAAUGCUCUCAUCAUGCACAACCCCGAUGACAAGCCAAGCAAUUGUUUCAUACUUAGCCUUUUUCAAACUCUUUCAACUUUUACGCAAUAUAUGAGCGUGAGCCAUGGGCAUAGCACUAUGGGUGGAAUAGAAUAUGAUGAUUGAGGUUGUGUGAGAAGACAAAAAGGGAGAAAGUCUCACAUUGACGCGGCUAAUCAAUGGGCUAUGGAGAUGCCCACCGAUUGAUGUCAAUGCAAGGAGUAGGGAUUGCCAUGCAACAGAUGCACUAGAGCUAUAAAUAUAUGAAAGCUCAUCAAAGAAACUAAGUGGGUGUGCAUCCAACUCGCUUGCUCACGAAGACCUAGGGCAUUUGAGGAAGCCCGUCAUUUGAAUAUACAAGCCAAGUUCUAUAAUGAAAAAUUCCCACUAGUAUAUGAAAGUGACAAAAUAAGAGACUCUCUAUCAUGAAGAUCAUGGUGUACUUUGAAGCACAAGUGUGGAAAAAGGAUAGUAACAUUGUCCCUUCUCUCUUUUUCUCUCAUUUUUUUUCUUUUUUUCUUUGGGCCUUUUUUUUCCUUUUUUUUCUUUUGGCCUCUUUUCUUUUCCUUUUUUCGUCCGGAGUCUCAUCCCGACUUGUGGGGGAAUCAUAGUCUCCAGCAUCCUUUCCUCACAUGGGACAAUGUUCUAAUGAUGAUCAUCACACUUUUAUUUUCUUACAACUCAAGAAUUACAACUCGAUACUUAGAACAAAAUAUGACUCUAUGUGAAUGCCUCCGGCGGUGUACCAGGAUUGCAAUGAAUCAAGAGUGACAUGUAUGAAAAAAUUAUGAACAGUGGAUUUGCCACAAAUACGAUGUCAACUACAUGAUCAUGCAAAGCAAUAUGACAAUGAUGAUACAUGUCAUAAUAAAUGGAACGGUGGAAAGUUGCAUGGCAUUAUAUCUCGGAAUGGCUAUGGAAAUGCCAUAAUAGGUAGGUAUGGUGGCUGUUUUGAGGAAGAUAUAAGGAGGCUUAUGUGUGAUAGUGAAGGAAAUAUGCCCUAGAGGCAAUAAUAAAGUUAUUAUUUACUUCCUUAUAUCAUGAUAAAUGUUUAUUAUUCAUGCUAGAAUUAUAUUAACCGGAAACAUGAUACAUGUGUGAAUGCAUAGACAAACAGAAUGUCACUAGUAUGCCUCUACUUGACUAGCUCGUUGGUCAAAGAUGGUUAUGUUUCCUGACCAUAGACAAAGAGUUGUCAUUUGAUUAACGGGGUCACAUCAUUAGGAUAAUGAUGUGAUUGACUUGGCCCAUUUCAUUAGCUUAGCACUUGAUCGUUUAGUUUGUUGCUAUUGCUUUCUUCAUGACUUAUACAUGUUCCUAUGACUAUGAGAAUAUGCAACUCUUGUUUACCGGAGGAACACUUUGUGUGCUACCAAACGUCACAACGUAACUGGGUGAUUAAAAAGGUGCUCUACAGGUGUCUCCGAAGGUACUUGUUGGGUUGGCGUAUUUCGAGAUUAGGAUUUGUCACUCUGAUUGUCGGAGAGGUAUCUCUGGGCCCACUCGGUAAUACACAUCACUUAAGCCUUGCAAGCAUUGCAACUAAUGAGUUGGUUGCGGGAUGAUGUGUUACGGAACGAGUAAAGAGACUUGCCGGUAAUGAGAUUGAACUAGGUAUUGAGAUACCGACAAUCGAAUCUCGGGCAAGUAACAUACCGAUGACAAAGGGAACAACGUAUGUUGUUAUGCGGUCCGACCGAUAAAGAUCUUCAUAGAAUAUGUAGGAGCCAAUAUGGGCAUCCAGGUUCCGCUAUUGGUUAUUAACCAAAGAGGUGUCUCGGUCAUGUCUACAUAGUUCCGCUAUUGGUUAAAAACUUUGAGAAAUCAUAGAAAAUAAAUCGUAACUCGGAUGAAAAUACUUUGUACAUGAAAGUUUCUCAAAACGAUGAGACGAAUCUGAGAUCGCAGCCUGUUCGUCCGCCACACAUCCCUAGCAUAGCAAACAUGCAACUUUCCCCCUCCGGUUCAUCUGUCCGAAAACGCGAAACAUCGGGAAUACUUUCCCGGAUGUUUUCCUCCUUCGCGGUAUCACCUAGUACUGCAUUAGGUCACCCAUAGAACCGCGUAUUGCCAUGUUAUACUUUGUGAUGCUUUGAUUGCUUUGUUAUUUAUUGUGUUUCCCCUUUGUUACUUCUUUCUGGUAGACCCCGAGACUGCCGGCGACCCCCAGCUCGACUACGGUGUUGACAACCCUUCCUUCUUGCCAAAGCAACCAGGCAAGCCCCCCCUGAUCACCAGAUAUCGCCUAUUCUUCUCUCUACUGCUUGCAUUAUAGUAGUGUAGCAUGUUACUGCUUCCCGUUAAUCCUAUUCUAAUGCAUAGCCUGUCCUUGCUACUACUAUUGUUACCUCUACCUGCAAUCCUAAAUGCUUAGUAUAGGAUGCUAGUAUUCCAUCAGUGGCCCUACAUUCUUGUCUGUCUGCCAUGCUAUACUAUCGGGUCGUGAUCACUUGGGAGGUGAUCACGGGUAUAUACUUAUAUACAUAAUAUGUGAUACAUGUGGUGACUAAAGUUGGGUCGGCUCGUAGAGUACUCGCAAGUGAUUCCGAUGUGGGGGCUGAAAGGAUAGGUGGCUCCAUCCAGGUAGUGGUGGGCCUGAGUUCCCGAUGGCCCCCUAACUUUUACUUUGUGGCGGAGCGACAGGGCAGGUUGAGACCACCUAGGAGAGAGAGGUGGGCCUGGCCCUAGUCGGCGUCCGCGGUUACAUCAAUUAACACGCUUAACGAGAUCUUGGUAUUUGAUCUGAGUCUGGCCACUAGCCUAUACGCACUAACCAACUAUGCGGGAAUAGUUAUGGGCACUCGACGUCGCGGUAUUAGCCAAAGCCUUCUUGACAUCAGCGACUGAGCGACGCGCGCCGGAUUGGACUGGAACGCUUGCUCUUGUAUUAGGGAGGCUAGGUCUGCUUCCGGCCACGUUUGCAACAUGCAGGUGUGCAACGGGCGAUGCACCCAGACCCCUGCGCCAUAUGAUUUAGACCAGCAUGCUGACCUCUUUGUUGUGCCUAGGUAGGGCUGCGACAUGUUGAUCUUCCAAGGCCGGGCAUGACCCAGGAAAGUGUGUCCGGCCAAAGGGGAUCGAGCGUGUUGGGAAAUGUGGUGCACCCCUACAGGGAAGUUUAUCUAUUCGAAUAGUCGUGUCCCUCGGUAAAAGGAUGACCCGAAGUUGUACCUUGACCUUAUGACAACUAGAACCAGAUACUUAAUAAAAUACACCCUUCCAAGUGCCAGAUACAACCCGGUGAUCGCUCUCUCCUAGGGCGACGAGGGGAGGAUCAUCGGGUAGGAUUAUGCUAUGCGAUGUUAUUUGGUUAACUUACCAUCUACUCUCUUCUACUGCUUCAAGAUGGAGGCUGCCAGAAGCGUAGUCUUUGAUAGGACUAGCUACCCCCCUCUUAUUUUGGCAUUCUGCAGUUCAGUCCACAUAUACUACCCCUUUCAUUGAUACAAAUGCAUAUGUAGUGUAGCUCCUUGCUUGCGAGUACUUGGGAUGAGUACUCACGGUUGCUUUGCUUCCCCUUUUCCCCUUUUCCCCUUUCUAUACCUGGUUGUUGCGACCAGACGUUGGAGUCCAGGAGCCAGAUGCCACUGUCGACGAUGACUCGUACUACACUGGAGGUGCCUACUACUACGUGCAGGCCACUGACGAUGACUAGGAGUAGUUUAGGAGGAUCCCAGGCAUGAGACAUGCGCCUCUUUCGAUCCGUAUCCCAGUUUGUGCUAGCCUUCUUAAGGCAAAUUUGUUUAACUUAUGUGUGUACUUAGAUAUUAUUGCUUCCGCUGACUCGUGUAUUCGAGCUUAUUUGUUUAACUUGUUUAAAUGAAUUUUGCUAAAUCUAACAUUAGGAUCGCGUGAUCACUUUCACCCGGGGAGCACCUUAUUAUCGAUGAUCGACUGCUGCACCACAAGAUUCCGAAGAUACUCUCUGAUGUUCUCUUGAGACUUUGUGCCAUCGUUUCAGCAAUUCCUUUCCAUUGCUAAACCAUUUUGGAUAACCAUGUACACUUGUCAUUCAUACAAUCAUUCCCCGUUGAUCUUGUUAUUACAAGAUACCCCGAAAUUCUCUCUAUUGCUCCAAGAAUACUUUGUGCCUACUGCCUUGCAGAUCUUUGCCGCAUGAAUACCCCUAUGAAUAAUUCCUCACAUUUACCGAGGAUUUGUUCAUCUAUUUGUUCGUGUGUUUCACAAAGUUCUUUGAGAAACUAUUUGAUCUUCUGAAAAUCCUCAGCAGCCUAUUGAUCCUGAAUUUCUUGCCUUCAUGCAUUAUGGUUAAUUCCAUAUUUCUGGUAAUCUCCGUUGACAUUCUUUGUCACUAUCAUUCUAAGUCCCUUGAUUCAAUAUGUUGCGAAUGCUCGCAAUCCUCAGACAGAUCCUAGAAUUCAUCCUCCUGACUCAGACGUCAUUUUGAACGUGAGCUGGUUCUUGACCAAUCAAAUUGUCGUCGAUUGUACCCCUAAGUCUAUCCAACUUAUCCAUCCUUAAUCAGAGUGUUACUUCUGAUCAUUUGAUUCGGAAAUCAUAAUUCCUUUGCAUUUGAGUUUCAAUUAGUCAGUUGUUUCUAUAAUCUGAUCUCCUUGCAUCCCUUCUUAUUCUGGUUGGGUACCGAUGUUCACAUCAGCUUCGUUAUGGACCGUCAGAUCCUUUGUUGAAUUUAUCAUCUGAAAUUGUCCUUCGUUUACAAAAACCUUGGAAAGUUCUUUCCCUAAUACAUAAUGCCUUUGGUAAAUUGUAUCCUCUGCUUUGUCAACCAUGCUCUACUUUCGAGCUUGUGUUAUUUACCCCUGAUGUUUGUUGCAUAUGUUUCUACGAUGCCCCGAUGGGUUGAACCUAUGCCUUCCUUAAUCUGUGUGAACCCGAAAGAUUUCACGGGUCAUACUUAUCUGGUAUUGUACCUGGUAAAACUUUCAACAACUAAUGUCAUUUUCAGAAAGAGAGAGGUGAAUGGAAGGUUAUACAUUGAAGAGGUGGGAGUCGACCUUGAACUUGUGUUCAUGCCCAUGGACAUGAUGUAGAUCCUAUCAUGGAAGCUUCUUGUAAUAAAAACUAUUUCCUUGAUAUAAUAUCAUUUGGUAUCAGCGAAUUGAUCCUUUGCAAUCGUGGUUUCUACCAUGUUCUUCUUUGAUCCCAUUUCUCGGACAAGUUAAAGCACUUGUCUUUUGCAAGUCAUUACACCAGUCCAACCUCUACUUUGAUCUACCGUCGAGUAUUACCCUCUGGUAUCUCGAGAAUAUCUAAGAACUGUGUUGCAUCUUAUGAGUCUUCAUCAGCUAUUAUUUCUCACUGAUUCCAAUUUUUCAUGGGUUCUGGGUUGUCGUCAACCGAGAACACUGAUAUGUGAACAGAUUCCGCAUUCCGGUUCGAUAACCCUAAGUAAUUUUUGUUGCCUAUGAGUUUAAUAAUCCUUCAAGUCAUUCCUAGCCCAAUCGGCUAUAUCAUUAUCGUGCUGAUUUUAACUGUGCUACCUGGUCCUUCUUCCUAUAGCACAAAUUUCAACGGUGAGCUAAUCUUACGUAGAUUUUCCUUGUCAUAUAAUUUCUCCUUGAAAAACAAACUCAAUUUCGAGUUUGUGCCGUACUCAUGGUUCCAAUAGCCAUUCGCUUCAUCAUUCCUUUGACUUGAUGCCAUCGCCGAUCGAUUACAUCUUCAUGAAAUCUCUCGACAAAUGUGUCAUGAUCAUCAUCAGCAUUCUGAGCUCUUCCAGGAUAUCAAUUGAAUUCAUGAUGAGAAAUACCAUCCUUGCCCUAAAUUAUUUGUGUUAUCAUCGACCACUUUAUUGCCUUCCGUUCAACACAAACUUGUUCAUGUUUUGUGUUAUACCUUGAGAUCCAUGCUAUCUAGCAUUUGUUCUUCUUUACCUUGGAAUAUUACCAUCUUUUAUGUCAAGAAUGUCCUGAGAAUUUCACCACCUCUUAAAAAUUCUUGAUACAAGUGAUACUUCUUGCCAUCUCCCUUCAUUCCUUAGUCCCAGCAUUAUUUCUAACCAGAAUACUGACAAAUGGACUGUGAUGUGAAAUUUUCAAAACUUCUAGCAACCCUGUUGCUUGUAAGUUAAUGAAUGAUAGUUUCAUUCUUUGUGUAUUGGUUAUCAAAUCACCAUACUAACAUUGAUCAUGCUACCUAAGCCCAUAUUUCGGGUGCACCUUUCAACCAAUGUUUGCUCUUGGAUGUUCUCCUCGAGCAUACAUCAUUAUAUCAUUUGAUCUGACAAAUGUUAUCUCCUUGUUCACAUAAUCGUGGAAAUCCAUAUUUUUGGAAAUCUCAAUGAAUUGUUGCUGAGUCCAUCAGCCAUCUCAUCCUCUCCUUGGUUUAAUGAUGAACUCAUGAUUAAGAACUUGCUUCCAUAGUUCAUUUCCCGAGAAUCUCGCAACGCCAUCUCGUCAAACUGUGUUGCACCCAUUCCUUCUGAGGCAUCAUGAGUCUGAGGUAUCCUAACACCAAUCAGAUUUGAAUCUUGGUCAGAUAUGAUGGUUGGAACAUAUUUCCAAGAGUUAUAAUAAUUGGUCUUUAUAUGAACCAGUAAGGUGAGGUCAUGCCUAACACACCUGGCCGAAGGACCUAUUGUUAUAGUUUCCUUUUUAGCAAGGUUAUCCAUUAUUCCCCGAGGAAAUUGUAACGCUUAUUCUAUACGUUGUUCCUGAUGGAUCCUUUGUGUUUCCAAAGUCUGAUCUUCACCUAAUGACCAUGUUAAUGCUAUCUCGAAGCAUGUCUGUGGUACUAUGAUUUUCAAUAAGAACAUUUGAAGCACAAUGCUAAAAUUUCUUUAUCAAUUAUCCAAAAUUAUCCAAACACCGUUGUAUGGGGGCUACCUCUUGAGCACUGCGUUGGUUUUCCCUUGAAGAGGAAAGGGUGAUGCAGCAAAGUAGCGUAAGUAUUUCCCUUAGUUUUUGAGAACCAAGGUAUCAAUCCAGUAGGGGACUACACGCAAGUCCCUCGUACCUACACAAACAAAUGAGAACCUCGCAACCAACACGAUAAAGGGGUUGUCAAUCCCUUCAUGGUCACUUACGAGAGUGAGAUCUGAUAGAGAUAAUAAGAUAAAUAUUUUUGGUAUUUUUAUGAUAUAGAUUUAAAGUAAAGAUUGCAAAGUAAAUUGGAAACUUAUAUGAUAAAAGAUAGACCCGGGGGCCAUAGGUUUCACUAGUGGCUUCUCUCAAGAUAGCAUAAGUAUUACGGUGGGUGAACAAAUUACUGUCGAGCAAUUGAUAGAAAAGUGCAUAAUUAUGAGAAUAUAUAGGCAUGAUCAUGUAUAUAGUCAUCACGUUCGUGACAAGUAGACCGAAACGAUUCUGCAUCUACUACUAUUACUCCACACAGGGACUGCUAUCCAGCAUGCAUCUAGAGUAUUAAGUUCAUAAGAACAGAGUAACGCAUUAGGCAAGAUGACAUGAUGAAGAGGGAUAAACUCAAGCAAUAUGAUAUAAACCCCAUCUUUUUAUCCUCGAUGGCAACAAUACAAUACGUGCCUUGCUGCCCCUGCUGUCACUGGGAAAGGACACCGCAAGAUUGAACCAAAAGCUAAGCACUUCUCCCAUUGCAAGAAAGAUCAAUCUAGUAGACCAAACCAAACUGAUAAUUCGAAGAGACUUGCGAAGAUAACCAAUCAUACAUAAAAGAUUUUAGAGAAGAAUCAAAUAUUCUUCAUAGAUAAACUUGAUCAUAAACCCACAAUUCAUCGGAUCUCGACAAACACACCGCAAGAGUUAGAUCAAACAGAUCUCCAAGAAGAUCGAAGAGAACUUUGUAUUGAGAUCCAAAGAGAGAGAAGAAGCCAUCUAGCAAAUAACUAUGGACCCAAAGGUCUGUGGUAAACUACUCACCCAUCAUCGGAGAGGCUAUGGUGUUGACGUAGAAGCCCUCCGUGAUCGAUUCCCCCUCCGUCGGAGCUCCGAAAAAGGCCCCAAGAUGGGAUCUCUUGGGUACAGAAGGUUGCGGCGGUGGAAAUAGGGUUUCAUGGUGCUCCUGGAUGUUUUCGGGGUAUAUGGAUAUAUAUAGGAGGAAGAAGUAGGUCGGUGGAGCUGCGAGGGGCCCAUGAGGGUGGGGGCGCGCCCAGGGGGGCAAGCGUGCCUCCUUGCCUCGUGGCCACCUUGCUUCUUUCUUGACGUCUACUCCAAGUCUCCUGGAUCACGUUUGUUCCAAAAAUAACUCUCCCGAAGGUUUCAUUCCGUUUGGCUUCUGUUUGAUAUUCCUUUUCUGCGAAACACUGAAAUAGGCAAAAAACAGCAAUUUGCACUGGGCCUUGGGUUAGUAGGUUAGUCCCAAAAAUAAUAUAAAAGUGUAUAAUAAAGCCCAUUAAACAUCCAAAACAGAUAAUAUAAUAGCAUGGAACAAUAAAAAAUUAUAGAUACGUUGGAGACGUAUCAAUGGGUAAUGUCAUGAAAUUCCUCUCCCCUUUCCUAAAGGGUUUUCUACGUUAUAUCCUGUCAUGGAUACCAUUCUUUGCUUGUCCUUGUGAAGGAUAUACCCCUGAAAAAUGUGUUUAAACACAUUUUCCUUUCCAUUGUUUUGUUUAAUCUGAUGGUCACCUUUUCCUUUUCAUUGAUUUGUUUAACCUUUCUGGUGAUCUAUAUGAUCUAAGCAGUAAUAUUCUCCUGCUUAUGUAAACACCUUGGUGUACAACUCUGUCAGUAAGGACCUGUUACUAUUGUUGAUGACAUUCCGGUAACCACCGACGGAUGAGAACUUUGCCUAUUGGUCUGCCUCGUUCAACGAGUAGGAAAAUGGUUCUCUUCGUCCCUCGCCCUUGGUACCAACGAUGUUGCCAACAUAACUGACCGGAUAUUCUCUGACAUGCCUUGCUAUCAUGGUCAUGCAAGCUGUUGCUACCUCUUGAGCACUGCGUUGGAUUUCCCCGAAGAGGAGAGGAUGAUGCAGUAAAGUAGCGUAAGUAUUACCCUCAAUUUUUGAGAACCAAGGUAUCAAUCCAGUAGGAGGCUACGCGUGAGUUCCUCGUACCUACACAAAAACAAUAGCUCAACGCAACCAACGUGCUUAGGGGUUGUCAAUCCCUUCACGGUCACUUACGAAAGUGAGAUCUGAUAGAGAUGAUAAAUAAUAUUUUUGGUAUUUUUGGUAUAGAGACGCAAAGUGAAAAGUAAAAAGCAAAGCAAUAAUAAAGUGAUGGAGAUUGAUAUGAUGAGAAAGAGACCCGGGGGCCAUGGGUUUCACUAGUGGCUUCUCUCAAGAGCAUAAGUAUUCUACUGUGGGUGAACAAAUUACUGUUGAGCAAUUGACAAAAUUGAGCAUAGUUAUGAGAAUAUCUAGGUAUGAUCAUGUAUAUAGGCAUCACGUCCGACACAAGUAGACCGACUCCUGCCUGCGUCUACUACUAUUACUCCACUCAUCGACCGCUAUCCAGCAUGCAUCUAGAGUAUUAAGUUAAAAACAGAGUAACGCCUUAAGCAAGAUGACAUGAUGUAGAGGGAUAGUUUCAUGCAAUAUGAUAAAAAAACCAUCUUGUUAUCCUCGAUGGCAACAAUACAAUACGUGCCUUGCUGCCCCUUCUGUCACUAGGAAAGGACACCGCAAGAUCGAACCCAAAGCUAAGCACUUCUCCCAUGGUAAGAAAAACCAAUCUAGUAGGCCAAACCAAACUGAUAAUUUGAAGAGACUUACAAAGAUAACAAAUGAUACAUAAAAGAAUUCAGAGAAGAUUCAAAUAUUAUUCAUAGAUAGACUGGAUCAUAAACCCACAAUUCAUCGGUCUCAACAAACACACCGCAAAAAGAAGAUUACAUCGAAUAGAUCUCCACGAGAGAGGGGGAGAACAUUGUAUUGAGAUCCAAAAAGAGAGAAGAAGCCAUCUAGCUACUAACUAUGGACCCGUAGGUCUGAAGUAAACUACUCACACUUCAUCGGAGGGGCUUGGAUGAUGAUGUAGAAGCCCUCCGUGAUCGAUGCCCCCUCCCCCGGAGCUCCGGAACAGGCCCCAAGAUGGGAUCUCGUGGAUACAGAAAGUUGCGGUGGUGGAAUUAGGUUUUUGGCUCCAUAUCUGAUCGUUUGGGGGUACGUAGGUAUAUAUAGGAGGAAGGAAUACGUCGGUGGAGCUUCGAGGGGCCCACGAGGCAGGGGGCGCGCCCUAGGGGGCGCCCUCCACCCUCGUGACUGCCUCGUGACUUUCUUGACGGAGGGUCCAAGUCUCCUAGGUCUUAUCUGAUGAGAAAAUCGCGCUCCCAAAGGUUUCGUUCCGUUUGGACCCCGUUUGAUAUUAUGUUUCUCCGAAACACUGAAAUAGGCAAAAAACAGCAAUUCUGGGCUGGGCCUCCUAUUAAUAGGUUAGUCCCAAAAAUAAUAUAAAAGUGGAAAAUAAAGCCCAAUAUAGUCCAAAACAGUAGGUAAUAUAGCAUGAAGCAAACAAAAAUUAUAGAUACGUUGGAGGCGUAUCAGCUGUUAACGCCCUUCCUUGUUUUAACCCACAUGGUGGGCCCAUAACCCAUAAGUUCCACAUGAUCGAAACCUGACUCUUUGUUGGGAAACGUAGUAAUUUCAAAAAAAAUCCUACGCACACGCAAGAUCAUGGUGAUGCAUAGCAAUGAGAGGGGAGAGUAUGAUCUACGUACCCUUGUAGAUCGACAAUGGAAGCGUUUGGUUGAUGUAGUCGUACGUCUCCACGGCCCAACCGAUCAAGCACCGAAACUAUGGCACCUCCGAGUUCUAGCACACGUUCAGCUCGAUGACGAUCCCCGGACUCCGAUCUAGCAAAGUGUCGGGGAAGAGUUCCGUCAGCACGACGGCGUGGUGACGAUCUUGAUGUACUACCGUCACAGGGCUUCGCCUAAGCACCGCUACAAUAUUAUCGAGGACUAUGGUGGAAGGGGGCACCGCACAUGGCUAAGAAUAUGAUCACGUGGAUCAACUUGUGUCUCUAGGGGGUGCCCCUGCCUCCAUAUAUAAAGGUUCAAGGGAGGGGGGCCUGCCGGCCAGGAGAGGCGCGCCUUUCCUAGUUGGAAUAGGAUUCGUGGAGGGGGGAAAGAGGAGAGAGAGGAGGAAGGGGGGCCGGCCCCCUCUCCUUGUCCAAUUUGGACCAAGGGGGGGAGGGGCGCGCGUCCCAUCUCUGGCCACCUCUCCUCUCUCCCACUAAGGCCCAUAUACCUCCCGGGGGGUUCCGGUAACCUCCCGGUACUCCGGUAAAAUCCCGAUUUCACCUGGAACACUUCCGAUAUCCAAACAUAGGCUUCCAAUAUAUCAAUCUUUAUGUCUCGACCAUUUCGAGACUCCUCGUCAUGUCCAUGAUCACAUCCGAGACUCCGAACAACCUUCGGUACAUCAAAAUGCAUAAACUCAUAAUAUAACUGUCAUCGUAACCUUAAGCAUGCGGACCCUACGGGUUCGAGAACAAUGUAGACAUGACCGAGACACGUCUCCGGUCAAUAACCAAUAGCGGAACCUGGAUUCUCAUAUUGGCUCCUACAUAUUCUACGAAGAUCUUUUAUCGGUCAGACCGCAUAACAACAUACGUUGUUCCCUUUGUCAUCGGUAUGUUACUUGCCCGAGAUUCGAUCGUCGGUAUCCCAUACCUAGUUCAAUCUUGUUACCGACAAGUCUCUUUACUCGUUCUGUAAUACAUCAUCCCGCAACUAACUCAUUAGUUGCAAUGCUUGCAAGGCUUAAGUGAUGUGCAUUACCGAGAGGGCCCAGAGAUACCUCUCCGACAAUCAGAGUGACAAAUCCUAAUCUCGAAAUACGCCAACCCAACAUGUUCCUUUGGAGACACCUGUAGAGCACCUUUAUAAUCACCCAGUUACGUUGUGACGUUUGGUUGCACACAAAGUGUUCCUCUGGUAAACGGGAGUUGCAUAAUCUCAUAGUCAUAGGAACAUGUAUAAGUUAUGAAGAAAGCAAUAGCAACAUACUAAACGAUCGGGUGCUAAGCUAAUGGAAUGGGUCAUGUCAAUCAGAUCAUUCACCUAAUGAUGUGAUCCCGUUAAUCAAAUAACAACUCUUUGUCCAUGGUUAGGAAACAUAACCAUCUUUGAUUAACGAGCUAGUCUAGUAGAGGCAUACUAGUGACACUCUGUUUGUCUAUGUAUUCACACAUGUAUUAUGUUUCCAGUUAAUACAAUUCUAGCAUGAAUAAUAAACAUUUAUCAUGAUAUAAGGAAAUAAAUAAUAACUUUAUUAUUGCCUCUAGGGCAUAUUUCCUUCAGUCUCCCACUUGCACUAGAGUCAAUAAUCUAGAUUACACAGUAAUGAUUCUAACACCCAUGGAGCCUUGGUGUUGAUCAUGUUUUGCUCGUGGAAGAGGCUUAGUCAACGGGUCUGCUACAUUCAGAUCCGUAUGUAUCUUGCAAAUCUCUAUAACUCCCACCUGGACUAUAUCCCGGAUGGAAUUGAAGCGUCUCUUGAUGUGCUUGGUUCUCUUGUGAAAUCUGGAUUCCUUUGCCAAGGCAAUUGCACCAGUAUUGUCACAAAAGAUUUUCAUUGGACCCGAUGCACUAGGUAUGACACCUAGAUCGGAUAUGAACUCCUUCAUCUAGACUCCUUCAUUCGCUGCUUCCGAAGCAGCUAUGUAUUCCGCUUCACACGUAGAUCCCGCCAAGACGCUCUGUUUAGAACUGCACCAACUGACAGCUCCACCGUUUAAUGUAAACACGUAUCCGGUUUGUGAUUUAGAAUCAUACGGAUCAGUGUCAAAGCUUGCAUCAACGUAACCGUUUACGAUGAGCUCUUUGUCACCUCCAUAUACGAGAAACAUAUCCUUAGUCCUUUUUAGGUACUUCAGGAUGUUCUUGACCGCUGUCCAGUGAUCCACUCUUGGAUUACUUUGGUACCUCCCUGCUAGACUUAUAGCAAGGCACACAUCAGGUCUGGUACAUAGCAUUGCAUACAUGAUAGAGCCUAUGGCUGACGCAUAGGGAACAUCUUUCAUUUUCUCUCUAUCUUCUGCAGUGCUCGGGCAUUGACUCUGACUCAACUUCACACCUUGUAACACAGGCAAGAACCCUUUCUUUGCUUGAUCCAUUUUGAACUUCUUCAAAAUCUUGUCAAGGUAUGUGCUUUGUGAAAGUCCAAUUAAGCGUCUCGAUCUAUCUCUAUAGAUCUUUAUGCCUAAUAUGUAAGCAGCUUCACCGAGGUCUUUCAUUGAAAAACUCUUAUUCAAAUAUCCCUUUAUGCUAUCUAGAAAUUCUAUAUCAUUUCCAAUCAGUAAUAUGUCAUCCACAUAUAAUAUCAGAAAUGCUACAGAGCUCCCACUCACUUUCUUGUAAAUACAGGCUUCUCCAAAAUUCUGUAUAAAACCAAAUGCUUUGAUCACACUAUCAAAGCAUUUAUUCCAACUCCAAGAGGCUUGCACCAGUCCAUAAAUGGAUCGCUGGAGCUUGCACACUUUGUUAGCUCCCUUUGGAUCGACAAAACCUUCCGGUUGCAUCAUAUACAACUCUUCUUCCAGAAAUCCAUUCAGGAAUGCAGUUUUGACAUCCAUCUGCCAAAUUUCAUAAUCAUAAAAUGCGGCAAUUGCUAACAUGAUUCGGACAGACUUAAGCAUCGCUACGGGUGAGAAGGUCUCAUCGUAGUCAACCCCUUGAACUUGUCGAAAACCUUUUGCGACAAGUCGAGCUUUGUAGACAGUAAUAUUACCGUCAGCGUCAGUCUUCUUCUUGAAGAUCCAUUUAUUCUCAAUUGCUUGCCGAUCAUCGGGCAAGUCAACCAAAGUCCAUACUUUGUUCUCAUACAUGGAUCCCAUCUCAGAUUUCAUGGCUUCAAGCCAUUUUACGGAAUCUGGGCUCACCAUCGCUUCUUCAUAGUUCGUAGGUUCAUCAUGAUCUAGUAGCAUGAUUUCCAAAACAGGAUUACCGUACCACUCUGGUGCGGAUCUCACUCUGGUUGAUCUACGAGGUUCAGUAGUAUCUUGUUCUGAAGUUUCAUGAUCAUUAUCAUUAGCUUCCUCACUAAUUGGUGUAGGUGUCACAAAAACAGUUUUCUGUGAUGCACCACUUUCCAAUAAGGGAGCAGGUACGGUUACCUCGUCAAGUUCUACUUUCCUCCCACUCACUUCUUUCGAGAGAAACUCCUUCUCUAGAAAGGAUCCAUUCUUAGCAACGAAUGUCUUGCCUUCGGAUCCGUGAUAGAAGGUGUACCCAACAGUCUCCUUUGGGUAUCCUAUGAAGACACAUUUCUCCAAUUUGGGUUCGAGCUUAUCAGGUUGAAGCUUUUUCACAUAAGCAUCGCAGCCCCAAACUUUAAGAAACGACAACUUUGGUUUCUUGCCAAACCACAGUUCAUAAGGUGUCGUCUCAACGGAUUUUGAUGGUGCCCUAUUUAACGUGAACGCGGCCGUCUCUAAAGCAUAACCCCAAAAUGAUAGCGGUAAAUUUGUAAGAGACAUCAUAGAUCGCACCAUAUCAAGUAAAGUACGAUUACGACGUUCGGACACACCAUUACGCUGAGGUGUUCCGGGUGGCGUGAGUUGUGAAACUAUUCCGCAUUGUUUCAGAUGUAGACCAAACUCGUAACUCAAAUAUUCUCCUCCAUGAUCAGAUCGCAGAAACUUUAUUUUCUUGUUACGAUGAUUUUCAACUUCACUCUGAAAUUCUUUGAACUUUUCAAAUGUUUCAGACUUAUGCUUCAUUAAGUAGAUAUACCCAUAUCUGCUUAAAUCAUCUAUGAAGGUGAGAAAAUAACGAUAUCCGCCACGAGCCUCAACAUUCAUCGGACCACAUACAUCUGUAUGUAUGAUUUCUAACAAAUCUGUUGCUCUCUCCAUUGUACCGGAGAACGGUGUUUUAGUCACCUUGCCCAUAAGGCAUGGUUCGCAAGUACCAAGUGAUUCAUAAUCAAGAGGUUCCAAAAUUCCAUCGGUAUGGAGUUUCUUCAUGCGCUUUACACCGAAAUGACCUAAACGGCAGUGCCACAAAUAAGUUGCACUAUCAUUAUCAACUCUACAUCUUUUGGCUUCAACAUUAUGAAUAUGUGUGUUACUAAUAUCGAGAUUCAUCAAAAAUAGACCACUCUUCAAAGGUGCAUGACCAUAAAAGAUAUUACUCAUAUAAACAGAACAACCAUUAUUCUCUGAUUUAAAUGAAUAACCGUCUCGCAUUAAACAAGAACCAGAUAGAAUGUUCAUGCUCAACGCAGGCACCAAAUAACAAUUAUUUAGGUCUAAUAUUAAUCCCGAAGGUAGAUGUAGAGGUAGCGUGCCGACCGCGAUCACAUCGACUUUAGAACCAUUUCCCACGCGCAUCAUCACCUCGUCCUUUGCCAGUGUUCGCUUAAUCCGUAGUCCCUGUUUCGAGUUGCAAAUAUUAGCAACAGAACCAGUAUCAAAUACCCAGGUGCUACUGCGAGCUCUAGUAAGGUGCACAUCAAUAACAUGUAUAUCACAUAUACCUUUGUUCACCUUGCCAUCCUUCUUAUCCGCCAAAUACUUGGGGCAGUUCCGCUUCCAGUGACCAGUCUGCUUGCAGUAGAAGCACUCAGUUUCAGGCUUAGGUCCAGAUUUGGGUUUCUUCUCCUGAUCAGCAACUUGCUUGCUUUUCUUCUUGAAGUUCCCCUUCUUCUUCCCUUUGCCCUUUUUCUUGAAACUAGUGGUCUUGUUGACCAUCAACACUUGAUGCUCCUUCUUGAUUUCUACCUCUGCAGCUUUCAGCAUUGCGAAGAGUUCGGGAAUAGUCUUGUUCAUCCCUUGCAUAUUAUAGUUCAUCACAAAGCUCUUGUAGCUUGGUGGCAGUGAUUGGAGAAUUCUGUCAAUGACGCAAUCAUCUGGAAGAUUAACUCCCAUCUGAAUCAAGUGAAUAUUAUACCCAGACAUUUUGAGUAUAUGCUCACUGACAGAACUGUUCUCCUCCAUCUUGCAGCUAUAGAAUUUAUUGGAGACUUCAUAUCUCUCAAUCCGGGCAUUUGCUUGAAAUAUUAACUUCAACUCUUGGAACAUCUCAUAUGCUCCAUGACGUUCAAAACGUCGUUGAAGUCCCGAUUCUAAGCCGUAAAGCAUGGCACACUGAACUAUCGAGUAGUCAUCAGCUUUGCUCUGCCAAAUGUUCACAACAUCUGGUGUUGCUCCAGCAGCAGGCCUGGCACCUAGCCGUGCUUCCAGGACGUAAUUCUUCUGUGCAGCAAUGACGAUAAUCCUCAAGUUACGGACCCAGUCCGUGUAAUUGCUACCAUCAUCUUUCAACUUUGCUUUCUCAAGGAACGCAUUAAAAUUCAACGGAACAACAGCACGGGCCAUUUAUCUACAAUCAUACAUAAACAAGCAAGAUACUAUCAGGUACUAAGUUCAUGAUAAAUUUAGGUUCAAUUAAUCAUAUUACUUAAACUCCCACUUAAAUAGACAUCCCUCUAAUCAUCUAAGUGAUCACGUGAUCCAAAUCAACUAAACCAUAACCAAUCAUCACGUGAAAUGGAGUAGUUUUCAAUGGUGAACAUCGCUAUGUUGAUCAUAUCUACUAUAUGAUUCACGCUCGAUCUUUCGAUCUCAGUGUUCCGAGGCCAUAUCUGCAUAUGCUAGGCUCAUCAAGUUUAACCUGAGUAUUCUGUGUGUGCAAAACUGGCUUGCACCCGUUGUAGAUGGACGUAGAGCUUAUCACACCGGAUCAUCACGCGGUGUCUGGGCACGACGAACUUUGGCAAUGGUGCAUACUCAGGGAGAACACUUUUAUCUUGAAAUUUAGUGAGAGAUCAUCUUAUAAUGCUACCGUCAAUCAAAGCAAGAUAAGAUGCAUAAAAGAUAAACAUCACAUGCAAUCAAUAUAAGUGAUAUGAUAUGGCCAUCAUCAUCUUGUGCUUGUGAUCUCCAUCUCCGAAGCACCGUCGUGAUCACCAUCGUCACCGGAGCGACACCUUGACCUCCAUCGUAGUAUCGUUGUCGUCUCGCCAAUCUUAUGCUUCCACGACUAUCGCUACCGCUUAGUGAUAAAGUAAAGCAUUACAGCGCGAUUGCAUUGCAUACAAUAAAGCGACAACCAUAUGGCUCCUGCCAGUUGCCGAUAACUCAGUUACAAAACAUGAUCAUCUCAUACAAUAAAAUUUAGCAUCAUGUCUUGACCAUAUCACAUCACAACAUGCCCUGCAAAAACAAGUUAGACGUCCUCUACUUUGUUGUUGCAUGUUUUACGUGGCUGCUACGGGCUUUAAGCAAGAACCAAUCUUACCUACGCAUCAAAACCACAAUGAAAGUUUGUCAAGUUGGUGUUGUUUUAAACUUCGCAAGGACCGGGCAUAGCCACACUCGGUUCAACUAAAGUUGGAGAAACUGUCACCCGCAAGCCACCUAUGUGCAAAGCACAUCGGGAGAACCGGUCUCGCGUAAGCAUACGCGUAAUGUCGGUCCGGGCCGCUUAGUCCAACAAUACCACCGAACCAAAGUAUGACAUGUUGGUAAGCAGUAUGACUUAUAUCGCCCACAACUCACUUGUGUUCUACUCGUGCAUAUAACAUCAACAUAUAAAACCUAGGCUCGGAUGCUACUGUUGGGAAACGUCUUAAUUUCAAAAAAAUUCCUAUGCACACGCAAGAUCAUGGUGAUGCAUAGCAACGAGAGGGGAGAGUAUGAUCUACGUACCCUUGUAGAUCGACAAUGGAAGCGUUUGGUUGAUGUAGUCGUACGUCUCCAUGGCCCGACCGAUCAAGCACCGAAACUUCGGCACCUCCGAGUUCUAGCACACGUUCAGCUCGAUGACGAUCCCCGGACUCCGAUCCAGCAAAGUGUCGGGGAAGAGUUCUGUCAGCACGACGGCGUGGUGACGAUCUUGAUGUACUACCGUCACAGGGCUUCGCCUAAGCACCGCUACAAUAUUAUCGAGCACUAUGGUGGAAAGGGGUCACUGCACACGGCUAAGAAUAUGAUCACGUGGAUCAACUUGUGUCUCUAGGGGGUGCCCAUGCCUCCGUAUAUAAAGGUUCAAGGGAGGGGGGCCGGCCGGCCAGGAGAGGUGCGCCAGGAGGAGUCCUACUCCCUCUGGGAGUAGGACUCCCCCCUUUCCUAGUUGGAACAGGAUUCGUGGAGGGGGGAAGAGGAGAGAGAGGAGGAAGGGGGCCCGGCCCCCUCUCCUUGUCCAAUUCGGACCAAGGGGGGGAGGGGCGCGCGUCCCAUCUCUGGCCACCUCUCCUCUCUUCCACUAAGGCCCACUAAGGCCCAUAUACCUCCUGGGGGGUUCCGGUAACCUCCCGGUACUCCGGUAAAAUCCCGAUUUCACCCGGAACACUUCCGAUAUCCAAACAUAGGCUUCCAAUAUAUCAAUCUUUAUUUCUCGACCAUUUCGAGACUCCUCGUCAUGUCCGUGAUCACAUCCGGGACUCCGAACAACCUUCGGUACAUCAAAAUGCAUAAACUCAUAAUAUAACUGUCAUCGUAACCUUAAGCGUGCGGACCCUACGGGUUCGAGAACAAUGUAGACAUGAUCGAGACACGUCUCUGGUCAAUAACCAAUAGCGGAACCUGGAUUCUCAUAUUGGCUCCUACAUAUUCUACGAAGAUCUUUUAUUGGUCAGACCGCAUAACAACAUACGUUGUUCCCUUUGUCAUCGGUAUGUUACUUGCCCGAGAUUCGAUCGUCGGUAUCCCAUACCUAGUUCAAUCUUGUUACCGACAAGUCUCUUUACUCGUUCUGUAGUACAUCAUCCCGCAACUAACUCAUUAGUUGCAAUGCUUGCAAGGCUUAAGUUAUGUGCAUUACCGAGAGGGCCCAGAGAUACCUCUCCGACAAUCGGAGUGACAAAUCCUAAUCUCGAAAUACGCCAACCCAACAUGUUCCUUUGGAGACACCCGUAGAGCACCUUUAUAAUCACCCAGUUACGUUGUGACGUUUGGUUGCACACAAAGUGUUCCUCCGGUAAACGGGAGUUGCAUAAUCUCAUAGUCAUAGGAACAUGUAUAAGUUAUGAAGAAAGCAAUAGCAACAUACUAAACGAUCAAGUGCUAAGCUAAUGGAAUGGGUCGUGUCAAUCAGAUCAUUCACCUAAUGAUGUGAUCCCGUUAAUCAAAUAACAACUCUUUGUCCAUGGUUAGGAAACAUAACCAUCUUUGAUUAACGAGCUAGUCUAGUAGAGGCAUACUAGUGACACUCUGUUUGUCUAUGUAUUCACACAUGUAUUAUGUUUCCGGUUAAUACAAUUCUAGCAUGAAUAAUAAACAUUUAUCAUGAUAUAAGGAAAUAAAUAAUAACUUUAUUAUUGCCUCUAGGGCAUAUUUCCUUCACUCUCAUGUACCCCCUAUUUCCAUAGUUAUUCCUCGCGUGUGGUCUCAUAUGUAAUUCAUGAGCCACCUUCCGAGAGAUCAUCAAUUCUGCUAUCAGACACAAUACUUAUUCCCGUUGCUUUGGGUCCCUUUCGCGCCCUGUUUCAGGCAUCGAGCGCUUGCCUGCCCGCUCGAAACUUCCCAUGAUAACUCCUUACUUUGCUCUCGAUAUUUUCAUAAGUUUCAAUUCGAGAGUUACUCUCCGCCACCUUCCUCGAUGUUCUCGACCAGAUAGUCAACCUUGCCGAGGUCUGUUCUCCCGGAAAGCUCCUCCUUUAGUCUUUUGUAAGUACAGUGAAGAUCCUUAAGGAAGGACGACAACUUCAUCAUGAUGACUUGAAGCAGAGAAAUGAAGACAUGAAUGUAAUGGAUCGACCUCUUCGAGAAGAGAAACUAAGACCGAGAAGAAUCGUUAGAAUUUAGUAACCACAUCUUUCCCCUUACUCAGCCUCUUAAAAUCUCGGGACGAGAUUUCUUGUAAUGGAGGAGAAUUGUGACGCCCGGAUAAUUAAGCUACAGUGAACCUUUGCUAAUGAUGCCACGUCACUGCGAUUACUGUUAUUAAUCUCGCGAUGGUUCAAAAAACGAUUCAAAUUCAAAUUUAAAAUAUAGGCAAGCAACAAAUGUUUUCAAAAAUUAAAACUAAAAUGUUCGAGAGAUGACAUAUAAUGCAUAUGUAAUUAUGCUGAUGAAACCACAUUUUGAUAAAAUGUUUAGAUGUAAGAAAUUAAUUGAAAUAGGGGCUAAACAAUUACUUAAAUUCUUUUAAAAAGAAUAAACUAUUACAAACCAUUUUAUUUUGGAGAGCUAAAUUAAUAGUUGCAAAGCCACAAUUUUUAACACUAAAUUAGGUGUCACUUUUGUAUUUUAUUAAAACUAAAAUAAAUAGAAACUAAAAUAAAUAAAUAAAGGAUAAAUAAAAAGAAAACAAAAAGAAGUAAAAUAAAAAGGAAAAGUGCCCCUGGUCCAACUAGGCCACAGCCCAGCUGGUCGCACACCCAGUUGGCCCACCACUGCCCCAAUAACCCCCUGCAACUGAACCCUAGACCCUCACACCUCUCGCCCCCACUCCCUAUCUGCAUGAUCCUCUCAACCCCCACCCGCCUCGCGCCGCCACGGACGAGCGAGAGCGCUCUCGCUCGACCCCGCAGAUCCUCCCGCCGGCCACGCCCUGCGCCUCCCCCGAACUCGCCUCAUCCUCCCCUGCACCCACCUCCGCCACCACUCUCGCGCCAGAGUCGUCCCCCGCCGUCGCCUCGUCGUACACGGCUGCCCGACCGCGCCCCCACCCGAGGAACCGUCGCCGACGCCGCCCGGAGCCACUCCGCCGACGCUCGUCGCCGACCACCGCCCCGUCGCCGGAUCUUGCAUCCCCGUCCUCCUCCCCAAAGGACACCUCGAGCCUCGCGGCCCCCUGGUCUCUACAUCGCCGGUGAGGGCCUCGCCCUUUCCCCAUCUCUUCCUCUGUCCCGUGUCUGCCGCGGCCCCCUCCACCACCUUCACUGCUGCUCGCCGGCCACUGCGCCCACCUCGCCUUGUAGCCGUCGUUGGCCGCGCCAUGGCCCUGCCCGCUGCGCUCAGCGCACCAUCACGCGCGCAUGCGCUCGCGUCCUCGCGCCCGGAUGACGUACCCCGCCCCGCUCCCCCUCUGCUUGACCUCGUCUGCCGGCAGCCGCUCACGCGCCCACGGCCUCAACUGCUGCGCCGCUUCUGCUGCUACUGUGUGCCACCGUGCCGACCCGCCUUCCCCGUUGACGGCCGCCGUGCCCGCACCUUGCCGAAACCGCGCGUGCACGCCCUGCCACUGCUCCACGCCGGCGUGCUGUCCUGGCCCUGCUGCUCUCUGCGNNNNNNNNNNNNNNNNNNNNNNNNNNNNNNNNNNNNNNNNNNNNNNNNNNNNNNNNNNNNNNNNNNNNNNNNNNNNNNNNNNNNNNNNNNNNNNNNNNNNNNNNNNNNNNNNNNNNNNNNNNNNNNNNNNNNNNNNNNNNNNNNNNNNNNNNNNNNNNNNNNNNNNNNNNNNNNNNNNNNNNNNNNNNNNNNNNNNNNNNNNNNNNNNNNNNNNNNNNNNNNNNNNNNNNNNNNNNNNNNNNNNNNNNNNNNNNNNNNNNNNNNNNNNNNNNNNNNNNNNNNNNNNNNNNNNNNNNNNNNNNNNNNNNNNNNNNNNNNNNNNNNNNNNNNNNNNNNNNNNNNNNNNNNNNNNNNNNNNNNNNNNNNNNNNNNNNNNNNNNNNNNNNNNNNNNNNNNNNNNNNNNNNNNNNNNNNNNNNNNNNNNNNNNNNNNNNNNNNNNNNNNNNNNNNNNNNNNNNNNNNNNNNNNNNNNNNNNNNNNNNGGAUGCCCGGUCGGGGCCAGCGCCCGAGACCCGCGCCCGCAGCGCCCGCCCCAUUAAGGCCUCUAGGGCCUAUGACAAAGGGGGCCCACCCAGAACGAUUAGAAAAAAGAAUUAAGAAUAAUAAUAAAUAAAUACAAAUAUUAAUUAAUUAAUUAACUAAAUUAAUUAACUAAAUUAAUUAAUUAAAUUAAUUAUGUUUGAUUAACCUGAUCAAUUAGCUAAACUAACUAAACAUGUUUAGUUAGCCUUAGUCUAUGACAGGUGGGUCCCACUAGACCCACAGGCCAGGUUUGACUCUCGUCAGCUGGGUUUGACCUGCUGAUGUCAUGGUGAUGUCAUGCUGACAUCACCUUUCACUGUUCUGGAUAAUGUUUGAUUUAAAUAAUUAAAUAAACUUAAAAAAAUGCCUAAAACUUUGAUAAACAAUAGAAAAUAAACCGUAACUCGGAUGAAAAUACUUUGUACAUGAAAGUUGCUCAGAACGACGAGACGAAUCCGAAUACGCAGCCUGUUCUUCCGCCACACAUCCCUAGCAUAGCAAACACACAACUUUCCCCCUCCGGUUCAUCUGUUCGAAAACGCGAAACACCGGGAAUACUUCCCGGAUGUUUUCCUCCUUCACCGGUAUCACCUAGUACUACGUUAGGUCAAACCUAGCACCGCGUAUUGCCAUGUUAUACUUUGUGAUGCUUUGAUUGCUUUGUUAUUUAUUGUGUUUCCCCUCCGUUACUUCUUUUUGGUAGACCCCGAGACUACCGGCGACCCCCAGCUCGACUACGGUGUUGACGACCCUUCCUUCUUGCCAAAGCAACUAGGCAAGCCCCCCUUGAACACCAGAUAUCUGAUACGUCUCCAACGUAUCUAUAAUUUUUGAUGGUUCCAUGCUAUUAUAUUAUCUGUUUUGGAUGUUAAUGGGCUUUAUUUUACACUUUUAUAUUGUUUUUGGGACUAACCUAUUAAACGGAGGCCCAUCCCAAAUUGCUGUUUUUUGCCUAUUUCAGUGUUUCAUAGAAAAGGAAUAUCAAACGGAGUCCAGACAGAAUGAAACCUUCGGGAACGUGAUUUUUGGAACAAACGUGAUCCAGGGGAUUUUGAGUGGACGUCAAGAAACAAUCGAGGAGGCCAUGAGGCAGGGGGCGCGCCUACCCCCUGGGCACGCCCUCCACCCUCGUGGGCCCCUCGUUGCUCCACCGACCUACUUCUUCCUCCUAUAUAUAUAUAUAUAUAUAUAUAUAUAUAUAUAUAUAUAUACCCCGAGAACAUCCAGGAGCACCACGAAACCCUAUUUCCACCGCCGCAACCUUCUAUACCCAAGAGAUCCCAUCCUGGGGCCUUUUCCGGAGCUCCGCCGGAGGGGUCAUUGAUCACGGAGGGCCUCUACAUCAACUCCAUGGCCCCUCCGAUGAUGUGUGAGUCAUUUACCUCAGACCUUCGGGUCCAUAGCUAGUAGCUAGAUGGCUUCUUCUCUCUCUUUGGAUCUCAAUACAAAGUUCUCCUCGAUUCUCUUGGAGAUCUAUUCGAUGUAGUCUUCUUUUGCGGUGUGUUUGUCGAGAUCUGAUGAAUUGCGGGUUUAUGAUCAAGUCUAUCUAUGAACAAUAUUUGAAUCUUCUCUGAAUUCUUUUAUGUAUGAUUGGUUUAUCUUUGCAAGUCUCUUCGAAUUAUCAGUUUGGUUUGGCCUACUAGAUUGAUCUUUCUUGCCAUUGGAGAAGUGCUUAGCUUUGGGUUCAAUCUUGUGGUGCUCGAUCCCAGUGACAGAAAGGGAAACGACACGUUUUGUAUUGUUGCCAUCGAGGAUAAAAAGAUGGGGUUUAUAUCAUAUUGCAUGAGUUUAUCCCUCUACAUCAUGUCAUCUUGCUUAAGGCGUUACUCCAUUCUUAUGAACUUAAUACUCUAGAUGCAUGCUGGAUAGCGGUUGAUGUGUGGAGUAAUAGUAGUAGAUGCAUGCUGGAUAGCGGUUGAUGUGUGGAGUAAUAGUAGUAGAUGCAGGCAAGAGUCGGUCUACUUGUCACGGAUGUGAUGCCUAUAUACAUGAUCAUACCUAGAUAUUCUCAUAAUUAUUCGCUUUUCUAUCAAUUGCUCGAUAGUAAUUUGUUCACCCACCAUACUUAUGCUAUCUUGAGAGAAGCCAAUAGUGAAACCUAUGGCCCCCAGGUCUAUUCUCCAUCAUAUAAGUUUCCAAUCUAUUUUAUUUUGCAAUCUUUACUUUCAAUCUAUAUCAUAAAAAUACCAAAAAUAUUUAUCUUAUUAUUAUCAUCUCUAUCAGAUCUCACUCUUGUAAGUGGCCGUGAAGGGAUUGACAACCCCUUUAUCGUGUUGGUUGCGAGGUUCUUAUUUGUUUGUGUAGGUACGAGGUGACUCGUGUGUGGUCUCCUACUGGAUUGGUACCUUGGUUCUCAAAAACUGAGGGAAAUACUUACGCUGCUUUACUGCAUCACCCUUUCCUCUUCAAGGGAAAACCAACACAGUGCCCAAGAGGUAGCAAGAAGGAUUUCUGGCGCCGUUGCCGGGGAGAUCUACGCCAAGUCAAGACAUACCAAGUACCCAUCACAACUCUUAUCCUUUGCAUUACAUUAUUUGCCAUUUGCCUCUCGUUUUCCUCUCCCCCACUUCACCCUUGUCGUUUUAUUCGCUCUGUCUUUCCCGUUCGCCUCUUUCUCGCUUACGUCUUGUUGCUUGUUGCCCUCAUGGCUUUACCAAAAGGAGUUGAUCCUCACCUUACAAGGUUGGAAGAAAUCGAAAACAACGUUAGAAGUUUUAUGUCCUUGCAGUUUGAGCAUAAUAAUUUCUCUAGAAACGAGCUUAAAGAACAAAAAAGUUUUAUCGGUUUCAUGAAUAAAGAUCUCAAUGAUAUGUCUAAGGAAUUUUAUGGUUUGAAAUCUCAGCUUGCUCAUCUUGAAAAAUUAAUUGCUGAAAUCUCGGAUAAGGAGGCCACCUUAGUUAAUAAGAUGGCCGCUAAACCGCAAAGUUUUCAUGAUAAUAAGGAUGAAGAUCUAAAAGUGAUUGAUGUGUCCCCUAUUAAAUCCUUGUUUUUCAAUAUGAAUCUUGAUAAUGAUGGGACUGGAGAUGAGUCAACUUUAGUUAGAAGGCGUCCCAAUGAUUCAGAGUUUUUAGAUCUUGAUGCAAAAAUUGGUAAAAGUGGGAUUGAAGAGGUCAAAACUUUAGAUAGCAACGAACCCACUAUCUUGGAUUUCAAGGAAUUUAAUUAUUAUAAUUUCUCUUUGAUAGAUUGUAUUUCCUUGUUGCAAUCCGUGCUAAAUUCUCCUCAUGCUUAUAGUCAAAAUAAAGCUUUUACUAAACAUAUCGUUGAUGCUUUGAUGCAAUCUUACGAAGAAAAAACUUGAGUUGGAAGUUUCUAUCCCUAGAAAACUUUAUGAUGAGUGGGAACCUAAAAUUAAAAUUAAAAUUAAAGAUCGUGAAUGCUAUGCUUUGUGUGAUUUUGGUGCUAGUGUUUCCACGAUCCCAAAAACUUUGUGUGAUUUGCUAGGUUUCCAUGAAUUUGAUGAUUGUUCUAUAAACUUGCACCUUGCGGAUUCCACUAUUAAGAAACCUAUGGAAAAGAUUAAUGAUGUUCUUAUUGUUGCGAAUAGGAAUUAUGUGCCCGUAGAUUUCAUUGUUCUUGAUAUCGAUUGCAAUCCUUCAUGUCCUAUUAUUCUUGGUAGACCUUUCCUUAGAACGAUUGGUGCAAUUAUUGAUAUGAAGGAAGGGAAAUUAAAUUCCAAUUUCCGUUAAGGAAAGGCAUGGAAAACUUCCCUAGAAAGAAAAUUAAAUUACUAUAUGAAUCAAUUAUGAGAGCCACUUAUGGAUUGCCUACCAAAGAUGGCAAUACCUAGAUCUAUCUUCGCUUUUAUGCCUAGCUAGGGGCGUUAAACGAUAGCGCUUGUUGGGAGGCAAUCCAACUUUAUUUUUAUUCCUUGAUUUUUGUUACUAUUUAGUAAUAAAUAAUUUAUCUAGCCUCUGUUUUGGUUGUGUUUUUUGUGUUUAAUUAGUGUUUGUGCCAAGUAGAACCGUUGGGAAGACUUGGGGAAAGUCUUUCUGAUCUUGCUGUAAAAAACAGAAAUUUUAGCGCUCACGAGAAUUGCUGCCAUUUUUUAUUGGAGGGUGAUAUUUAGUUAAUUAUUUUUGCAUAUGAUUAAUAGAUAAAUUCCUCACGUCCAGAAAUUUACUUUAGAAUUUUUGGGGUUCCAGAAGUAUUCGAAACCUACAGAUUACUACAGACUGUUCUGUUUUUGACAGAUUCUCUUUUUCGCAUGUUGUUUGCUUAUUUUGAUGAAUCUAUGGCUAGUAAUAGAAUUUAUGAACCAUACAAAAGUUGGAAUACAGUAGGUUUAACACAAAUAUAAAUAAAGAAUGAGUUCAUUACAGUACCUUGAAGUGGUGGUUUGUUUUCUUUUAUUAACGGAGCUCACGAAGAUUUUCUUUUAAGUUUUGUGUUGUGAAGUUUUCAAGUUUUGGGUAAAGAUUUGAUGGAUUAUGGAACAAGGAGUGGCAAGAGCCUAAGCUUGGGGAUUCACAAGGCACCCCAAGGUAAAAUCCAAGGACACCAAAAAUCCUAAGCUUGGGGAUGCCCCGGAAGGCAUCCCCUCUUUCGUCUUCGUCCAUCGGUAACUUUACUUGGAGCUAUAUUUUUAUUCGCCACAUGAUAUGUGUUUUGCUUGGAGCGUAUUGUAUGAUUUGAGUCUUUAAUUUUUAGUUUACCACAAUCAUCCUUGUUGUACACAACUUUUGGGAGGGACUCACAUGAAUUGGAAUUUAUUAGAAUACUCUAUGUGAUUCACUUAUAUCUUUUGAGUUGUACAAUUUUAGCUCUAUUGCUUUGCUUAUAUCUUUUAGAGCACGGCGGCGGUUCUAUUUUAUAGAAAUAAUUGAUCUCUCAUGCUUCACUUAUAUCAUUUUGAGAGUCCUUUAGAACAGCAUGGUAAUUCACUUUGGUUAUAAAUUUUAAAUGCUAAGAGAAGUUGGAUGCUUGAUAGAUGGUUUUGAGAUAUAAAGGUGGUAAUAUUAGAGGUGUGCUAGUUGAGUAAUUGUAAAAUUGACGAAUACUUGUGUUGAAGUUGGCAAGUCCCGUAGCAUGCAUGUAUGGUAAACAUUAUGUGACAAAUUUGAAGCAUGGGGUGUUCUUUGAUUGCUUUCCUUAUGAGUGGCGGUCGGGGAUGAGCGAUGGUCUUUUCCUACCAAUCUAUCCCCUAGGAGCAUGCGCGUAGUGCUUGGUUUUGAUGACUUGUAAAUUUUUGCAAUAAGUAUGUGAGUUCUUUAUGACUAAUGUUGAGUUCAUGGAUUAUACGCACUCUCACCCUUCCAUCAUUGCUAGCCUCUUCGGUACCGUGCAUUGCCCUUUCUCACCUUGAGAGUUGGUGCAAACUUCGCCGGUGCAUCCAAACCCCGUGAUAUGUUACGCUCUAUCUGUUGGGGAAUGUAGUAAUUUCAAAAAAAAUCCUAUGCACACGCAGGAUCAUGGUGAUGCAUAGCAACGAGAGGGGAGAGUGUUGUCUACGUACCCUCGUAGACCAUUCGCGGAAGCGUUAUAUCAACGCGGUUGAUGUAGUCGUACGUCUUCACGAUCCGACCGAUCCAAGUACCGAAAGCACGGCACCUCCGAGUUCUGCACACGUUCGGCUCGGUGAUGUCCUCGCCUUCUCAAUCCAGCAAGAGGGGCAAAGUAGUAGAUGAGUUCUGGCAGCACGACGGCGUGGUGACGGUGUUGGUGAAGAACAAUCUCCGCAGGGCUUCACCUAAGCACUACAAAAACUAUGACGGAGGAUAAACUAGAGGGGACGGGGUUGCCGGCACACAACUUGGUGUUUCUUGAUGUGUCUUGGGUGCUAGCCCUAUCCCUCUAUUUAUAUGUUGAGCCUUGGGGUCGAAACUUGGAGUAAAAGCCUCCACAAAGUCGGUUUCACCUGAAAGGCAAGAGUCCUUCUUGGACUCCAGGGCCAGACGCCACGGUUCCCGGCGUCUGGACCUAGACUCCAAGGACCCUGGCGUCUGGCCCCUGGACUCCACAAAACUUCCUUUUGCGCUUUCCAAAAACCUUGUGGGCUUUCCCCUUUGGCCCAAAUAAAGUGUUCUCGUACCCAAACAUUUCGGGAAACAUCCGAAACCCCUUCCGGAGUCCAAACACUAUUAUCCCAUAUAUCAAUCUUUAUCUCCGGACCAUUCCGGAGUUCCUCGUCAUGUCCGUGAUCUUAUCCGGAACUCCGAACAACAUGCAGUCACCAACAUAUAUAACUCAUAAUACUAUAUCGUCAACGAACGUUAAGCGUGCGGGCCCUAUGGGUUCGAGAACUAUGUAGACAUGACCGAGACACCUCUCUGGUCAAUAACCAAUAGCGGAACCUGGAUGCCCAUAUUGGCUCUUACAUAUUCUACGAAGAUCUUUAUCGGUCGGACCGCAUAACAACAUACAUUGUUCCCUUUGUCAUCGGUAUGUUACUUGCCCGAGAUUCGAUCGUCGGUAUCUCAAUACCUAGUUCAAUCUCAUUACUGGCAAGUCUCUUUACUCGUUCUGUAACACAUCAUCCCGCAACCAACUCAUUAGUUGCAAUGCUUGCAAGGCUUAAGUGAUGUGUAUUACCGAGUGGGCCCAGAGAUACCUCUCCGACAAUCGGAGUGACAAAUCCUAAUCUCGAAAUACGCCAACCCAACAAGUACCUUCGGAGACACAUGUAGAGCACAUUUAUAAUCACCCAGUUACGUUGUGACGUUUGGUAGCACGCAAAGUGUUCCUCCGGUAAACAGGAGUUGCAUAAUCUCAUAGUCAUAGAAACAUGUAUAAGUCAUGAAGAAAGCAAUAACAACAAACUAAACGAUCAAGUGCUAAGCUAACAAAAUGGGUGAAGUCAAUCACAUCAUUAUCCUAAUGAUGUGACCCCGUUAAUCAAAUGACAACUCUUUGUCUAUGGUCAGGAAACAUAACCAUCUUUGACCAACGAGCUAGUCAAGUAGAGGCAUACUAGUGACAUUUUGUUUGUCUAUGUAUUCACACAUGUAUCAUGUUUCCGGUUAAUACAAUUCUAGCCUGAAUAAUAAACAUUUAUCAUGAUAUAAGGAAAUAAAUAAUAACUUUAUUAUUACCUCUAGGGCAUAUUUCCUUCAGUCUCCCACUUGCACUAGAGUCAAUAAUCUGGAUUACACAGUAAUGAUUCUAACACCCAUGGAGCCUUGGUGCUGAUCAUGUUUUGCUCGUGGAAGAGGCUUAGUCAACGGGUCUGCAACAUUCAGAUCCGUAUGUAUCUUUCAAAUCUCUAUGUAUCCCACCUGGACUUGGUCCCGGAUGGAGUUGAAGCGUCUCUUGAUGUGCUUGGUUCUCUUGUGAAAUCUGGAUUCCUUUGCCUAAGCAAUUGCACCAGUAUUGUCACAAAAGAUUUUUCAUUGGACCCGAUGCACUAGGUAUGACACCUAGAUCGGAUAUGAACUCCUUCAUCCAGACUCCUUCAUUUGCUGCUUCUAAAGCAGCUAUAUACUCCGCUUCACAUGUAGAUCCCGCUACGACGCUUUGUUUAGAACUGCACCAACUGACAGCUCCACCGUUUAAUAAAAACAUGUAUCCGGUUUGCGAUUUAGAAUCAUCCGGAUCAGUGUCAAAGCUUGCAUCGACGUAACCAUUUACGAUGAGCUCUUUGUCACCUCCAUAAACGAGAAACAUAUCCUUCAUCCUUUUCAGGUAUUUUAGGAUGUUCUUGACCGCUGUCCAGUAAUCCACUCCUAGAUUACUUUGGUACCUCCCUGCUAAACUAAUAGCAAGGCACACAUCAGGUCUGGUACACAGCAUUGCAUACAUGAUAGAGCCCAUGGCUGAAGCAUAGGGAACAUCUUUCAUUUUCUCUCUAUCUUCUGCAGUGGUCGGGCAUUGAGUCUUACUCAACUUCACACCUUGUAACACAGGCAAGAACCCUUUCUUUGCUUGAUCCAUUUUGAACUUCUUCAAAACUUUGUCAAGGUAUGUGCUUUGUGAAAGUCCAAUUAAGAGUCUUGAUCUAUCUCUAUAGAUCUUGAUGCCCAAUAUAUAAGCAGCUUCACCGAGGUCUUUCAUUGAAAAACUUUUAUUCAAAUAUCCUUUUAUGCUAUCCAGAAAUUCUAUAUCAUUUCCAAUCAACAAUAUGUCAUCCACAUAUAAAAUUAGAAAUGCUACAGAGCUCCCACUCACUUUCUUGUAAAUACAGGCUUCUCCAAAAGUCUGUAUAAAACCAUAUGCUUUGAUCACAGUAUCAAAAUGUUUAUUCCAACUCCGAGAGGCUUGUACCAGUCCAUAAAUGGAUCACUGGAGCUUGCACACUUUGUUAGCUCCCUUUGGAUCAACAAAACCUUCCGGUUGCAUCAUAUACAAUUCUUCUUCUAGAAAUCCAUUUAGGAAUGCAUUUUUGACAUCCAUUUGCCAAAUUUCAUAAUCAUAAAAUGCAGCAAUUGCUAACAUGAUUCAGACAGACUUUAGCAUCGUUACAGGGGAGAAGGUCUCAUCAUAGUCAAUCCCUUGAACUUGUCGAAACCUUUUGCAACAAGUCGAGCUUUAUAGACAGUAACAUUACCAUCAGCGUCAGUCUUCUUCUUGAAGAUCCAUUUAUUCCCGAUGGCUUGCCGAUCAACGGGCAAGUCAACCAAAGUCCACACUUUGUUCUCAUACAUGGAUCCCAUCUCAGGUUUCAUGGCUUCAAGCCAUUUUGCGGAAUCUGGGCUCACCGUUGCUUCUUCAUAGUUCGUAGGUUCAUCAUGGUCUAGCAACAUAACCUCCAUAACAGGAUUACCGUACCACUCUGGUGCGGAUCUCACUCUGGUUGACCUACGAGGUUCAGUAACAACUUGAUCUGAAGUUUCAUGAUCAUCAUCAUUAACUUCCUCACUAAUUGGUGUAGGUGUCACAGGAACCUGUUUCUGUGAUGAACUACUUUCCAAUAAGGGAGCAGGUAUAGUUACCUCAUCAAGUUCUACUUUCCUCCCACUCACUUCUUUCGAGAGAAACUCCUUCUCUAGAAAGAUUCCUAAUUUAGCAACAAAAGUCUUGCCUUCGGAUCUGUGAUAGAAGGUGUACCCAACAGUCUCUUUUGGGUGUCCUAUGAAGACACAUUUCUCUGAUUUGGGUUCGAGCUUAUCAGGUUGAAGCUUUUUCACAUAAGCAUCGCAACCCCAAACUUUCAGAAACGACAACUUUGGUUUCUUGCCAAACCAUAGUUCAUAAGGCGUCGUCUCAACGGAUUUUGAUGGUGCCCUAUUUAACAUGAAUGCAGCUGUCUCUAGAGCAUAACCCCAAAAUGAUAGCGGUAAAUCAGUAAGAGACAUCAUAGAUUGCACCAUAUCUAGUAAAGUAUGAUUACGACGUUCGGACACACCAUUACGUUGUGGUGUUCCGGGUGGCGUCAGUUGCGAAACUAUUCCGCAUUGUUUCAAAUGAAGACCAAACUCGUAACUCAAAUAUUCUCAUCCAUGAUCAGAUCAUAGAAACUUUAUUUUCUUGUUACAAUGAUUUUCAACUUCACUCUGAAAUUCUUUGAACUUUUCAAAUGUUUCAGACUUAUGUUUCGUUAAGUAGAUAUACCCAUAUCUGCUUAAAUCAUCUAUGAAGGUGAGAAAAUAACAAUACCCGUCGCGAGCCUCAAUAUUCAUCGGACCACACACAUUUGUAUGUAUGAUUUCCAACAAAUCUGUUGCUCGCUCCAUAGUUUCGGAGAAUGGCGUUUUAGUCAUCUUGCCCAUGAGGCACGGUUCGCAAGUACCAAGUGAUUCAUAACCAAGUGGUUCCAAAAGUCCAUCAGUAUGGAAUUUCUUCAUGCGCUUUAUACCGAUAUGACCUAAACGCUAGUGCCACAAAUAAGUUGCACUAUCAUUAUCAACUCUGCAUCUUUUGGCUUCAAUAUUAUGAAUAUGUGUAUCACUACUAUCGAGAUUUAAUAAGAAUAGACCACUCUUCAAGGGUGCAUGACCAUAAAAGAUAUUACUCAUAUAAAUAGAACAACCAUUAUUCUCUGAUUUAAAUGAAUAACCAUCUCGCAUCAAACAAGAUCCAGAUAUAAUGUUCAUGCUCAACGCCGGCACCAAAUAACAAUUAUUCAGGUCUAAAACUAAUCCCGAAGGUAGAUGUAGAGGUAGUCUGCCGACUGCGACCACAUCGACUUUGGAACCAUUUCCCACACGCAUCGUCACCUCGUCCUUAGCUAGUCUUCGCUUAAUCCGUAGCUCCUAUUUCGAGUUGAAAAUAUUAGCAACAUAACCAGUAUCAAAUAACCAGGUGCUACUGCGAGCAUUAGUAAGGUACACAUCAAUAACAUGUAUAUCACAUAUACCUUUGUUCACCUUGCCAUCCUUCUUAUCCGCCAAAUACUUGGGGCAGUUCCGCUUCCAGUGACCAGUCUACUUGCAGUAGAAGCACUCAGUCUCAGGCUUAGGUCCAGACUUGGGUUUCUUCUCUUGAGCAACAACUUGUUUGCCGUUCUUUUUGAAGUUUCCCUUCUUCUUCCCUUUGCCCUUUUUCUUGAAACUGGUGGUCUUAUUGACCAUCAACACUUGAUGCUCCUUCUUGAUUUGUACCUCCGCAUCCUUUAGCAUUGCGAAGAGCUCGGGAUUCGUCUUAUCCAUCCCUUGCAUAUUAUAGUUCAUCACGAAGCUCUUGUAGCUUGGUGGCAGUGAUUGAAGAAUUCUGUCAAUGACACUAUCACCCGGAAGAUUAACUCCCAGUUGAAUCAAGUGAUUGCAGUACCCAGACAUUCUGAGUAUAUGCUCACUGACAGAACUAUUCUCCUCCAUCUUGCAGCUAUAGAACUUAUAUGAGACUUCAUAUCUCUCAAUCCAGGCAUUUGCUUGAAAUAUUAACUUCAACUCCUGGAACAUCUCAUAUGCUCCAUGAUGUUCAAAACAUCGUUGAAGUCCCGGUUCUAAGCCGUAAAGCAUGGCACACUGAACUAUCGAGUAGUCAUCAACACGUGAUUGCCAGGCAUUCACAAUGUCUGCAGUUGCUGAUGUAGGUGGUACACCUAGCGGUGCUUCCAGGACGUAAUUCUUCUGUGCAGCAAUGAGGAUAAUCCUCAAGUUACAGACCUAGUCCGUGUAAUUGCUACCAUCAUCUUUCAAAUUUGCUUUCUCAAGGAACGCAUUAAAAUUUAACGAAACAACAACACGAGCCAUCUAUCUAUAAUCAACAUAGACAAGCUAGAAACUAUCAGGUACUAAGUUCAUGAUAAAUUUAAGUUCAAUUAAUCAUAUUACUUAAGAAGUCCCACUUAGAUAGACACCCCUCUAAUCUUCCAAGUGAUCACGUGAUCCAAAUCAAUUAAACCAUGUCCGAUCAUCACGUGAGAUGGAGUAGUUUCAAUGGUGAACAUCACUAUGUUGAUCAUAUCUACUAUAUGAUUCACGCUCGACCUUUCGGUCUCCGUGUAUCUGUUAUAUGCUAGGCUCGUCAAGUUUAACCUGAGUAUUCCGCGUGUGCAACUGUUUUGCACCCGUUGUAUUUGAACGUAGAGCCUAUCACACCCGACCAUCACGUGGUGUCUCAGCACGAAGAACUUUCGCAACAGUGCAUACUCAAGGAGAACACUUAUAUCUUGAUAAUUUAGUGAGAGAUCAUCUUAUAAUGCUACCGUCAAUCAAAGCAAGAUAAGAUGCAUAAAAGAUAAACAUCACAUGCAAUCAAUAUAAGUGAUAUGACAUGGCUAUCAUCUUCUUGUGCUUGUGAUCUCCAUCUCCGAAGCACCAUCAUGAUCACCAUCGUCACCGGCGUGACACCUUGAUCUCCAUCGUAGCAUCGUUGUCGUCUCGCCAACUUAUGCUUCUAUGACUAUCGCUACCGCUUAGUGAUAAAGUAAAGCAUUACAGGGCGUUUGCAUUGCAUACAAUAAAGCGACAACCAUAUGGCUCCUGCCAGUUGCCGAUAACUCGGUUAAAAACAUGAUCAUCUCAUACAAUAAAAUAUAGCAUCAUGCCUUGGCUAUAUCAUAUCACAUCAUGCCCUGCAAAAAUAAGUUAGACGUCCUCUACUUUUUCAAGUUUUACGUGGCUGCUACGGGUUGAGCAAGAACCGUUCUUACCUAUGCAUCAAAACCACAAUGAUAGUUCGUCAAGUUAGUGCAGUUUUAACCUUCUCAAGGACCGGGCAUAGCCACACUCAGUUCAACUAAAGCUGGAGAAACUGACACCCUCCGGCCACCUAUGUGCAAAGCACGUCGGUAGAACCAGUCUCGCGUAACCGUACGCGUAAUGUCGGUCCGGGCCGCUUCAUCCAACAAUACCGCCGAACCAAAGUAUGACAUGGUGGUAAGCAGAAUGACUUGUAUCGCCCACAACGCACUUGUGUUCUACUCGUGCAUAUAACAUCUACGCAUAAAACCAGGCUCGGAUGCCACUAUUGGGGAACAUAGUAAUUUCAAAAAAAUUCCUACGCACAUGCAGGUUCAUGGUGAUGCAUAGCAACGAGAGGGGAGAGUGUUAUCUACGUACCCUCGUAGACCAUUCGCGGAAGCGUUAUAUCAACGUGGUUGAUGUAGUCUUACGUCUUCACGAUCCGACUGAUCCAAGUACCGAAAGCAUGGCACCUCCGAGUUCUGCACACGUUUGGGUCGGUGACGUCCUCGCCUUCUCGAUCCAGCAAGAGGGGCGAAGUAGUAGAUGAGUUCUGGCAGCACGAUGGCGUGGUGAUGGUGUUGGUGAAGAACAAUCUCCGCAGGGCUUCGCCUAAGCACUACGAAAACUAUGAUGGAGGAUAAACUAGAGGGGACGGGGUUGCCAGCACACGGCUUGGUGUUUCUUGAUGUGUCUUGGGUGCUAGCCCUACCCCUCUAUUUAUAUGUUGAGCCUUGGGGUCGGAACUUGGAGUAAAAGCCUCCACAAAGUCGGUUUCACCUGAAAGGCAAGAGUCCUUCUCGGACUCCAGGGCCAGACGCCAGGGACCCUGGCGUCUGGCCCCUGGAGUCCGCAAAACUUCCUUUUCCGUUUUCCAAAAACCUUGUGGGCUUUCCCCUUUGGCCCAAAUAAAGUGUUCUCGUACCCAAACAUUUCGGGAAACAUCCGGAACCCCUUCCGGAGUCCAAACACUAUUAUCCCAUAUAUCAAUCUUUAUCUCCGGACCAUUCCGGAGUUCCUCGUCAUGUCCGCGAUCUUAUCCGGAACUCCGAACAACAUUCCGUCACCAACAUAUAUAACUCAUAAUACUAUACCGUCAGCGAAUGUUAAGCGUGCGGACCCUACGGGUUCGAGAACUAUGUAGACAUGACCGAGACACCUCUUUGGUUAAUAACCAAUAGCGGAACCUGGAUGCCCAUAUUGGCUCCUACAUAUUCUACGAAGAUCUUUAUCGGUCGGACCGCAUAACAACAUACGUUGUUCCCUUUGUCAUCGGUAUGUUACUUGCCCGAGAUUCGAUUGUCGGUAUCUCAAUACCUAGUUCAAUCUCAUUACCGGCAAGUCUCUUUACUCGUUCCGUAACACAUCAUCCCGCAACCAACUCAUUAGUUGCAAUGCUUGCAAGGCUUAAGUGAUGUGUAUUACCGAGUGGGCCCAGAGAUACCUCUCCGACAAUCGGAGUGACAAAUCCUAAUCUCGAAAUACGCCAACCCAACAAGUACCUUCAGAGACACCUGUAGAGCACCUUUUUAAUCACCCAGUUACGUUGUGAUGUUUGGUAGCACACAAAGUGUUCCUCCGGUAAACAGGAGUUGCAUAUUCUCAUAGUCAUAGGAACAUGUAUAAGUCAUGAAGAAAGCAAUAGCAACAAACUAAACAAUCAAGUGCUAAGCUAAUGAAAUGGGCCAAGUCAAUCACAUCAUUAUCCUAAUGAUGUGACCCCGUUAAUCAAAUGACAACUCUUUGUCUAUGGUCAGGAAACAUAACCAUCUUUGACCAACGAGCUAGUCAAGUAGAGGCAUACUAGUGACAUUCUGUUUGUCUAUGCAUUCACACAUGUAUCAUGUUUCCGGUUAAUAUAAUUCUAGCAUGAAUAAUAAACAUUUAUCAUGAUAUAAGGAAAUAAAUAAUAACUUUAUUAUUGCCUCUAGGGCAUAUUUCCUUCACUAUCACACAUAAGCCUCCUUAUAUCUUCCUCAAAACAGCCACCAUACCUACCUAUUAUGGCAUUUCCAUAGCCAUUCCGAGAAAUAAUGCCAUGCAACUUUCCACCGUUCCAUUUAUUAUGACAUGUAUCAUCAUUGUCAUAUUGCUUUGCAUGAUCAUGUAGUUGACAUCGUAUUUGUGGCAAAUCCACUGUUCAUAAUUUUUUCAUACAUGUCACUCUUGAUUCAUUGCAAUCCUGGUACACCGCCGGAGGCAUUCACAUAGAGUCAUAUUUUGUUCUAAGUAUCGAGUUGUAAUUCUUGAGUUGUAAGAAAAUAAAAGUGUGAUGAUCAUCAUUAGAACAUUGUCCCAUGUGAGGAAAGGAUGCUGGAGACUAUGAUUCCCCCACAAGUCGGGAUGAGACUCCGGACGAAAAAAGGAAAAGAAAAGAGGCCAAAAGAAAAAAAAAAGGAAAAAAAGCCCAAAUAAAAAAAGAAAAAAAUAAAUGAGAGAAAAAGAGAGAAGGGACAAUGUUACUAUCCUUUUUCCACACUUGUGCUUCAAAGUACACCAUGAUCUUCAUGAUAGAGAGUCUCUUGUUUUGUCACUUUCAUAUACUAGUGGGAAUUUUUCAUUAUAGAACUUGGCUUGUAUAUUCCAAUGACGGGCUUCCUCAAAUGCCCUAGGUCUUCGUGAGCAAGCGAGUUGGAUGCACACCCACUUAGUUUCUUUGAUGAGCUUUCAUAUAUUUAUAGCUCUAGUGCAUCUGUUGCAUGGCAAUCCCUACUCCUUGCAUUGACAUCAAUCGGUGGGCAUCUCCAUAGCCCAUUGAUUAGCCGCGUCAAUGUGAGACUUUCUUCCUUUUUGUCUUCUCACACAACCUCAAUCAUCAUAUUCUAUUCCACCCAUAGUGCUAUGUCCAUGGCUCGCGCUCAUAUAUUGCGUAAAAGUUGAAAGAGUUUGAAAAAGGCUAAGUAUGAAACAAUUGCUUGGCUUGUCAUCGGGGUUGUGCAUGAUGAGAGCAUUUUGUGUGACGAAAAUGAAGCAUGGCCAAACUAUAUGACUUUGUAGGGUUAAGUUUUCUCUGGCUAUGGUAUUUUUAUAAGACAUAAUUGCUUGACUAGCAUACUUGGAGUAUUACUAUUUUUAUGUCAACAAUAAACUUUUAUCAUGAAUCUUUCAGAUCUGAACAUUCAUGCCACAAUAUAGAAAAAUACAUUGAAGAAUAUUCUUGAAAGCAUUCCACAUCAAAAAUUCUGUUUUUAUCAUUUACCUACUCGAGGACGAGCAGGAAUUAAGCUUGGCGAUGCUUGAUACGUCUCCAACGUAUCUAUAAUUUUUGAUUGUUCCAUGCUAUUAUAUUAUCUGUUUUGGAUGUUAAUGGGAUUUAUUUUACACUUUUAUAUUAUUUUUGGGACUAACCUAUUAACCGGAGGCCCAGCCCAAAUUGCUGUUUUUUUUGCAUAUUUCAGUGUUUCGUAGAAAAGGAAUAUCAAACGGAGUCCAAACGGAAUGAAACCUUCGUGAACAUGAUUUUUGGAACAAACGUGAUCCAGGGGAUUUGGAGUGGACGUCAAGAAACAAUCGAGGAGGCCACGAGGCAGGGGGCACGCCUACCCCCCCCUCCAGGCGCGCCCUCCACCCUCGUGGGCCCCUCGUUACUCCACCGACCUACUUAUUUCUCCUAUAUCAAGAGAUAAGAGAAGGAUGUUCCUACAAGGCUCCACAGAGAUCAGCGAUUCUGAGCCGUUGGAUCGGUUCCCUUGAUGCGUUUUUGUCCGUUGGAUCGAGAGGUGGGAGGAUCUGGGCUAUCGAAUUUGGAAGAAACACUGCUGAAAUGAAUAGUAAUGGCAACAGAAUGUAAAUACCAUGCCCCCACCAGGGUAUUUUGGUCAUUUCGCAUGGUGGGGGUAUAAAAGGGGCCACGCCAUGGAGAUGACCUAGCCGCCUCUCUCUCCCGCACUCGCGCAGCCGCCUCCCUCCCUCCCUCCCACGCAGCCGACUCCCUCCUCCCUCGCUCGCGCCUUCGCCUCGUGCCUCCACCGCGCCCAGCUCCUCCCGCCUCGCCGCCGCCUCCCCUCCUCUCCCGUGCGCCUCCUCCCUCCCACCCGCCUCCCUGCCCCGCCGCCGUCCAGUUCCAGCCCCUGCCCCGUCGAGCGGCCCAUGGCGGUGCCGGAUCCGGUGUUGGGGUCGAGGCGCGCUGCCCGUGCGUGGGGAGAGGCACCCGGACCUCGCGUGGCCCAGAGCUAUACGACGGCAUAGGGCGUGGGUCGUCUCCCUUAUCCUGCGUCAUCGCCUGCCUCUUCUCCUCCCCUCCUUUCGUUUCGUUGCUCAAUCCUCUCUGUAGUCAUGCUCCCUGGUCCAUGAGUCGUCGUUGGGUUGGUCGCCGAGGGGCUCCGAUGGCGGCGCGCUGGGGUGACGUCGGCUAAGGUGAUUCUCCUCUCGGUUCUUUCCUCUUUUCUGUGUUCGAAUUGUCAUGGCUGGCCAGUUUUGGAUCUUGGGUGUCAAUUACUUGCAGGUCCGUUGUUCUCCUCCUCACUUGGCCUAGAUUUGCUGUGCCGCUGGUCGAUCUAUGAUGGUCUUCGCGUUUUCAUCAGGAAACUACAGGUCGACCUCUCGUUUUCCUUAUCUCUGUUUUUAUGUUUCUUGUUUGUCUGUGUGUAUUGCUCGGUAUGGUGUGUCCGUCAAUCAUAUGGGUGUGGAUGGUGGCAAAUCAGUGAAUUUGUUUGGUUUCUUCUUGUAUUGGUUGGGUCCUCUGGUUGGAUUUUGGUAGUUCACAUUUGUCUCUUUAUGUUGAUGGAGACGAAUGGUGGUGUCCUCCGGUUAGAUUUUAGUAGUUCUCCAUUGUGCCUCCUUUGUUUGCUUGUGCGUGACAGGUGUUUUUUUCUUAGUUGUCUAGAUCUUUCUAGGGCCGGCAUUCUCUCUCUACGAUUGUAGUGAGAUUUUUAGAAGAGGUCGAUGUACCAGGGUAUGCGCCUUUUGGACUGGUUUGGUGACAUUAUUCUUUGUCAGGUGACGUGUGAAAAAAAUAAAGGGUUUGGUCUGUUAAUUGGCCUCUGUCGAUUGAUUUGGUCUGCCUAAGUUAUUAUGGUUGGGUAUCCCUCUGCUUGUUAUAAUGGUCUCAGUGCUGGAUGUUUGCCUUGUCUUAAUGGGUGGAUGUUUGGUUAGGAAGAGAGUGUUGGAUUUGAGCUCCGCCGGGCUGUUAAGAUGUUGUCCAUGAUGGUUGGCAACUUGGCAUGGUUGGUUGCAAAGAGAAUUUGAGAUUGUGUGCUUGAUGUGUUUACAGUUCUGCUAAUGAGGGUGCCUUCUAAUAGGGGGUGUCUGCUGUUAGCUUCUUGCUGCGAGAUUCGGUUAUCUGGUGCCCAUGCUUUAGGCUUUCAUUCUGUGUCUAUGCAUGUUGACCAACUGCUCCUGAAUGUGUUUCACGCUUGCUAUGCUCAUCGGGUCUGCUUGUUUUUGCUUGCCACCUUCAGCUAUUAUGUUAUGUUAGUUCUCUGCUUUAGUGAUUAUCUGCACUUCUCAAUUACAGACUUCAUUGCUUCUACAUAUGGUUUCUCUGUUUAUUAAUUUGCCUUGCUUUCUUUCAUGGUCCUUACUUUCUGUUUGGCAGCUUGUUUCAGUUACAACUGAGUUCUUGGGUUGCACUUUGUUGUUGGAAACUACUUACUGGUGGAGCUGCUGCUCGGUUCAUAGGGUAAGUCGUGCCUUGCUAUGUUUCCUAUUGCUUGCUAUUUAGUUGUGUUUAUUACUAUUUAUUUCAUAGGCUUCUGUGUUCUUCCCUUUGUAUGGUCUGCGUUGGUAUUUUUCCGGUUGCUCCUUAAUAAUUAAUUAUUAUAAGCAUUUUUAUUAUCAGUUCUUCCUGUGUGCCUCUGCUUGAGGCUGUUGCGAGCUAUUGUCGAUUGCCGUUUCAUUCUUAUGUUUGAGAGGUGGCAUCUGAUGGUUUUCUGCUUGGAGGGGUGGAGAUUGAUGUUCUUACUAGGGAUGACGUGGUGCCGUGUCAAACCAAUUUCUACAAGGGAUAUAUGGGUUUGUUGUUGCAGAUUACAAUUACGAUAGCAUGUUAGCAUAUAAAAGGUGUUGCGCAGUCGGUUCUGGUGCUUGCAGGUGCGCUUGCCCAGCCUGCCUGGCCUCUGGUACAUGCAGGCGGGCAGGUUGAUGUCGCUGGUAUAAAUACAAGUGUUCAAUUACAAUUAUUGUAUUCACAGCUGGUCAAUUCAGUGUCUGGGUUCUAAAGCCCAUCUAGGAGUGUCUUAGAUAGAUUAUGUCUGGGUCAUUAUAUUGUUCCCUUGGGUAUGCUUGUAAUAAACAUCUCUUUGUAUGCAUGAAUCAUUAUUAUUUCAUUCAAUUGGCUCCACUGUCUCUUGUGCUCCUGUUUGAUACUUUUUUGCAUUUACCUGUGCUGUCUUUACUUCGCUUUUGUCUUAAUAUGCAGUAUUUGCAUAUAUGUGUGCUCAUUGCUGAUGAUGGCUCGCCGUCGGCGUGUUUUGCAUGCUCCUGUUGUUGGUGUUUGUGGUAUUCGUAAGAGAAAUGGUAUGUUGUCUAUAUGGUCAUUUCCUUAGGUUUUGUUUGGCUUGCAUCUGUUCAUUUGUGUCGGUUCUGUCAUUUUCUAGGGGAUGCCUGGUUCCCAGUGCUCACUCCUGCCAUGUUGGCUAGAAAUCGGAAGAGGCAUAAAUUACUUAGGGGCCUUCGUUGCCAUGGUGUUACAUGUACUGGUUUUCUUGGUCGGGGUUCCUGUCUUUCCGUCCUUAGUAUCUUUGUUUUGGCUGUUGUUUCUCAUAACAACAUGCAUGUAGAUCUUCGGUUUGAAGGGGACUUGCCAACUGAUUGGACUGGUUUUCCUGUCGAGGUAGUUAACAAUCGCAAAGGUACUAACUAUUAGGUUGAUGUUAGUUUUGUGUUUUCCUUUUCCUGUCAUGAUGGCCUCCUUGAGUAUUGUGUUUUCUGUAGUUUCCUAUAAGGACAGAUCUUACUAUGGUCCUCCUGAGUACCAGUGCCCUCACUGCAAGGCUUCUUUUUGGUUUGAGGAGAGGGCCAAUCCAUAUUCUUCAUGUGUGCUACGUAAAAUUGUUUAUAACCUUUGUUGCAAAGGUGGAAAAGUCGUUGUUAAACCUUUCAAAAAUCCUCCUGCUUUAUUGAGUCAUUUAUUAUCCUGUCAUGGUGAUCGUGUUUCCAAGCAAUUCCUGACAAAGAUACCGCAUCACAGUUGGACGGCAUUUACGUCUAUUGUGGCGACGUCAUUCGUUCGCUGGAAGGCACGCAGGGGUUAAUAUCUUCAAAAUUUGUGGUCAGGUCCAUCAUCUUAUUGGUUCUCUUUUGCCGAUGAAAACGAUUGUGCCGUCCAGCCAUACCACUGGUCGGUGUUACUACCAGGAGAACUUUCAGGAUGGUCUUACAAUUUGUUGAGUGGAUGAGGCCCCUGAUACUUUUACUAUUUUUACAUGUAGUCCAAUGUGGCUUGAGAUUACUAAGAUGAAGCUUAACGAAUAUCUAGAUGAAAUCCAGUCAGGCCAUGCCUAUGGUCCUAUAAACGCUGGUACCAUUUUAUUUACCCUUUCCAUGCAACUACAGCUUGAAAUUUCUGACUGAUGUUUAAGGCUUCUUGUUUUUCUAUCUCAUUUUCUGUUGUUUUGCUUUGCUUUGCAGUUCUGUACACCGUCGAGUUUCAGAAGUUCCUGGUAUUCCCGUGGAAGUAUGUUUUUAGACCAGUGGAAGGUCAUUUAAUGAUUAAGUUUAUAAAGCGCACUGAACUUGUGGAGAGAACUGGAAUGGAAGCAGAGUUCCCCUUCUGUACGUAUGCAUUGACUCCAAUAGCUCAGCUCCCUAGGCCUACAGAUAUGCCUGAACGCUUUACAAGUGAUUUUGUGACUAAUCAUCUUUUCUCUCGUUUGUUUGGUGGUGAUUUUAUAAUAACUCUUCUUUGCUUGCGUAGAUGUCAUUAGAGUGAUUACUGGAAUCUCUGAAGCUGUUCAAGUAUGUUAGUGCAAAAUCUCAGUGCGUUCUUUUUAAAGACAAAGCAGUUUGUUGACACAGACAAAGAGAGCUUGGCAACUUCCAGAUCAUCUGUAUUUUCAAACUUCUCCUUCCUUCUAUGCUUAUUUAUGUGUGUUUCUUCUCACAGGCCAUUGAAACAGUCGGAUCAGUUAAUGAGUCUGUUGCUGAAAAGGACAAUUCACCACAACUUGGCAGUUCCAUGGAGAAAGAUAACUUACCAUUGCCUGACAGACCUCUGAUGCAAAAAGGUGCUCGCCAUUUCUUUACUUAUACCCCAGUGCUUUGCUUGCAUUGCAAGAUACUCAAUCUAGUGUGCCAUUUUCAGGCCCCAACCAUCUGUGCCUGUCGAUGCUCGAAGCAAUCCGAGCAAGUGGGGCAGAUAGAAGUAGAAACAUCGCAUGGGUAAUCAUAGGGCUUUCUUUUUUCCAAAUUCUUCUGGACCUUCUUGUGGUCUUUGUUACCACCACACAUUCUCAUGAGUGGUUCCCUUUUGGUCUUCGUGCUCUUUCAGUAGGCAAGGCAUCUUUUGGAGACCCAAGAAUUUUUGUUAACGUUGCUGUAAAUGGACGGUUUCUUAUUAGUAUGCCUGUACGAGCGAUUCCUGUGCUUGAGCUUCGGCUCGUGGGCACUUACCGCCACAUCACUUGGUUGCUUAUGGGCAACAAUGACAGCUAUCACAAUCAUGUUGUUGUCCAUCCGGACUAUCAGGCUACUUGGCUAGAAGCUGUAUUUUUGUCAGGUUUGAAUGAUUCAGAUUCGCUUAUUGCAGUCUCAUUUCUUGGUUUAAGUAUGUAUAAUAUUCUGUGCUGAGUCCUUGUCUGUUGCAUGUGUGCAGGACUGCAGGGUAUGAGAUCGAUGUAUACAUGCAUGCCCUAGACUCAGGUGCCCCGGAGUGAAAUGGGAGUCAAACGGCUAGACAUGCCAUACAAUGUUGCCUUCUUUUCCGCAAUACCCUGAUUACCCAAUUCCUGAUGUACAUUCCGAUUCGUGUCUCUACUGCAGAACUUUAGCUCAUAGAGCAGAAAACUCGUAUCAUCUCUCUAUGUAUGGUGUCGAGCAAUGGAACUGCAGUGAUCUGGCAGUGUGACUGUUGACCUCCUUGACACCAUUCACGUUCGUCGCUCUAAACCCACUCAGCAGACAAGUAACUCUUUAUCCUUAAAUUCCAUGUAUAGCUUUGUAUCAUUAAAUUCCUUGCACUAUUCUCAUGGCCGUUGAAUACAUCAUGUAACCCCACAUAAAUGGCUAGGAACCAAAUAAAUUUAAUUUAUCUUCAAUACCCUCUCCAAAAUAUUUCUAUUGUCUGUAUUAGGAAGGAUCUAUAAGAGUUGCUGCUAUAUAUAUGUUGUGAACCCGCCCAUGUAGUUAAUAUUUGGUUCUUCAUUUUUUUAGUUCAAGCCCCUGAGAUAAUGCUUUUAAAUUAUGAACUGACUAUAGUUCAGGAUUUAGUGAACAUAUCAACGUACAUGGUGAUCUUUACAGCUUAUUUAUUUUUUCUGUGGAGCUUCAAAUAUAAUAAAUUACGAAUAAAUAAUGUGCAGUAAUCAUGUUUCUUUUCUUAUCACUAUACUUCAGUAAUGGUAUCUACACAAUGUAUACAUACUGCUAUCAUAGUGCAGUGUGAAUGAAGUGUGCUGCUUCUACUUGCAUAAAAGCUGAUAUUGACAUGCUCCUUAGCCAUGUGAUCUUCAAGGGCCUUUGGCUAUGUGUAUCACUUCACAGAUUAAAGAUGUAGCUACAAUCAUUAUUAGUUUUUUGGUUAUCUUCCUUUUUAAAGAAGCAGCUUAGAGACCUACUGGCUGCUCUGGAUCAAGAUUAUAAGCAGAUUUCAUAUAUUUGGACAACAGACAGAGAUUGUGUUUCAUAUAUGCAUAUGCAUUUAUUGUAUAAUUCAGUUCCACCACCACAUUACUACCUACAUGAAUUUCCCCUAUACCAGAUAUUAACUUUUGAAAUUAGUGACAUCUACUCAAAUAAAUAUCCACAGGUUGGCAUAGACAUGUUUACAUCAGCAAUCUUUUCUUUGAGAUAUCUGGUGGCCUUUCGUGUAAGUUCAAUGUAUCCAUUUAUCAUUCCAUUGCUUUCUUGAUUCAACAAUAACAAUAAAGGACUGCUAAAUUGUACUUUGUAGAGAAAGGGAUGACGUACACCUAGGUUAUAUAGGCUAAAGAGUAUCGAUAGUCUGACCGCACAUCAUUUUUUGUACACUCAGUAAUCUUUAAUGGUUUAUUAACACUAUCUAAUCCGAAGUAGAUGUUUAUUAUUUGUUCCCUUUUCCUUACUUAUCCAUAGAAUAAUGAUCUUUAUUUUUAUCUGUUUUGUAGAACCAUCGAAUUCAAGUCAUCUUUGAGUACAUGACAUCUUCUGAAGUUCGUGCCAUCAUGCUUUAGUUUUCCCACAUCAGCUGAGAUUAUUCAAAUAAAAAGACGGUCUCAGGCACAAGAGCAUGAUGUGCUUCCGCCAGUUGCUUUCACACCAAGGCCACGCGGUUGAUCAUCUAAGCGCACCUAUGAAGUUGACCAACAAGGAAGUUGGCCAGAGCUACUAAUUAGUAUGCCUAAUUGCUAUUGCUUUGUAGUUUGACCGCCUCUACCGUCAGUAUGCCUGGCUUUUGCUUUCUUAUUAUGUUCCUGCUAUUAGUACUUCCUCUCUCGUGUUCGUGCUCUUAGUAUUGAACUUAAUGUUGUAGUUAUUAGCUUUUGUGGUCUAAUGAACUAACUGAGUGUUUAUAAUUUCAUGAUGAUGUUGAACUCGAUAACUAAAUGAUCAUUAUCUGCUUGACCAUAUCGUUGGGACCGGCACCCUUGCGCCAAGCCGUGGUCCCGAUCUAGUACCCAAGACUAGACAGGUGUUCGCCGAUAUAUCUACAUAUCGUCUGAUAUAUCACCCGAUAUCUGACAUCUGAUAUGUCAAAACCGAUACAAACCUGAUAUCCGAUAUUUUGAAGCUUGGUGUGGUCUCCUACUGGAUUGAUACUUUGGUUCUUAAAAAUUGAAGGAAAUACUUACACUGCUUUACUGCAUCACCCUUUCGUCUUUAAGGGAAAAACAACGCAGUGCUCAAGAGGUAUCAAGAAGGAUUCCUGGCAUCGUCGCCGGGGAGAUAUACGCCAAGUCAAGACAUACCAAGUACCCAUCACAACUCUUAUCCUUUGCAUUACAUUAUUUGUCAUUUGCCUCUCGUUCUCCUCUCCUCUACUUCAUCCUUGCCCUUUUAUUCGCCCUCUCUUUCCCGUACGCCUCUUUCUUGCUUACCUCUUGUUGCUUGUUACCCUUAUGGAUUUACCAAAAGGAGUUGAUCCUCACCUUACAAGGUUGGAAGAAAUCGAAAACAAAGUUAGAAGUUUUAUGUCCUUGCAGUUUGAGCAUAAUAAUUUCUCUAGAAAUGAGCUUAAAGAACAAAAAAGUUUUAUCAGUUUCAUGAAUAAAGAGCUCAAUGAUAUGUCUAAGGAAUUUUAUGGUUUGAAAUCUCAGCUUGCUCAUUUUGAAAAAUUAAUUGCUGAAAUCUCGGAUAAAUAGGCCACCUUAGUUAAUAAGAUGGCCGCUAAACCGAAAAGUUUUCAUGAUAAUAAGGAUGAAGAUCUAAAAGUGAUUGUUGUGUCCCCUAUUAAAUCCUUGUUUUGCAAUAUGAAUCUUGAUACUUAUGGGACUGGAGAUGAGUCAACAUUAGUUAGAAGGCGUCCCAAUGAUUCAAAGUUUUUAGAUCUUGAUGCAAAAAUUGGUAAAAGUGGGAUUGAAGAGGUUAAACUUUAGAUAGCAACGAACCCACUAUCUUGGAUUUCAAGGAAUUUAAUUAUGAUAAUUGCUCUUUAAUAGAUUGUAUUUCUUUGUUGCAAUCCGUGCUAAAUUCUCCUCAUGCUUAUAGUCAAAAUAAAGCUUUUACUAAACAUAUCGUUGAUGCUUCGAUGCAAUCUUACGAAGAAAAAACUUGAGUUGGAAGUUUCUAUCCCUAGAAAACUUUAUAAUGAGUGGGAACCUAAAAUUAAAAUUAAAAUUAAAGAUUGUGAAUGCUAUGCUUUGUGUGAUUUGGGUGCUAGUGUUCCCACGAUCCCAAAAACUUUGUGUAAUUUGCUAGGUUUCCGUGAAUUUGAUGAUUGUUUUAUAAACUUGCACCUUGCGGAUUCCACUAUUAAGAAACCUAUGGAAAAGAUUAAUGAUGUUCUUAUUGUUGCGAAUAGGAAUUAUGUGCCCGUAGAUUUCAUUGUUCUUGAUAUAGAUUGCAAUCCUUCAUGUCUUAUUAUUCUUGGUAGACCUUUCCUUAGAACGAUUGGUGCAAUUAUUGAUAUGAAGGAAGGGAAAUUAAAUUCCAAUUUCCGUUAAGAAAAGGCAUGGAACACUUCCCUAGAAAGAAAAUUAAAUUACCAUAUGAAUCUAUUAUGAGAGCCACUUAUGGAUUGCUUACCAAAGAUGGCAAUACCUAGAUCUAUCUUCGCUUUUAUGCCUAGCUAGGGGCGUUAAACGAUAGCGCUUGUUGGGAGGCAACCCAAUUUUAUUUUUAUUCCUUACUUUUUGUUACUAUUUAGUAAUAAAUAAUUUAUAUAGACUCUGUUUUGGUUGUGUUUUUUGUGUGUUUAAUUAGUGUUUGUGCCAAGUAGAACCGUUGGGAAGACUUGGGGAAAGUCUUUUUGAUCUUACUGUAAAAAACAGAAAUUUUAGCGCUCACGAGAAUUGCUGUCAUUUUUUAUUGGAGGGUGAUAUUUAGUUAAUUAUUUUUUCAGAUGAUUAAUAGAUAAAUUCCUCACGUCCAGCAAUUUAGUUUAGAAUUUUUGGGGUUCCAGAAGUAUUCGAAACCUACAGAUUACUACAAAUUGUUAUGUUUUUGACAGAUUCUGUUUUUCGCGUGUUGUUUGCUUAUUUUGCUCAAUCUAUGGCUAGUAAUAGAGUUUAUGAACCAUACAAAAGUUGGAAUACAGUAGGUUUAACACCAAUAUAAAUAAAGAAUGAGUUCAUUACAGUACCUUGAAGUGGUUGUUUGUUUUCUUUUACUAACGGAGCUCAUGAAGAUUUUCUUUUAAGUUUUGUGUUGUGAAGUUUUCAAGUUUUGGGUAAAGAUUUGAUGGAUUAUGGAACAAGGAGUGGCAAGAGCCUAAGCUUGGAGAUGCACAAGGCACCCCAAGGUAAAAUCCAAGGAUGCCAAAAAUCCUAAGCUUGGGGAUGCCCCGGAAGGCAUCCCCUCUUUCGUCUUCGUCCAUCGGUAACUUUACUUGAAGCUAUAUUUUUAUUCGCCACAUGAUAUGUGUUUUGCUUCGAGCGUAUUGUAUGAUUUGAGUCUUUGCUUUUUAGUUUACCACAAUCAUCCUUGUUGUACACACCUUUUGGGAGGGACUCACAUGAAUUGGAAUUUAUUAGAAUACUCUAUGUGAUUCACUUAUAUCUUUUGAGCUGUACAAUUUUUGCUCUAUUGCUUCGCUUAUAUCUUUUAGAGCACGGCGGUGGUUCUAUUUUAUAGAAAUAAUUGAUCUCUCAUGCUUCACUUAUAUCAUUUUGAGAGUCCUUUAGAACAGCAUGGUAAUUCACUUUGGUUAUAAAUUUUAAAUGCUAGGUUUAUCUUUAUUCCAUUUCAUGUAUGUCUGAGGAUCCGCAUAGCCCUCGAUUUAUGUGUUAUUUAUCCAUUUUUACUUUUUUUAUGCUAAUGUUGGUGACUGGAGAUAACUUUCUUCAAUUAUUCCUGGGAUGGGAGGGAGCAGGUCUUGCUUCAUAUUUGUUAAUUCAUUUCGGGUUUACACGACUUCAGGCGGAUAAAGCUGCUAUAAAAGCUAUGCUUGUCAAUCGAGUAGGUGAUUUUGGAUUAGCUCUUGGGAUUUUUGGUUGUUUUACUCUCUUUCAAACAGUAGACUUUUCAACCAUUUUUGCUUGUGCUAGUGCUCCCAGAAAUGAAUGGAUUUUCUGCAAUAUGAGAUUGAAUGCCAUAACUCUGAUUUGUAUUUUACUUUUUAUUGGUGUUGUUGGGAAAUCUGCACAGAUAGGAUUGCAUACUUGGUUACCCGAUGCAAUGGAGGGUCCCACUCCAGUAUCUGCUUUGAUUCAUGCAGCUACUAUGGUCACUGCUGGCGUUUUCAUGAUAGCAAGGUGCUCCCCUUUAUUUGAAUACUCACCUACGACUUUGAUUGUUAUUACUUUUGCAGGAGCUAUGACGUCAUUCCUUGCGGCAACCACUGGAAUGUUACAGAAUGAUCUAAAGAGGGUCAUAGCUUAUUCAACUUGCAGUCAAUUAGGCUAUAUGAUCUUUGCUUGCGGCAUCUCUAACUAUUCGGUUAACGUCUUUCACUUAAUGAAUCACGCGUUUUUCAAAGCAUUACUCUUCCUGAGUGCGGGUUCGGUGAUUCAUGCCAUGUCGGAUGAGCAAGAUAUGCGGAAGAUGGGGGGGAUUGCCUCCUCCUUUCCUUUGACCUAUGCCAUGAUGCUCAUGGGCAGCUUAUCUCUUAUUGGAUUUCCUUUUCUAACAGGAUUUUAUUCUAAAGAUGUGAUCUUAGAGCUCGCUUACACAAAGUAUACCAUCAGUGGGAACUUUGCUUUCUGGUUGGGAAGUGUCUCUGUCCUUUUCACUUCUUAUUACUCCUUUUGUUUACUAUUUCUAACAUUUCUAGUACCAACUAAUUCAUUCGGGCGAGACAGAUAAAGAUGUCAUGAUGCGCCCAUUCCUAUGGCCAUUCCAGUAAUACUUUUGGCUCUCGGGAGUCUCUUUGUAGGAUACUUGGCCAAAGUGUGACCUGUUAGCCCAUAAGUCAGUAUUGUGACGAAGCGGCUGUUGCUCACCUGAUACGAUCGUACGAGGUCACAAUUUACCCAACACGAUCAUCGGGGUGAACAAGAAUUAGGGGUCGGAUGCGGGCAAAAUUCCCGCCAAUGGCUGAGAUGUUCAGUCGACUCCCUCCCCCUUUGUGGGGGUCUGGACCCCUACGAGUGAGCAGAAAAGGGAGGAGGAAAGAGGCCCUGGUGAACCAUCAUAAUAAGUGAACAAGUGUAAGCUUUGCUACCCGACAGUAUGGAGUACUGACCACACCGAGGGACAGGCCCUGAAGCGAAGGACAGGAACGAGCGGAAUCAAUGUGUUCCAAUUUCUGGCCUUGCACCGACCAUCCAACGGGCCAUGGACUAAACGACCACUGCCUGAAAGGACUAUGCUAUGUCCAGGGGACCGCCGCCCUCCACAAGGUACAUCUUGCGCCUAUGGGCCGCUAUAACUAUCCAAGAAGACACUCGAAAAAGGAAGGAUAAACAAACCUACCCGAUGGACUGCCGAGCUACAAGUCCUACGACACAGGAGCGGGAUUCUCUAAAAAGCCAAGGUCUUAGGUGGCCAAGAGGGCCCACUUGGAGACUUGGGAUCUCAGCAGGAAAUGUGAAGGUUGUUUAAAGCCGGCCGAUAGGCGAAAGAGAAUCCAAAAGUUUUGUUCUGAUCUGAGUAGGCUCAACAUAGGGAAUACCCUAACCCUGGGAACCGGGGCAUAUAAAUCCGCUUAUGGCAUUCACCCAAGCAUACAGAGACAGAUGGAAUGAAAGAAAGAAAAAGUAGCUCCGCAGCUCGCCCAGAAGAAGAAAGACCCACCGCUAACGAUUUGGAAAUCCCUGGUGGGCUGGGCCUGAAAGACAAGUGUGUGUGGAUUUCCACAUCCUCGUCUUUACUUUAAGACACAACUCUUCUCUUUCUCGGUCAAAUGACUUGCGAUAGUCUACCUUGAGUAGGACCAUAGGGAUCUUAUGUUUGUGGCGAAAGAUAAGUGGUUCUGUCACAACCAAGAAAGUUUCUAUGAGUGAGCGACCCUUCAUAAACGCCGAUUGAUACGUGUCAAUGUCAAUAAGUGGAUGAGUGUUGUUAAAGACAAUGUUUGUUCCUCUUCUUUGAAACGAUUUUCAUGAAUCUCGAGAUGAUACUGAUUGGCCUAAAAUCCUCGACGGUGUUGGCAUCUUUUUUCUUUGGGAGGAGAGUGAUGGAUGCCUGGGUUAGCCUCCAAACAUAAAGGCCAUUGCUAUGAAAGAGCUGCAAGAGAGAAAGCAGUUGCGGGUGGAUGAUGUCCCAGAAGGCUUGGAUUGCACAAAUUCUACCAGAGGAUGUUGAGAUGCUCCCAUUGCAACUCACUGAUGGAGCAGAACUGGAGAGCUCAGCUAGAGCUGGAGGAGGUGGUAGUACCUAUUCCCUACUGGUACCAGUGGUGGCUUGAUCACUUCAAAUUGGAGGGACUAUUGGGCCAAAUUCCCAUAUUGUAAAAAAGGUUUUCUUUUCUUAUAUAUCGGAGGUUUUGUGUGCAGAGGCCGCCAGGUUGAAGUUGGAUGUUGCUUUUGUAGUUCCCAGUGAAGGAUGAUGCUGGGUCUAUGAUGCAUUUUAUUUGGAUUUUGGCUGAUAGUUUUCGAUGAAGCCACAGAUACUACUCUUGUCUGAGACCUGUUGGCUUCAUCCAGAGGGAGAUGUGUUCUAGGGUGCCAAAGUACUCUUCAGCUGAAGAACUCUCUUUGGGACAAGGGCAUCAUCAAAGCAAAGAAAUCAAAAGAAGAAGCAGUCAGUAAUGCAAUGCGAGACAAGUGUCAUGUAGCAAGGUGCCCGGAAUCUAUCGUAUAUCGUAUAUAGGGAUUUUGGAUUGCGAUUUCCUUUUGGGGAUCAGGCCGAUUUGAUGACAGGAAUUUCCUUGUUUGUUGCAGCCUAAGAUUGGGAUUGGCCUACUCUUCUUCUAUAACCGGGAUCUUACGACUCUCAUGCUUAAUAAGUUGGCACCUCGCAUCCUGCCAAAACCUAAUCCUCUUAUUCUCUAGCUAGAGUUGGGCUCCUUAAGAAGAUAUGAUACUUCUACUUUUGACACCCUUUUUUUUCCUAUUUUUAAACUCAAAUUGAUAAAGCCACCUGGCGAGUAGGAAUAGUUUUGAGUUUCUGGUCUGUUUUCUUUUGAGAAUCAAACCUCUAAUGGGUUUUUGCUACCAGGAGAAGGGAAUGGCCAUGUUGAUGGGGUCUAUCUAAAUAGAGAGGAACCUAUAGGGCUGAUUACUCGAUCACUCCAUUGUGAUGACAAUCACACCCAUAUUCUUUAUUAUUUCUAAAUAUAGAUAACUGCCAUCUCCCGGCAUAAGAAGGAGUGACCCUAACGACAGCCCCUAUAAUAGUAGACAACACGUUUUAAAUCAGACUGGACUGAACGAAGAAAGAUCUUUCCACACAAGAGUGGAAGGGGUCCUUUAGAAAUAGUUCUUAGCUCCAAUCAAGCUUUCUCUGCUGUCUAGGAUCGUUAGUGCUAUAGUGGAGACACUUUUAUCAAAUAAGAAUGGUGGUCACAUUCCCUUUCUGGUGGUAGUCAUUGAGGAUCUCAAAAACAGGGAUCGCAAAAACGUGUCAAUAAUGACAACGCUGGGCGAAAAGGCUAAAGAAGAAAAACCUGUAGAUUUGAAUGCCACUUCCUUUGCUAAGAUAGCUAGAUUUGGAUGUCCAUUCCAUAAGGUAUAGCUGCAUCUGACACUGAGUAGAAGUUACUAGCAGGAUAGACAGGAAGCUCUGAAGGAUGUACAAUGCUUGGAGGGACAGAAGUUUCAAGAGAAAUGGUCUCUUUUGAUGGGCAUUUGUAGAUGAUGGUUGAUACUGAAAACAAUGCCUUCUUGACAGCUCUAGCAUCACCAGUUAUCUAUUAAGCAUAAAGAUACAUUCAAGAUAACAAUUAGCGGAAUAUAAGAAACAAAGAAUAGAUAUUGAAUAAAGAAAAAAAAAGAGCAGAGCCUCAUAACCGUCCUAAUAGAGAUAAUACCACGUUCGUCUUGUUCUUUACGCCGAUCCAACUCGUGCUUUUUUGGAUGGAUUUCACACGGAAUCAAGGGAGGUGCGGGAUACGACCCAUAUCACAUUCCUGUGCCAUAGCUUGCAAAAUCAAAUAAAUCUAUCGAAGCUAGGGUGCCAGGCCUAUAAGAAUCAGAAGAACAAUCCACACUAAUGUAACCGUAAAGAAAUGGCGGCUCUAACAUAGAUUUUUCUCAAUAUGUCAUGUUGUUGAAAAAUCCUGUGGUAGCAUGGGAUGAUCGACACUUUAGUUUUAGUUAUUGAUUUACGCGUCAUGCAUUAACUAAUAUUUAUGGGGCUGGAGACUUCGCUAAAGCAUGCACAUAAAUAGAUGAAUGAGAGAUUACAAGGCAAGGAGAUACAUAUCUGGGGGUUGACUCAGAACUUGUACAUAGGUCAGCUCACUAAUGCUUAAUAACCAAUAAAUAGUCAAUCAAGAGAUAUGCACCAGCAAACAACAUUAUACUGAAAUAGUGUAUUAGGCGGCAAAUGGCACAGAAGAGUUUAGACGAUAUAUUCUCUACAACAGGUAGGGAUCGGGGGUUAUACGCUCUUUUCUAUAAACAAAGUAGGCUUGUGAUUGUCCGCAUCCAUCACUCAAUCAUGCAAUUCAAAGAAAUGGUUUACUUAUCUUCUUCUAAAGGAUGGAAUUGCUAGAUUGUCAGUAAUAUCAAUUGAGGAAGAAGCUAGUCCCACUUAAAUUCGAAAAGAAGACCUCUAUUGUGACAGAAGAUUCCUCGCCCACAGCAUCUCACUUAUUGAUUGUGACAUAGAUCUCUAUCUCCGCUCAUAAGAAGAUAGCGUUUCAUUCACUCGCUCUAGAAACCAUAGGAGCUACUAUUCCCAAGUUUAUUAAGAAUGGGCACUCACUGGAUUCAGGCUUCCACAGUUCUAGCUUCUCUUCGUAGUUCACUAGAAUGUAUCGAGCAUGUUUCUCCGGAUCAGGAGGCUUUACAUAAAUUGCUACGAUUGCCAAGUCGAAAAAGAGCUGGGCAUGAAAGUGAAAGUGGAAAGAGAAGGGAGCGUGACUUGUUUCAAGAAUUGGAUGCCCUUGUUAAGGAAAUCUAGUAUAAAAGGAGAAAUUGGGCCUAUUUAUAACUUUUGGUACCUAACCACCUGAAUUGGGAAUAAUGGCUAAAGAUUGAAGUUCUAAGCCAUGUAUCAGAGCCGGUUAUUUGAGUAUCGAUGCUGUUGGAGUCUAGCUUCUGACCAAUCCACUUCACUUCGGAGGACAUAACAGCUUAAGAAGAAAUCGAGAUCAGGCCCGUGGAAAGCACACACACACGCUUGGGGAAUGAAUCCACUUUUUCAUUCUCAAUACUAGGGGGGCUUCUCCGAUCGAUUGCUUUAACUGUUAUUCCCCAGAUUGGCGAAAUGACCUUUCGUCUUGCUUCCGUAAAAUAAUAAAAUGUGCUUUCGCCAGAAGAAGAAAAAAGAAGAUAGCUCAGUAAAUGGCAUUCAAGUAAAGUCGAGAAAGAGGCCUUGCUUUCGCACAGGAAGGAAAGAAUUGACUUGGGUAAGUAAGCCCUAUUGGGGGAUUAAGGGCUCGAGUACGAUUAGAGCGCCUUUUUUUUUCUGCUGCGCAGGCUUACCAUUUUAAAUAGGGGGAAACAGGAGACUGUAGAAGAUGAAUAUGGCUAGUCUACUGCUACUAUUUGAUUGGCAAUCCUUAGACUAUAGGGAUGAAGCAAAGGAGCAUAACCUACCUGCAACUAUGCUUGAAAGCAAAGAAAUCUAUCGAAAUUCUCAUUCCAGUCUGAGGGGAUAUCUGAAGCUACCGAUCCGGGAUCUCACUCAAAUCCAAACCUAGCACUUUUGUAUUUAUUGCUUCUCCUUUUAGAAAGUCCGUAGCCGAGUAGAAGAGAAGAAAAGAGAUUUCCUUAUCUGCAUGCCAGCUUUCAUUCCUACUUUUGAUGAAAGAAAGGCCAGUUGCUGCCGACAAGUCGACUAAACUUUCACAACUGUCACCUAUCUUUAAGCACCUUCUAGGCCGCUUCCCAACCUAAUGCAUUCAAGUCUGCCUUCGGUACUGGUACUUCGGAAUCAAGGGCCCAACAAGCGAUAUCAGGAGUCUUUGGCCGAAGAACUCGCGGAUAAGAAGGUUAUUCCAUAACUAUAUAAAAUCCAUAGUCACGCUCAGCAUGCGAAAGCUUGUAAAAAUGACAUCCCCUGCGAAAACCAAUAGGAUUUGUUGGGCCAUCGAACACUAGUUUCUGGUUUCUCAAGACCUUGAGGCAAGGGCAGUUACGCAACAUUUUCUCAAUAUUGAAUGUGCAUUUUUCCCGCAUUUUUUCGAUUCCACUUCUGUAUCAGAAAUUAGUGUCAAGGAAUGGAGUUCUUGUUUCGUUAACUAAGUCUCGCGUUGUUUGCUUGAGGAAGGGACGGCCGUAGCUAAAUUUCCAUUGCUAAUCUUACAUGUUCCCACGAACAAUAAAGAAAAGAAGAAAAGGCUAUUCCUUAGACACAGAGGUGGGAUUAAGGCGUCAUGCGGAACUCCAACAACAUAGACCAGAUGACUUAUUUAUUGAAAAUAGGUUUAGGAGCCUGAUCCUGGAGCUGAGCAAGCAUGGGCGUGAUCCACAUCGAGUGGAACUACUAUAACUAUAUCUGUGGAAGGAAGGUGGAACCUUCACCGAAUCAUAGUUAGGUGGCUCCCAUUCCGUAGUGGGCCGACGUCACACUGCCGCUUCAAUAGCUAGCGGGUAAUAAUCAGAAAGUGAAUCAUCAACCACUCAUUUAGAAGCUGCUCAUGCAACAACGUUUAAGUAAAUCCUUCCGCCCUUAUUUUCUUUAGUCUAGUUGUUGGAGGAAAUGCACCUUGAACACAUUACGUAUACUAGCUGAGCUUUGUCCCUAAUCGUGACUAGUUGUCAUUAGUUUCGAUCAAAUUUCCCCCCAGCCGGCAAUGCCUCAGCUUCUCAAAAUCUAGGAAUCUCUGAAAAAGUCAUCAUUAUGAAAAGAUACUAGCGCUACUAAUAAGGGAAGCUACUUUUUUCUAAGAAAGGAAUAAAGCAGAAAACUAAAGAAAGAGAUCUUAAGUGGGUCCCGCGAGUAGUUUGUCUUGUUUCAGUCCGUACAAGAAGAUACUUUCAGGGUUGCCCAAGAAGGGACGGGCCUAUCUAUUGGUGGUACUAGUUCCGCGGGAGGGGCAGGAUUUUGGUGCCGUCAGCAUGGGUCUGGCUAUCGAUCACAAGGGUCUAGAUACGGGUCUCGAACGGAAAAGUAUGCUACAUAUUGCUCUGCUCCAGUUCCCUCUGCUUACACCUGGUCAAUUCAUUGAUCGCCCCUUUUAUUUCUGAUUUUCAAAAGGGCCCCGCUCUCGUCUCUGCUGACGAAGCCUUUAUCUCUGUCUCUGUUAUCCUUGUACCUGCUGAUCUCUUUGACUGAUAGAGUCUAUGCUAUUGGUGAAGCUGGUUCUACCUCAAUAACAGGAUCUGCAAAUGGAUUUUCAACUAACAUCCUCUGCUUCAAUUUGUGAUGAAAGGUCGACUAGUUUUCACCGAAUCUUUAAUUACGCACCGGUAACUUUUUUCCAUUUCCGAGGUCCAGAGGGGAAGAUGAAGUACAGCCUAGUUCAGAGAGUCACGAUUGAAUCCAGGUUAAUUCAGCAGCAGCUAGAGCAAUACUCCGAUGUUGAUUUGAUUCUCCGCUACCCACCAAGGUAGAAGACUGCCUGAUCUGCAAAAGAAGUAUGCUUUAUUUGCUUAUAGAACAAAAGUAUACGCUUUUUCAGGGAAAGAUAGAUGGAAUAGGGCAUUCAGCAGUUUGAAGAGGUAGCCUUUUUCAGUAGCAGUCUUGUAAGCAAGCGCCGUACGUUCAAUCUAUACUGGCGAGAGUCUUUCCUCUUAUAAAGCCUGAGCGUGUUGCAUGACUUAAUGCCAGCUCUUUAUCAUACAUCUUCUGUAGAACCAAUAAAUAUAAGGGAUAUGUGUUAGCACAUCUUGUUCGUGCUCUGCACCACGUUUUUCCUGUAUACCGGCAGCUAGCAUCCCAUCAGUAAACUAUGGGCGAGAUUUCUUGAGGGGGGCUGGCCAUGGUUUUUUAACCCACCCUUUCAUUCACUUCAGACCCAAAGCAGAAAAGGUUUGAAAUCCAUAUACUGGAAUUUGGUUCCACCGAAGUACAAGUACUAAAUUGGUCGACUCCACCGCAGGGUGCGAGAUGUUGAGCUUCCUCGACGCCUACUCUGGGUAUCAGCAAGUCUAUAUGGCUGAGGAAGACAAAGAAAAAACUAGUUUUAUUGCCCCUUCCUUCUGUUACAAGCGGAUGCCCUUCGGUUUGAUAAAUGCCGGCGCCACAUUUAAGCGCCUAAUGAGCCUCAUCCUCAGGUCUCAAUUGGGUAGUAAUGCAGAAGUGUACGUUGACGACGCCGUCAUCAAAAGCCGCUUGGCAGGGACUCACCCCAAAAACACCUCUCUUUUUGCAUCUGCUGAGCAGAACCAAUUACCAGAUCCUACUUCUAAGCUCUAUGCUCUACUUCGGCCUUGCUCUCACUUAUGGGUAGGAAGGACAAUAAGCAGGAAUUCAUGUUGGCUAACUAUUCUAUCCAGGCGGAAGUUGUUUUCAUAGGAAAGACGGAAGGUUUUGCGCGUUGGUUGUAUCGAAUUUCCCUUUCUAAUAGCAUACACAAAUAGAUAAGAAAGUUACGACGAUGAUAAGGUAAAUGAAAACCUUUGAUUUACCUUACCAUCAGUUCUGUCUUAUCUCUGUGCCUCCUCUAGCCAUUUCAUAAUUGGAUAUCGUCAUUCAAAUCUGUUAUGACAAUUGUUUGGUAAGCAGGGAUUCGAAUCAAACAAUAAAUACCAACUCUAAGUGUGAUGGAUAGUACCUGGUGCCUAAUUUCAUGGUAUCUUUCUUGGCGCCUACCACAGGAAAACCCCUCCUUCUUUUGGGAGGAAAUCAAAUGAGUAAAGGUUUCUGCCGACUCCCCUCAAGGAACCACUCACUACUCAACUUGAAACCACGGACCUACCUCCUGCUUUUGACUUUCUUCUUUGUCCCAAUUCAUAUCGAGCAUGUCCUUCUCCAUCUAUAGAUAGAGAGAAUAGAUGAUAGGGGCGCUCAAAGCAAAUAGGAUUCUGUAUCUAAUACUAAUAGGUACUAACCGCAUUCAAGAUUGACUUGACCUCUUAUUUUGGAUAGGCAGAAAUGCUUACGCCCUAGGGGUUUAAAGGGCCCACUCCCUUUGGUUGACUCAUCAGGCUCACCACCUUUUGGAGCUCAUCCAACAGUUAGUCUACUUAAUCAUAAUCAUAAUCAAUCCGUUGCUAUUGCUAUCUAUCGCCAUACCCACAAGAGGGUAAUUUAUCCAACUCCCCGUGCGAAAGCAAGUCCCGCGUCAGCAGUGAUUCGAGUUGUUCCUUGAGAGCAGGCUUAUGGCAUUCCAGGUAAACAUAACAAUAUGAGAGAGAACUCCAUUCGGCUUAUAAGUACUCGAUUGAACCAAUUGUUUUUUCAUUUCCCAGUAGGUCACCUUGGGCCAGCUGCUGACUUUCUAGAAAGAGACAAGGAAGUCGAUUCAACAUAAGGAAAGAAAGCAUAUUUUAGGUUUACUCCUUCCAUGUCUAGUAGGAGUGCGUGCUUCUUAUUGCCUUUUGAGCAGUAGUUGUAUACAUUCCUCACUCAGUCUAAUUAAUUAUCUUUCUCCCUACCCAAAUACCAAGGGAGGUUUAUGAGUCGUAUCCUCCUUACGAGAUAGCGGAAGUAGCAUUAGCGGGAAAAGUAAGCUCCUUUUCAAGCCUUCUAAAUGAGUGGUUGAUGAUUCACUUUCUGAUUAUUACCCGCUAGCUAUUGAAGCGGCAGUGUGACGUCGGCCCACUGCGGAAUGGGAGCCACCUAACUAUGAUUCGGUGAAGGUUCCACCUUCCUUCCACAGAUAUAGUUAUAGUAGUUCCACUCGAUGUGGAUCACGCCCAUGCUUGCUCAGCUCCAGGAUCAGGCUCCUAAACCUAUUUUCAAUAAAUAAGUCAUCUGGUCUAUGUUGUUGGAGUUCUGCAUGACGCCUUAAUCCCACCUCUGUGUCUAAGGAAUAGCCUUUUCUUCUUUUCUUUAUUGUUUGUGGGAACAUGUAAGAUUAGCAAUGGAAAUUUAGCUACGGCCGUCCCUUCCUCAAGCAAACAACGCGAGACUUAGUUAACGAAACAGGAACUCCAUUCCUUGACACUAAUUUCUGAUACAGAAGUGGAAUCGAAAAAAUGCGGGAAAAAUGCACAUUCAAUAUUGAGAAAAUGUUGCGUAACUGCCCUUGCCUCAAGGUCUUGAGAAACCAGAAACUAGUGUUCGAUGGCCCAACAAAUCCUAUUGGUUUUCGCAGGGGAUGUCAUUUUUACAAGCUUUCGCAUGCUGAGCGUGACUAUGGAUUUUAUAUAGUUAUGGAAUAACCUUCUUAUCCGCGAGUUCUUCGGCCAAAGACUCCUGAUAUCGCUUGUUGGGCCCUUGAUUCCGAAGUACCAGUACCGAAGGCAGACUUGAAUGCAUUAGGUUGGGAAGCGGCCUAGAAGGUGCUUAAAGAUAGGUGACAGUUGUGAAAGUUUAGUCGACUUGUCGGCAGCAACUGACCUUUCUUUCAUCAAAAGUAGGAAUGAAAGCUGGCAUGCAGAUAAGGAAAUCUCUUUUCUUCUCUUCUACUCGGCUACGGACUUUCUAAAAGGAGAAGCAAUAAAUACAAAAGUGCUAGGUUUGGAUUUGAGUGAGAUCCCAGAUCGGUAGCUUCAGAUAUCCCCUCAGACUGGAAUGAGAAUUUCGAUAGAUUUCUUUGCUUUCAAGCAUAGUUGCAGGUAGGUUAUGCUCCUUUGCUUCAUCCCUAUAGUCUAAGGAUUGCCAAUCAAAUAGUAGCAGUAGACUAGCCAUAUUCAUCUUCUACAGUCUCCUGUUUCCCCCUAUUUAAAAUGGUAAGCCUGCGCAGCAGAAAAAAAAGGCGCUCUAAUCGUACUCGAGCCCUUAAUCCCCCAAAAGGGCUUACUUACCCAAGUCAAUUCUUUCCUUCCUGUGCGAAAGCAAGGCCUCUUUCUCGACUUUACUUGAAUGCCAUUUACUGAGCUAUCUUCUUUUUUCUUCUUCUGGCGAAAGCACAUUUUAUUAUUUUACGGAAGCAAGACGAAAGGUCAUUUCGCCAUUCUGGGGAAUAACAGUUAAAGCAAUCGAUCGGAGAAGCCCCCCAAGUAUUGAGAAUGAAAAAGUGGAUUCAUUCCCCAGGCGUGUGUGUGUGCUUUCCACGGGCCUGAUCUCGAUUUCUUCUUAAGCUGUUAUGUCCUCCGAAGUGAAGUGGAUUGGUCGGAAGCUAGACUCCAACAGCAUCGAUACUCAAAUAACCGGCUCUGAUACAUGGCUUAGAACCUUCAAUCUUUAGCCAUUAUUCCCAAUUCAGGUGGUUAGGUACCAAAAGUUAUAAAUAGGCCCAAUUUCUCCUUUUAUACUAGAUUUCCUUAACAAGGGCAUCCAAUUCUUGAAACAAGUCACGCUCCCUUCUCUUUCCACUUUCACUUUCAUGCCCAGUUCUUUUUCGACUUGGCAAUCGUAGCAAUUUAUGUAAAGCCUCCUGAUCCGGAGAAACAUGCUCGAUACAUUCUAGUGAACUACGAAGAGAAGCUAGAAUGGUGGAAGCCUGAAUCCAGUGAGUGCCCAUUCUUAAUAAACUUGGGAAUAGUAGCUCCUAUGGUUUCUAGAGCGAGUGAAUGAAACGCUAUCUUCUUAUGAGCGGAGAUAGAGAGCUAUGUCACAAUCAAUAAGUGAGAUGAUGUGGGCGAGGAAUCUUCUAUCACAAUAGAGGUCUUCUUUUCGAAUUUAAGUGGGACUAGCUUCUUCCUCAAUUGAUAUUACUGACAAUCUAGCAAUUCCAUCCUUUAGAAGAAGAUAAGUAAACCAUUUCUUUGAAUUGCAUGAUUGAGUGAUGGAUGCGGACAAUCACAAGCCUACUUUGUUUAUAGAAAAGAGCGUAUAACCCCCGAUCCCUACUUGUUGUAGAGAAUAUAUCGUCUAAACUCUUCUGUGCCAUUUGCCGCCUAAUACACUAUUUCAGUAUAAUGUUGUUUCCUGGUGCACAUCUCUUGAUUGACUAUUUAUUGGUUAUUAAGCAUUAGUGAGCUGACCUAUGUACAAGUUCUGAGUCAACCCCCAGAUAUGUAUCUCCUUGCCUUGUAAUCUCUCAUUCAUCUAUUUAUGUGCAUGCUUUAGCGAAGUCUCCAGCCCCAUAAAUAUUAGUUAAUGCAUGACGCGUAAAUCAAUAACUAAAACUAAAGUGUCGAUCAUCCCAUGCUACCACAGGAUUUUUCAACAACAUGACAUAUUGAGAAAAAUCUAUGUUAGAGCCGCCAUUUCUUUACGGUUACAUUAGUGUGGAUUGUUCUUCUGAUUCUUAUAGGCCUGGCACCCUAGCUUCGAUAGAUUUAUUUGAUUUUGCAAGCUAUGGCACAGGAAUGUGAUAUGGGUCGUAUCCCGCACCUCCCUUGAUUCCGUGUGAAAUCCAUCCAAAAAAGCACGAGUUGGAUCGGCGUAAAGAACAAGACGAACGUGGUAUUAUCUCUAUUAGGACGGUUAUGAGGCUCUGCUCUUUUUUUUCUUUAUUCAAUAUCUAUUCUUUGUUUCUUAUAUUCCGCUAAUUGUUAUCUUGAAUGUAUCUUUAUGCUUAAUAGAUAACUGGUGAUGCUAGAGCUGUCAAGAAGGCAUUGUUUUCAGUAUCAACCAUCAUCUACAAAUGCCCAUCAAAAGAGACCAUUUCUCUUGAAACUUCUAUCCCUCCAAGCAUUGUACAUCCAUCAGAGCUUCCUGUCUAUCCUGCUAGUAACUUCUACUCAGUGUCAGAUGCAGCUAUACCUUAUGGAAUGGACAUCCAAAUCUAGCUAUCUUAGCAAAGGAAGUGGCAUUCAAAUCUACAGGUUUUUCUUCUUUAGCCUUUUUGCCCAGCGUUGUCAUUAUUGACACGUUUUUGCGAUCCCUGUUUUUGAGAUCCUCAAUGACUACCACCAGAAAGGGAAUGUGACCACCAUUCUUAUUUGAUAAAAGUGUCUCCACUAUAGCACUAACGAUCCUAGACAACAGAGAAAGCUUGAUUGGAGCUAAGAACUAUUUCUAAAGGAUCCCUUCCACUCUUGUGUGGAAAGAUCUUUCUUCGUUCAGUCCAGUCUGAUUUAAAACGUGUUGUCUACUAUUAUAGGGGCUGUCGUUAGGGUCACUCCUUCUUAUGCCGGGAGAUGGCAGUUAUCUAUAUUUAGAAAUAAUAAAGAAUAUGGGUGUGAUUGUCAUCACAAUGGAGUGAUCGAGUAAUCAUCCCUAUAGGUUCCUCUCUAUUUAGAUAGACCCCAUCAACAUGGCCAUUCCCUUCUCCUGGUAGCAAAAACCCAUUAGAGGUUUGAUUCUCAAAAGAAAACAGACCAGAAACUCGAAACUAUUCCUACUCGCCAGGUGGCUUUAUCAAUUUGAGUUUAAAAAUAGGAAAAAAAGGGUGUCAAAAGUAGAAGUAUCAUAUCUUCUUAAGGAGCCCAACUCUAGCUAGAGAAUAAGAGGAUUAGGUUUUGGCAGGAUGCGAGGUGCCAACUUAUUAAGCAUGAGAGUCGUAAGAUCCCGGUUAUAGAAGAAGAGUAGGCCAAUCCCAAUCUUAGGCUGCAACAAACAAGGAAAUUCCUGUCAUCAAAUCGGCCUGAUCCCCAAAAGGAAAUCGCAAUCCAAAAUCCCUAUAUAUGAUAUACGAUAGAUUCCGGGCACCUUGCUACAUGACACUUGUCUCGCAUUGCAUUACUGACUGCUUCUUCUUUUGAUUUCUUUGCUUUGAUGAUGCCCUUGUCCCAAAGAGAGUUCUUCAGCUGAAGAGUACUUUGGCACCCUAGAACACAUCUCCCUCUGGAUGAAGCCAACAGGUCUCAGACAAGAGUAGUAUCUGUGGCUUCAUCGAAAACUAUCAGCCAAAAUCCAAAUAAAAUGCAUCAUAGACCCAGCAUCAUCCUUCACUAGGAACUACAAAAGCAACAUCCAACUUCAACCUGGCGGCCUCUGCACACAAAACCUCCGAUAUAUAAGAAAAGAAAACCUUUUUUACAAUAUGGGAAUUUGGCCCAAUAGUCCCUCCAAUUUGAAGUGAUCAAGCCACCACUGGUACCAGUAGGGAAUAGGUACUACCACCUCCUCCAGCUCUAGCUGAGCUCUCCAGUUCUGCUCCAUCAGUGAGUUGCAAUGGGAGCAUCUCAACAUCCUCUGGUAGAAUCUGUGCAAUCCAAGCCUUCUGGGACAUCAUCCACCCGCAACUGCUUUCUCUCUUGCAGCUCUUUCAUAGCAAUGGCCUUUAUGUUUGGAGGCUAACCCAGGCAUCCAUCACUCUCCUCCCAAAGAAAAAAGAUGCCAACACCGUCGAGGAUUUCAGGCCAAUCAGUAUCAUCUCGAGAUUCAUGAAAAUCGUUUCAAAGAAGAGGAACAAACAUUGUCUUUAACAACACUCAUCCACUUAUUGACAUUGACACGUAUCAAUCGGCGUUUAUCAAGGGUCGCUCACUCAUAGAAACUUUCUUGGUUGUGACAGAACCACUUAUCUUUCGCCACAAACAUAAGAUCCCUAUGGUCCUACUCAAGGUAGACUAUCGCAAGUCAUUUGACCGAGAAAGAGAAGAGUUGUGUCUUAAAGUAAAGACGAGGAUGUGGAAAUCCACACACACUUGUCUUUCAGGCCCAGCCCACCAGGGAUUUCCAAAUCGUUAGCGGCGGGUCUUUCUUCUUCUGGGCGAGCUGCGGAGCUACUUUUUCUUUCUUUCAUUCCAUCUGUCUCUGUAUGCUUGGGUGAAUGCCAUAAGCGGAUUUAUAUGCCCUGGUUCCCAGGGUUAGGGUAUUCCCUAUGUUGAGCCUACUCAGAUCAGAACAAAACUUUUGGAUUCUCUUUCGCCUAUCGGCCGGCUUUAAACAACCUUCACAUUUCCUGCUGAGAUCCGAAGUCUCCAAGUGGGCCCUCUUGGCCACCUAAGACCUUGGCUUUUUAGAGAAUCCCGCUCCUGUGUCGUAGGACUUGUAGCUCGGCAGUCCACCGGGUAGGUUUGUUUAUCCUUCCUUUUUUGAGUGUCUUCUUGGAUAGUUAUAGCGGCCCAUAGGCGCAAGAUGUACCUUGUGGAGGGCGGCGGUCCCCUGGACAUAGCAUAGUCCUUUCAGGCAGUGGCCGUUUAGUCCAUGGCCCGUUGGAUGGUCGGUGCAAGGCCAGAAAUUGGAACACAUUGAUUCCGCUCGUUCCUGUCCUUCGCUUCAGGGCCUGUCCCUCGGUGUGGUCAGUACUCCAUACUGUCGGGUAGCAAAGCUUACACUUGUUCACUUAUUAUGAUGGUUCACCAGGGCCUCUUUCCUCCUCCCUUUUCUGCUCACUCGUAGGGGUCCAGACCCCCACAAAGGGGGAGGGAGUCGACUGAACAUCUCAGCCAUUGGCGGGAAUUUCGCCCGCAUCCGAUCCCUAAUUCUUGUUCACCCCGAUGAUCGUGUUGGGUAAAUUGUGACCUCGUACGAUCGUAUCGGGUGAGCAACAGCCGCUUCGUCACAAUACUGACUUAUGGGCUAACAGGUCACACUUUGGCCAAGUAUCCUACAAAGAAACUCCCGAGAGCCAAAAGUAUUAAAGGAAUGGCCAUAGGAAUGGGCGCAUCAUGACAUCUUUAUCUGUCUCGCCCGAAUGAAUUAGUUGGUACUAGAAAUGUUAGAAAUAGUAAACGAAAGGAGUAAUAAGAAGUGAAAAGGACAGAGACACUUCCCAACCAGAAAGCAAAGUUCCCACUGAUGGUAUACUUUGUGUAAGCGAGCUCUAAGAUCACAUCUUUAGAAUAAAAUCAUGUUAGAAAAGGAAAUACAAUAAGAGAUAAGCUGCCCAUGAGCAUCAUGGCAUAGGUCAAAGGAAAGGAGGAGGCAAGCCCCCCCAUCUUCCGCAUAUCUUGCUCAUCCGACAUGGCAUGAAUCACCGAACCCGCACUCAGGAAGAGUAAUGCUUUGAAAAACGCGUGAUCCAUUAAGUGAAAGACGUUAACCGAAUAGUGAGAGAUGCCACAAGCAAAGAUCAUAUAGCCUAAUUGACUGCAAGUUGAAUAAGCUAUGACCCUCUUUAGAUCAUUCUGUAACAUUCCAGUGGUUGCCGCAAGGAAUGACGUCAUAGCUCCUGCAAAAGUAAUAACAAUCAAAGUCGUAGGUGAGUAUUCAAAUAAAGGGGAGCACCUUGCUAUCAUGAAAAUGCCAGCAGUGACCAUAGUAUCUGCAUGAAUCAAAGCAGAUACUGGAGUGGGACCCUCCAUUGCAUCGGGUAACCAAGUAUGCAAUCCUAUCUGUGCAGAUUUCCCAACAACACCAAUAAAAAGUAAAAUACAAAUCAGAGUUAUGGAAUUCAAUCUCAUAUUGCAAAAAAUCCAUUCAUUUCUAGGAGCACUAGCAUAAGCAAAAAUGGUUGAAAAGUCUACUGUUUGAAAGAGAGUAAAACAACCAAAAAUCCCAAGAGCUAAUCCAAAAUCACCUACUCGAUUGACAAGCAUAGCUUUUAUAGCAGCUUUAUCCGCCUGAAGUCGUGUAAACCAGAAAUGAAUUAACAAAUAUGAAGCCAGACCUGCUCCCUCCCAUCCCAGGAAUAAUUGAAGAAAGUUAUCUCCAGUCACCAACAUUAGCAUAAAAAAAGUAAAAAUGGAUAAGUAACACAUAAAUCGAGGGCUAUGCGGAUCCUCAGACAUACAUGAAAUGGAAUAAAGAUAGACCUAGCAUUUAAAAUUUAUAACCAAAGUGAAUUACCAUGCUGUUCUAAAGGACUCUCAAAAUGAUAUAAGUGAAGCAUGAGAGAUCAAUUAUUUCUAUAAAAUAGAACCACCGCCGUGCUCUAAAAGAUAUAAGCGAAGCAAUAGAGCAAAAAUUGUACAGCUCAAAAGAUAUAAGUGAAUCACAUAGAGUAUUCUAAUAAAUUCCAAUUCAUGUGAGUCCCUCCCAAAAGGUGUGUACAACAAGGAUGAUUGUGGUAAACUAAAAAGCAAAGACUCAAAUCAUACAAUACGCUCCAAGCAAAACACAUAUCAUGUGGCGAAUAAAAAUAUAGCUUCAAGUAAAGUUACCGAUGGACGAAGACGAAAGAGGGGAUGCCUUCCGGGGCAUCCCCAAGCUUAGGAUUUUUGGCAUCCUUGGAUUUUACCUUGGGGUGCCUUGUGCAUCUCCAAGCUUAGGCUCUUGCCACUCCUUGUUCCAUAAUCCAUCAAAUCUUUACCCAAAACAUGAAAACUUCACAACACAAAACUUAAAAGAAAAUCUUCAUAAGCUCCGUUAGUAAAAGAAAACAAACAACCACUUCAAGGUACUGUAAUGAACUCAUUCUUUAUUUAUAUUGGUGUUAAACCUACUGUAUUCCAACUUUUGUAUGGUUCAUAAACUCUAUUACUAGCCAUAGAUUGAUCAAAAUAAGCAAACAACACGCGAAAAACAGAAUCUGUCAAAAACAGAACAAUUUGUAGUAAUCUGUAGGUUUCGAAUACUUCUGGAACCCCAAAAAUUCUAAACUAAAUUGCUGGACGUGAGGAAUUUAUAUAUUAAUCAUCUGAAAAAAUAAUUAACUAAAUAUCACCCUCCACUAAAAAAUGACAGCAAUUCUCGUGAGCGCUAAAAUUUCUGUUUUUUACAGUAAGAUCAAAAAGACUUUCCCCAAGUCUUCCCAACGGUUCUACUUGGCACAAACACUAAUUAAACACAAAAAAACACAACCAAAACAGAGUCUAUAUAAAUUAUUUAUUACUAAAUAGUAACAAAAAGUAAGGAAUAAAAAUAAAAUUGGGUUGCCUCCCAACAAGCGCUAUCGUUUAACGCCCCUAGCUAGGCAUAAAAGCGAAGAUAGAUCUAGGUAUUGCCAUCUUUGGUAAGCAAUCCAUAAGUGGCUCUCAUAAUAGAUUCAUAUGGUAAUUUAAUUUUCUUUCUAGGGAAGUGUUCCAUGCAUUUUCUUAACGGAAAUUGGAAUUUAAUUUCCCUUCCUUCAUAUCAAUAAUUGCACCAAUCGUUCUAAGGAAAGGUCUACCAAGAAUAAUAAGACAUGAAGGAUUGCAAUCUAUAUCAAGAACAAUGAAAUCUACGGGCACAUAAUUCCUAUUCGCAACAAUAAGAACAUCAUUAAUCUUUUCCAUAGGUUUCUUAAUAGUGGAAUCCGCAAGGUGCAAGUUUAUAAAACAAUCAUCAAAUUCACGGAAACCUAGCAAAUUACACAAAGUUUUUGGGAUCGUGGAAACACUAGCACCCAAAUCACACAAAGCAUAGCAUUCACGAUCUUUAAUUUUAAUUUUAAUUUUAGGUUCCCACUCAUUAUAAAGUUUUCUAGGGAUAGAAACUUCCAACUCAAGUUUUUUCUUUGUAAGAUUGCAUCGAAGCAUCAACGAUAUGUUUAGUAAAAGCUUUAUUUUGACUAUAAGCAUGAGGAGAAUUUAGCAUGGAUUGCAACAAAGAAAUACAAUCUAUUAAAGAGCAAUUAUCAUAAUUAAAUUCCUUGAAAUCCAAGAUAGUGGGUUCGUUGCUAUCUAAAGUUUUAACCUCUUCAAUCCCACUUUUACCAAUUUUUGCAUCAAGAUCUAAAAACUUUGAAUCAUUGGGACGCCUUCUAACUAAUGUUGACUCAUCUCCAGUCCCAUAAUUAUCAAGAUUCAUAUUGCAAAACAAGGAUUUAAUAGGGGACACAACAAUCACUUUUAGAUCUUCAUCCUUAUUAUCAUGAAAACUUUUCGGUUUAGCGGCCAUCUUAUUAACUAAGGUGGCCUAUUUAUCCGAGAUUUCAGCAAUUAAUUUUUCAAAAUGAGCAAGCUGAGAUUUCAAACCAUAAAAUUCCUUAGACAUAUCAUUGAGCUCUUUAUUCAUGAAACUGAUAAAACUUUUUUGUUCUUUAAGCUCAUUUCUAGAGAAAUUAUUAUGCUCAAACUGCAAGGACAUAAAACUUCUAUCUUUGUUUUCGAUUUCUUCCAACCUUGUAAGGUGAGGAUCAACUCCUUUUGGUAAAUCCAUAAGGGUAACAAGCAACAAGAGGUAAGCAAGAAAGAGGCGUACGGGAAAGAGAGGGCGAAUAAAAUGGCAAGGAUGAAGUAGAGGAGAGGAGAACAAGAGGCAAAUGACAAAUAAUGUGAUGCAAAGGACAAGAGUUGUGAUGGGUACUUGGUAUGUCUUGACUUGGCGUAUAUCUCCCCGGCGACGAUGCCAGGAAUCCUUCUUGAUACCUCUUGAUGCAAAGGAUAAUGUAAUAGCAAUUAGGCAUACUAAUUAGUAGCUCUGGCCAACUUCCUUGUUGGUCAACUUCAUAGGUGCGCUUAGAUGAUCAACCGCGUGGCCUUGGUGUGAAAGCAACUGGCGGAAGCACAUCAUGCUCUUGUGCCUGAGACCGUCUUUUUAUUUGAAUAAUCUCAGCUCAUGUGGGAAAACUAAAGCAUGAUGGCAUGAACUUCAGAAGAUGUCAUGUACUCAAAGAUGACUUGAAUUCGAUGGUUCUACAAAAUAGAUAAAAAUAAAGAUCAUUAUUCUAUGGAUAAGUAAGGAAAAGGGAACAAAUAAUAAACAUCUACUUCGGAUUAGAUAGUGUUAAUAAACCAUUAAAGAUUACUGAGUGUACAAAAAAUGAUGUGCGGUCAGACUAUCGAUACUCUUUAGCCUAUAUAACCUAGGUGUACGUCAUCCCUUUCUCUACAAAGUACAAUUUAGCAGUCCUUUAUUGUUAUUGUUGAAUCAAGAAAGCAAUGGAAUGAUAAAUGGAUACAUUGAACUUACACGAAAGGCCACCAGAUAUCUCAAAGAAAAGAUUGCUGAUGUAAACAUGUCUAUGCCAACCUGUGGAUAUUUAUUUGAGUAGAUGUCACUAAUUUCAAAAGUUAAUAUCUGGUAUAGGGGAAAUUCAUGUAGGUAGUAAUGUGGUGGUGGAACUGAAUUAUACAAUAAAUGCAUAUGCAUAUAUGAAACACAAUCUCUGUCUGUUGUCCAAAUAUAUGAAAUCUGCUUAUAAUCUUGAUCCAGAGCAGCCAGUAGGUCUCUAAGCUGCUUCUUUAAAAAGGAAGAUAACCAAAAAACUAAUAAUGAUUGUAGCUACAUCUUUAAUCUGUGAAGUGAUACACAUAGCCAAAGGCCCUUGAAGAUCACAUGGCUAAGGAGCAUGUCAAUAUCUGCACUAUGAUAGCAGUAUGUAUACAUUGUGUAGAUACCAUUACUGAAGUAUAGUGAUAAGAAAAGAAACAUGAUUACUGCACAUUAUUUAUUCGUAAUUUAUUAUAUUUGAAGCCCCACAGAAAAAAUAAAUAAGUUGUAAAGAUCACCAUGUACGUUGAUAUGUUCACUAAAUCCUGA
rnacentral:lncRNA from 1 species